rnacentral:lncRNA from 1 species
UGCGGAAUGAGUGUAGCCAUCUUCAUACUUGUAAAUGACAUCUAUAACGCGUGUAAGAUUGAGAAUUCGCAUCAGAAGUGGCAUUGGGACAACUGUUGGGCGCAGGCAGUCCUCAUUUGUAUCCUUCCAGGCAUUUGAAAUUUGUUUCCGAAACUCAUUGCAUGCUUCCUCUUCUGUCGCUCCAUGUUGUUUCAUGUAACACUCAACGCUUGAGGCAACGUGCCCUCUGCUUUGUUCAAACUAUAUGCAAAUACGAAACACAUAUAUAAAAUAUAUUUUGGUUAAAGAGAAAAUUAAAGAUUACACCAUUCGUUACGGAGGCAAUAUUAUCAUAUAUAUUUACCUUGUGUGACACCAUGUCAUCCAUGAGUCUGCAAACUACAGAAGAAGCCCUAAUCAAUCUAGGGUUGCUGAAUAACCAUUCAAAAGAUUCUUUAGUUACAAUGUCUCCCAUGCCAACAAAAGAUGUGGUUGACAACAUUGGGUAGGCAGAGGUAACUAAUGCAACCGUCAUGUACUCAUCCAUUGUUGGUAUAUAAUUCUGAUGGCACCAUUUAGCUUCAAAGAAGUAAUUCUUAACAAUAUUCUUCAUCUGAUCAUGAGAAUUAAACCAAAUAUAUCAGAUCUUUGUUAGCAAUUAAGAAUUAAUCUUUAAUGAAAUACUGAAGAGUACUCCACCGCUUUUUUUGCAUAAUGGAGGCGGUAUAAUUUUCCCUGAGGGGCCAAAUCUUUCUCUGCUUCACUGUAAACAUCAAGGAGGGCCCGAUAACACAGUUUCAUAUACUCAGGAAGUUGAUCUAUGGCACUGAUAUCCCACCUGCGAAAGAAAAUUGCUAGCCCAUUUCAAUAGGGGGAAUUUUGAUAACAAAAACGAUAUUAGAUCUUGAUCAUGAGAUCCUAAAUUACUGAUGAGCCAUCCAAACCUUUUAAUAGCUGAAGUAAAGAGCUCAAGUUCUUCAAUUUUGCCAUACACAUCAUAGAUGUCAUCAAUAAUAGAAGUCAUGGAAAUCACUUUUGUCAAUAUUCUUCUAGCAAAUGAAUAUUGGGGCUCGAAAUACACUCCUAAUAUCCAAAAGUAGCACUCUGCAAUUCUGUCUCUUAUACAAGGUAGCUUAUGCGCAAAGUCUAAUUCUUUCCACCACCUAAAUGAGACGACCAUUUACAUAUUAAUAUUUCUUCAAAACUGGAAAGCUUAGUUAAAUAUGCUCAUAGUGGAAUUGAAAUUAUUUUUAGAACUUAGUUAUUUACCUUGAAAUAUCACCGAGUUCCUUCUGGUGAAGCUUUUGCAAUUUGUUAAAAUCAAGUUUUGCGAAGGUCAAUAGAGCUUCAUUGUGGGAAGAUUGUUCUUGAUAGAUAGGAAUGUAAUGUCUUGCCUCAAGCCUUUGUAAGCCCCUGUGAAUAGGCUGAAUUAAGGCAUGUUUGACUCGCUCGGCAAGUGGGGAGCCGAUUUGAUGAGCCGCUAUUGACUCAAGGUGACUAGUGGUGAAAGCAAGCGCUUCAUCCAGUAUAUUUUCUUCAUGUACCCCGAGAUGCGUGGCUUCAUACAAGCUCAACAUUCCGCCAACAUCUUUCGCAAGAGAUGUCUUAAAGUUUCCAUCGCUGUCUUUGAACCUUUUGAACACAUCUGCUACACCACUUAAAUUUUUAGUGGUUGGACAAAAACUGGUUGUACCGACUGUAGUACUAAUUUAUUUUUAUUUUAUCAUCUUGCGAAAUGCCUCAACAAACUCGAGAGCUGUUUACAUAAAUUGUAAAAUAGAACCGCUGGCUAGAGGACAAAAUAAGGCUUAACUUAUAGUAAAAGCAUGAUGAUCAUCAUACAAAAGACCAAACAAAAAUAACAAAUGCAUUUAUAUACGCGUGAAGAGCGAGGCAGCAUCUCAAGUGAGAGCUGAACGCUUGAGUUUCUUGCUCCAAAAAGUUGGUUGUAAUUAAAGAUGGAUGUGUUUUUUUACAAGAUAUUUAACAAGGGGAAUAAGUGAGAAAAAGACAUACCAGCGGAAAUUUUACAGCCAUGUUGUCUAAGCAAUCGAAACUGAAGAGAGAUAUAAUAGAGCUCAUCAUUUUCAUUAUCCCCAAGACCACAGUCUUGGUGAGCCUCAUGCAAUUUUCCCAAGAUUUCAUCAAUCUCACUUUCAAAAUGGUAAGACACUCCUAAACGCUGAAUCGCAUCAAUCAAGUCCAGAUUAUUCUGUGUAGGCUUGUUGAUAUAAGCUUUUAGCAUCCUUCUAAUUUCCUCCUUCAGCUCUUGAUGCUUUGCACUGCCAUCAUCUUUUUCCUGAGGAAGAAAAUAAAUUGAGAAAUAUUAGUAGAGGAAUGAAUGCAUUUUAGACCGUAUGUGUGUGUGUGUAUUGCAUGCCUACAUCUCGGCAUACAAAUUAACGUAUGCAAUACGACCAUUAUGGUAUACAUUGUACCAUCGAGUCACUAGUAUAUGAAAGGAAACGGUCUCCCCAAAUGCUAGGAUGAAAAUUUGCAGAGCGACGAGUAUAAUCUUUCUCAGCGUUUCGUUGGAUAAUUUUAGUAGGAGAGGCUGAAACUUGAAGAGACAUAUUUUCUAUUGCUUUCUGAAGGCUUUUCAGUUUUGAGGUAAAAAGGUUGAUUAAUUCUUGGCGUAGCUUCUUGUGGUUCAAAAGCUGGACGGUGUGAUCUUCACGAGUCUUCAAGCUCGUGCAUUUUAUAGACUUGACUGCCCUAAGAUUAAGCAACAACCUUAAUCUCACAUUGCACAUGUUUGAAACAUUGAAACUCUUUCAACGUCAAGGCGGACCCCAGGACUUCAAAGUAUCUAGGCUAAUUUUUUUUUUUUAAAUAUUUUAAAUUAAGUGAACAUAAAAUUUUGUAAGUAGAAGAAAAUAAAAUACACCUAAUAAGAGGGGGACAUUAGAGGCUUUACCCCAAAUAAUAUUUACUCCAAACAAAAUAAUUAUAUAAAAAAAGUUGAAAAUCAAAAAGUAAUUCAAAACAAAAAUACUAUUAAAGUUAUACUUUUCGCGACUUCAAAUAAUUGAACUCAUCAAUUAUAGAAUCUGAAUCAAUAGUAUUUGCAAUUUCUCUUUCAGGAUAGAUGAUCACAGAAUCCAAAAGAGACUAAUUUUCCAUCAUACGAUAAAGUGAUGUCUUGAUAAGGCUCAUGACUGAAAAUGCACGUUUUGUUAUGGCUGUAGAAAUGGGAAGAGUCAACACUAGAUAAAUUAGUCCAUCAAUUAAGAAAUAGUGUUAUGAAUUAUUUGUUUCAAUUAAUUGUCAACAUAAAUCGGAAAGUGAAAUAACUUUAUGAAAAAGUGGAUGAGAAUGCGCAUCAAAUUUAUAAUGUCCCAAUUCUCUUCCCAAAACAAGAAUCUCAUUUGCAGUGGAAUCAUGAGGAUAAAAUUUUUCAGCACGACAACAAAUACGAUCUCUAUCAAAUAAAUUAAACUUAUCAAUUGGAUCCAAAGCCGAGCUUAGAGUAAAUAGUUCCAUAGUUUGCUCUGGGAAGCUUGUAUUUAUCUUUAUCAAUUGAAAACCUUUUAUAGCAUUAAAUACAUCACACAUUUCUAGAAUUGAGAGUUAAUACCUCUAUGAAAUAAGAGUUAUCAUAAUAUUUUUAGACCUAAACUAAUAUUAUUUAGAGAGUUAAUGAUGAAUUUUUUUUCAAGUUAUUUCAUCUUUAUUGGGUCAAGUUCUAUCCACUUCAAUUUUUUUAUCUUAAAUUCAUAACUUAAUUUUGCAUCUAUUCGAUCAAUUAAAUACAUUAACAUAAAUACAAAGUGAAUAAGUAGCAUGUUAACUCCUAAUUGCGUCACUAAUGGGGUUGGCAAAAUAAUCAGGCGCCUAACCCUGACUACUGCCAAACCGAACUAUUUUAAUGCAUGCGUUGAUUUAAAAGAGAGAAAGAAGUUUUCCUGACAUAUGUCACUAUAAUUUAACUAAUAAGUUCAAAUCAGUUAGCUUACAUUUCAAAUAUGGUAAGUAUGACUCAACUUAAUGCCAUUUCUAAGAGGAUCAAAGCUGACCAUAUCGCCGCCACUUCGGCCUUGGUCGAAGUGGUGGGCUGCUGCCCUCACAAGCAUUGUGGGGGCUAAAUGCUCUUAAUAUUUAUAAAUCAUUCUCCCUUGCGAAAUGCGAGUGAAGUAUGGACAUCCCUCCUCUGUGAGAGGUUAUUUGUCUGGGCAUGUACUUCACAGAAUUCAAUGUAAUAAUGUAAGUCCCAAUCAUGUAUAUCUGAUUGUAAAUAUAAGUGUAAUAUGUCUGCUAUAAUAGCAGUUGUUGUAAAUAUCUGUGUAAUGCAGUAAUCUGAUGUGUAAUCAGUAUUCAAAAAAAAAAAAAAAAAGCUGACCAUAUCGCCAUCAUGGAAUUUUUUUUUUCGCUGGUAAACCUCAGCUGCUCUAAGGAGAAUUUUACUAAAUUAAAAAGAAAAAGAGAAAAUGACACUUAAUAAGGGACAUAAUAAACUUUGCCCCUCUUAAAACUAAAACAAACAAGUCCUAAUACAAACCUAACAAUAGCGAGCACACAGAAUUCGAAGGGAAGGUAGAAUUUGUAUGGGAAUCGACAUUUUUGUACAGAACAUCCAUUAAACAAGCAAAAUUGAGAACCCGCUCGAGCAAGGGCAUAGGAACAACAGUUGGUCUCAUGAACUCCUCAUUUAUAUCUUUCCAAGCAUUCUCAAUUUUCUCUUGAAACAGUUUAACGGCAUUUUCCUAGGAAACACCAUGCUGCUUCAUGUAGCAUUCAACAGCUGAGGCAACAAGUCCUCUUUGUUGCCCAAACUACAUAACAUUCACAUAUGUAUCGGUCAUUUAAAAUAAUAAUAAUAAUAAUAAUAAUAAUAAUAAUAAUAAUAAUAAUAAAUUAAUAAUAUAAAGAGCACUAAAUAAUAAAGGGUUUAGUUCAUGCUACCUUAUGAGAGACAAUGUCGUCCGUGAGUCUGCAAAUUUUGAGGAAGCCUGAACGAUUCACUACUACAAAAAUGGGCUUUACUGACACUAAAUUAGUGUCAGUAGGUACUUUUCCUGACACUUGUUAAUUGUGUCAGUAAUGCUCAAGGCAGAACACACUAACACUAAUUUUUAGUGUCAGUGAUUUUUGUAUCAGUAAUUCAUGUCACUAUAGUAUCACCAAAAUAAUAAUACGAUAGUGUUAAUAUUUGAUGAUAUUAUUUACAUGUUAGUGAUUUAUGUGACUAUAGUAUCAAUAACAAGCUAGCUCGAUAAUAUAAAAAAUUAUUCAUGUCAAUUUAAAUAUUUAGUGUUAAUAUUUAGUAGGGGUGUUCGCGGAUCGGAUUUUACGGAUUGGACAGCAAUCCAUAUCCGAUCCAUAAUUUUGCAGAUUAUAAUUUUUCAAUCCAAUCCAAUCCACGGAUUGAUAAAAUUCAAUCCAAAUCCAAUCCAUACAUCUACAGAUCGGAUGCGGAUUUAACUCAAUUCAUAUCCAAUCCAUACGUCUGCGGAUCGGAUGAGGAUUUGACUUAAUCCAUACGCAAUCCACCGUUUUGCGCAUUAGUUUUCGAAUUAAAAUUUUUUAGUUCUCUCCAACUAAUGAAAUAAAAAAAGUCUAAUAUAAAAAUAAUUUUGCUACAAAUUAAAUUUAAAAUUGAAUAAAAUUUAAAUAAAUUAAUUGUUUAAAUAAAGCUAAAAUAAUACAUUUAAAGUUUCAAAAUAUAACACAUCGAGACUAAUUAUUCAAAUAAAGCUCCAAUAAUACAUUCAAAGUUUCAAAAUAUAACACACCAAGCUUAAUUAUUCAAAUAAAGUUACAAUAAUACGUUAAUAUAACACCGAAAUUAAUUGUUCAAAUAAAGCCACAAUUAAUUGAAAUGGCGUAGUUUUGGAAACCAAACACAGUCUGACCUUCACUAGGGCUGUUGCGCUUGUCGAAAAGUGGUGAUUACGGAGCCAUCCACGAUGGGAACCAGGAGAAGCUGUACGGGUGGCGAUCUUGAAGGUUGUGAUAGUGAAAUUGUUUAGCUGGAACCAGUGAAUGUGAAGUGACUCGAUGGAUUUGGGAAAGAAGAUGGCUUGCUCUCGCCGGAAUCGCACGGCUGAUGUCCUUUAAAUCCGUGUCGAGAGUGUAUCCAACCAGUAUUGAGUGUUGCUAGUGUGUGUAACGGCGGAGAAGCUCAGGGUUUUUUGUUUGCAAAUUGUUGGUGACUUGGCGUUAUGUUACUUUGCUUUUGCUAGUGCGUGUGACUUUGCUUUUAUUUUGUUUUACAAUUUUUACAAGUUAUAUUUGUAUAUUUGAUUAUUUAAUUAUUUUUCAUUUUAUAUUAUUAUUGGGUAAUGACUAAGAUAUGUUAUAGUACUUAGUAACUAUGCAAUGUCACAUUUAUAAUUUUUUUAAUUAAAUUUAUAAUAAUUUUUUAAUUAUAUAUAUAUAUAUAUAUAUAUUUUUUUUUUGCGGAUUCACGGAUUUAUGCGGAUUUACAGAAGUAAAUCCAUAUCCAAUCCAUCGACUGCGGAUUUUUAAAUUUUCAAUCUAUAUCCAAUCCACCAAUCCACGGAUCGGAUUUAUACGGAUCGGAUUCAGCGGAUCGGACGGAUUCAACGGAUCGGAUCGGAUUAUGAACACCCUUAAUAUUUAGUAAUGUUAUGCAGGAUUGGUUAAUAAUUUUUUUUUAUUCUAAUUAUAUUUUUCCUGUUUGUUUUACAACCAAAAGAAAGCUCAAAAUAUAUUAAAUAUAUAAAAUGUCGCAAUAUAAUUCACAUAAUAAACAUCCCAAAUACACCAUUCAAAUUCACAUGAUUCAACUACACCACUAUCUAGAAAAGAAAAAUAUAAGUACUAAAUUAAGUUUUCAACAACCACAAAGUACUAAUUUAGUUUCCACCAAAAAGAAGCACAAGAACAUCACUCAACAUCUAUUUGUAGCUUCAUUUUUUUUCCCACCUACAACAACAUAAAAUCAAUUAAUAUGGAAAUAGAUUAUGGAAAACAAAUCGAUUGCGAGUAGUUAAACAGAGCAAUUGAAGGAUGUUUUAACAACUAAUAAAACAAUACGAAAUAAUAUUACAAUAAUACUAAAAGUUAAAGAAAUAAAGAACCUUAGCUUAAGUUGUCUGAAGAAGCCAUGUUGGAUAACUUGAUACAAGUCAUAGAAAACAAAACAUCUAAGUCAAUCUAAUUAAAACCUUCCUAUGUUUUUAUAAUCAAACAAUAGAAAUCUGCAAUCAAAACAUCCAUUUGCCCACUCAAACUUUCAGCCUUAGCAUAAACUUCUUUCACUUUAAUCUCGUAAAACUUGUCAAAUUUAUGAAACUCUCAUCAAGCCUUCUAAAAAACUACCGCUCUCAUUUCCCUCCUUCCUCAACAAUCCUCAAAAGUAUUUUCAUUGCAAAAUAGCCCAAAAAAAUUAUAGGAGUUGUUUUGACUUUAGAAUAGCAACAAAACAACCCCCGAAAAUCUGUAGGGGCUGUUGUGCAGUGAAAACAACCACUAGAAAUCUACAGGGGCUGUCUUGUUGCUGUUCUGUAGUAGAAACAACCCCUGCAAAUUAACACUUUCAGAUGAAUUAGAAAGGAAAUAAUGUUACCUAUGAUAGUCACCAUUGUCGAAGUCAUAGCAAAUAGCUUGCAAAUUAACAAUAAUAACAACAUUUACAUCAGUUUAUGAAACUGCUUUUAUUGGUUUUUUUUUGCAAGGAUAUGUAUAUAAAUAAUUGUGCAUUUAAACUUACAAAUAUAUUGUAUCUUAGACCAGCAAUUGAUGUGGUAUAGUUUUUGUAAAGUACCUUAUUUACCUCAGAAACUUCACUUUCCUCUAUGCCAAGAUUUUGAAUCAUCUAUUAUACACAAAGUAAAUUUGUAGAAACUAGUUAUACAUUUGUUAAACAAAUAAACAACUUAAAUGACAAAAGUUUACUAACUGAAUAGAAAUGCACCAAGGUCAUUAUAAAUUGGCACUACUUACUGAAAUGAUCAACAACAUUGACAAUAACACCUCAUACAUGAAUUCAGAUUUUAAGCAUAUAAAGAGAGAUCAAAUGAAUGAUUGCUUAUACAUUUUAUAACAAAUUUUACAACAAUAAAGUAGAUAAAUGGCAACUCUACUAGAGGUAUGUUUCUAGUAUAAGGAAUCAAACAUAAGUAAAGGAGCAAGGUAGUAUCUUAUCAUCCGCAUAAUCAACACACCAUGACAGAAAGCGAAUCAAAUAAAUACUACGAAUGCCAAAUGGAAGAAAGAAAUUAAAACAUUUUCUGUAAAAUAUUAUUAUUAUUAUUAUUAUUAUUAUUACUAUUAUUAUUAUUAUUAUUAUUAUUAUUAUUAUUAAUCAAUAACAAGUCUUAAUAUAAAGCGAAAAGUUUUUGAUGAUAACAUAAAUAUCCAAAACUAUGUAGUCAGAUACUCAAAAGCUGAAAUCAAUAACAGGUCUUAAUUUAAAGCGAAAGUUUUUGAUGAUAACAUAAAUAUCCAAAACUAUAUAGCCAGAUACUCAAAAGCUGAAACCAAAAUAUCAAAAAAAAAAAAUUUAUAAAGCAAUAACAAUAAACCUAAGCAGUAAACCCGACAGACCCACCAGCUUUUUUAAUUUUCUUCUUGGCUGUUUUGGAAACAAGCUUGGCCUUCACCACAACGAGUUGGUUCUCAAGCAAAAGGCCCUUACCCAAAACCUUAAAGUAGCCAAACUGAGUCACAUCGAUCGUGGGAACAUUGUCUUUGGAAGCCUUGGCUUUGACCUCCUGAGGUACCAUUGGCCAAAGCCUUUUUUUUUUUUUUUUCUUGAUCCAUGUCAAUGAAAUUUGAUAUUUUUAUUCAAGCAAACGAAGCGAAACCCCUGCUCAAAGAUACCAUAAAAACUAGAUAGAAAUUUUGAACGCUAGUGUCUAAAGCCCAGAGGCCUAUGUAUUUGAUAAAACAACUGACGAAACACUAAACACAUAAUGUUGAAAUUCAAAAGUUAAAAGGGUCAAACAGAGAAUUGAAACAUAAUAUGAUUCGUCCUUGAGAUAAAUUCUUGGCCCUCAAAUCACAUGCAGAAGCAGGCUACAGUGAAGAGAGAUUCGGAAGAAGCAUUGAAAAUGCCAAAAAAUCGAAGUUUCCCUUUUUGAGAAAACCGACCUUAUGAUUACUAAGGCGAUUCAGGCAAGACAAAUACUACACGAACCCUAAAAAUGGAGUUGCUUACCUUCUGUAGGGGAUGCGGGGAAAAUUAAAUUAUUACAGUAUUACUCACAACUCAAUUAAUUUGAGCAUUUGACUAAUCUAAUUCAGGCAAAAAUUUAAUGAAAAAAAUUAAAAAGUGGAAUCUCAACUCACUGUCUUAGGCGGCUGGUGCGAUGGUGACGGCUGAAUGCGGUUGCAAUAGCAACAGUUUAGAUCGGAGGGUGAGAUGGUGACCAGAGACAGAGAAAGUGAGAGCAACUAAACGAGCGUGAGAGAGAGGGGCUGUCGCUGCUGUGUGUGCAUUCAGAGAGAGAGAGUGAAAGCGAACGAGCUACUGCAGCGUGUGGUGCGACCUGCUGGGUUGCCGCUGCGUGGACUGCGCGUGCCGCUGUCAUCGUACGUGCUGCUAAGGCCUUGGGGAGGGGCUGCCGCUGGUUAGCGCUUAGCGAGAGUUAGGGAUUUAGGCACUUGGAAUUUUAGGGAUUUGGAUUUUAGUUUGUUUGAAAGGGAACAAAUUUUGGUGGAGGCAGAUCAAAACAUUUGUGUUAAAUUUAACCAAACAAAGAAAAUAUGCGCACACGUGGUUUGUAGUUUGAAAUUAAAAUUUUAACUUCGGAGAUAUUGAGUUCGAGUCCAAGUAAAAAUAUAAUUAGAAUUAUAUUUGUUUUUAUCACUAAUACUAAAGUAUCAGUAGUUACUGAGUUUUAUACUACUGCCACCUUAGUACUAGUGAUUUAUCAUACAUAUUUGUUAAAUGGAAAAAAUGAUCCAAAUGUAUACCAUUACCGACACUUUUUACGAAGUGUUAGAAAUGAAAUAUCAGUAAAAGUCAUUUUUGUAGUAGUGAUUUUAGGGUUGCCGGAUGCCUAUAGAAAGGCUUCUUUGUUGCAAUAUCUUCCAUUCCCAAAAAUGAAGAUGUUGAUUACAAUAAGUACCCACAUGAAAGUGUUAGCCUAAAGGGCUAUACAUAAUGUAAUUUUGAUGAUAACAAACAUAUGUAUUAAGUGAUUUAAUAAAUAUUAUAUUUCACAUUUUCACUAGUUUUUGAAGGAUAAUAUUUAUGCAAGUGAAUCAAGUGAAAUCAAGUUUGAAGACACUCAACGGACAACGGCGACAUCAAGAAUAUAGUUUAGAGCUCAACGAACAAAUUAGUGCCAUAAAUUCUUGUAAAGCCGGUAUGAUUUAAUUGAUGCAUGAUUUAGCAUUUGAGAAGCUCAAGAGAUUAAUUUAAUUAAAUACUUUUCAUAAACUAAAAGGUUUUAUUUUUAUAAAGUAAAGUAUUUUGUGGAUUUAAGUAAUUUGGACUUAAAUGCUAAGAUUUGAAAUCUUUGAUUUUAAUAAGUAUUAAAUUUCGGAGUUGGAUGUUUUUUACAAACAUUUGAAAUAUUUUGGGCCAUAUUAUAAUAUAUGAAUAUUUUGGACUAAAGUGAAAGGUUUUGAGAACUUUGAAAAUAUGGGUAAAAGGACCUUUGUGCGAAAUAAUAAAAUCUUUGGAGCCAUAUCAUAAUUUCAGAAAGUUUGGGAAAGACAACUAUUCUUAGGAAGUUAUGAAAUUGGACCUAUUUGUAAAGUUUUAUGACAUUUUGGGUCAUAGUAUAAUUAUAGAAAGUUUUGGAUCAAAGUGUAAUUUCAGUGAACAGUAUUACUGUAGCAAAAAUUAAAAAAUAACGGUAAUAUCACUGUUCCUGAGCGACUAGCCGGAUAAUCAAGCGGCUAACUGCUUGGGCGCGAGAAUUUGCCUAUAACGGCUAGUUUUCGGGCUUUCACUAUAAAAACUCAACUCAAACUUCAUUCUAAGUAAUAAUACAAGGAAAAACAAGAUCAUAUAACAUAUAUUGAACUUCCAUUUCGCAAAUCAUCAUUUAUUGAGUUAUAAUUUGUUAUCCACUCUUAAAGAGAGUUUCAUUAUUGUGAUUUUCAUUUCUCAUCAAAUUGUGAGUGUACAAGUGUGAGAAACACUUGGGGUGAAGAGAUUGGGGAGAUAAUCUCUUGUUGUAAAGGUCUAUUGACACAUUGGAAGUCAAUUGUAAACAUUUGAAGCCUUGGGAGGCUUGGAUAGUGAAAUCCUCAAGCCGGGUGUGCUUGGAGGCGUGGACGUAGGCAGGGAUAGCCGAACCACGUAAAAAUCCUUGUGUUUGUUUUCUCUUCCCUUACUCUUUUAAUAUUGUGCUUGAUUGAAUUUAUUGUUUUUGAUUUGAUUAAGGCAAUAGAUUAAAUCGUUGUGCGAAUUGUAUUGCAUAUUUUUAAAAUCCCAAUUCACCCCCCCUCUUGGGUUGCAUAACUUGCAUUUUAGAAAGUAGUGCGAAGCACAUGUAUUCCUCCAUUUUCCGUACAUAUUCAAAAAAUUUAGCCUCAAUGAUGUAACUUCUCACCAGAGUCUUCAUCUAAGAAAUUAUUAAAAAAAAAUUAAACAAAGGAUAAAAUGGGAAAGAAAGAUUUAUUUUGCGCAACAGUUACUAAAGUGAGGAGGAAACUUAUAUUUGCUACAGAGCUUUCACACUAACUGAAAUGAACUGACCAAUUCUUUAGCAAAAGGUAGGCCAUACAACAUUCCAUUGCUGGUUAAAUCUUUCUCAAAUUCGCUGUAAGCAUCCAUAAGAGCCCUAUAGCACAUCUUCAUGUGCUUAGGAAGCAAAUCUAUGGCAUCGAUAUCCCACUUAGAAAAAAAAAUUAUAAACCAUAGCAUUUCAUAUAAGAUUUUAAUCGAUGAUUAUCACAAGUUUUUAAAUGUUUACUAUUGUUAAGAAAUAUUCAAAUGUGAAAAUUUAAACAUAUCAGACUUUUGUUAAGAAAACUUUUGGUGAAAACUAUCACCUAUAUCUCAGGAAUAUUCAUAUUGUAUCACCAAGAACAAAUAACAAAAAUAUGUAGAAGCGUACAUGAAUCCCUAACGCUGAAUUGUUCUCUAGGGUUGUGUGGUUAGCCUCCACACGUUCUCGUAGAGAAUCAUUUACGUUUCCCAUUACUCUCUCUCUGAUGGGAUGUCAAUAGAGAAUAAAAAGAUAAUGUAACUUGGGAACUAUAAUAACUUAUAUAGACAAUUUUUUUUUCUUAUUGUCAUUGGAUAUUCUUAAUUCUGCCCAUCAUAGAAUUAAAAUACCGUUGUGUCUCUACAAAUUAAAAGUCCACACCCUAUUAGAUAUAUUAAAGCCCAUAAUACCAAAAAUCUUAAUAGAUCACUUUUAGUUGGACUUAACUUUAUAUGACAGUCUGCAAUAUAUAAUUAUUCACAUAUAAACCCAACAUUGGAUUAAGGAUCCAACAAUAUUGGAUUAAAAAAUCUAACAAUCUCCCACUUGGGCUAUAUGUGUAACUUUAUAAUUAUGAUUUUGUAAAAAUAACCGUAUGAGCUCAACCUUACUGUCAUUACUGAAAUGUAUCUACAACCAAUCCAGUCCAUCAAUCAUACCAAUAUAGGAUCAAAGCGGCCUUUGUUACAACUAUCGUAACUUGACCCAUCAAUGGUCACUAUGUCAAUACAACUGAAUGACAUGGAUCAUGUGUGGAUGUGUAGCAUGGAAAUUUCAUGCAAUGUGAUCUUAACAUGUCUAUUUCCAACUGAUCCACUUUAAACCAUAGUGAGGUCAAAUCAUAAAAAAAAAAAUCAGAGUGUCAAUACACUAAAACUUUAUUUUUAUAGAAAAUAACCACAAAUAUUCAUAAGUUGAAAUAACUAAAAAUGUGUAUAUUACAAAAGAAUUUAAAAUCACAAACUCCCACUAAAACUAAAUAUCCUUUAAUGACAUGACACCCAUACGACCAAUAUGCUCAUGAAACAUUUUGGGUGGCAAUCCCUUAGUAAGCAGAACCAUAAUCAUGGAGUCUGUGCCGAUGUGCUGUAUAGACAAGUGUCCACUUUGAACUCUUUCUUUAACAACUGGGAACUUGAUGUCUAUAUACUUCGACUUCGUCAAAGGUCUUUUGUUAUUGGAAUACAACAUUGCUGAUUUAUUGUCAUAAAAUAACUUGAGUAGUAUAUCAACACCAUCAAUUAUACGCAACCUUGUGAAAAAAUUUCGCAGCCAUAUUCCGUGAUUGGAUGCCUCAUAACAUGCUAUAAACUUUGCUGCCAUUGUAGAAGAGGCUAUAAGAUAUUGUUUAACACUCUCCUAAUAGACAGCACCCCCAGCUAGUAGAUAGAUGUAACCCGAAGUGAAUUUCAUACUAUCUUGACAUCUAGAAAAAUUGAAGUUAGUAUACCUAAUGAUCUUAAGCUGAUCUAACUCCAAUAUGUGAACAUGUAGUUUGUUGUUCUCUAUAAGUACCGCAAGACUCGUUUGGUUGCUUUCUAAUGGUCUAUUAUUGGAUUACUUAAAUAUAUGCUCAAUGUCCUAGUAACGUAAGUAAUAUCCGGUCGGUACAAACUUGAGCAUACAUCAGACUUCCUAUUGUUGACGCAUAAGGAAUCUUCUGCAUUUCUUUUUUUCCUUAAAAUCAUUCUUAGGACACUGAUUGAAAUUAAACUUCCUUUAGCAAUAGGGGUAUCACUUGAUUUACAAUUUUGCAUGUCAUAUCUCUUGAGAAUUGUUUCGAUAUAGCUCUUUUGUGAUAAUCCAAGAAUACCCAAGAGCAAUCCCGGUGUACCUGUAUGCCUAAUACAAAAGAAACAUCACCAAGAUCUUCCAUCUCAAAAUUCUUAGUUAGAAAUCUCUUGGUAUCGUGCAAUAGGUCUAUAUCGUUGCUGGCAAGGAAAAUAUCAUCGACAUAUAAAACCAGAAAAAUAUACUUUCUCCCUCAGAACUGAUGAUAUAUGCAAUUAUCGACCAAAUUCAUUUCGAAACUGAAUGAAACAAUCACUUGAUGAAACUUAAAAUACCAUUGUCGAGAUGCUUGUUUAAGCUCAUAGAUGAAUUUCUUAAAUUUGCAAAUCAUAUUCUUUGGUCGUUGGGACAUAAAGUUUUAUGGUUGCACCAUAUAAAUCAUCUUAUAAACGUCAACAUUGAGAAAUGUCAUCGUUACAUCCAUCUAAUGUAACUAAGUUCGAAAUGUGCCAUCAAUGCCAUUAUAAUCCUAAAAGAGCUUUUCGAAGAAACAAGAGAGAAAUUCCCUUUAUAGUCGAUGCCUUUAUUCUAUGUAAAGCUUUUUAAGACAAGACGCACAUUGUACCUCUCCACAUUUCCUUUCGAAUUCCUAUUGUACUUAAAUAUCCAUUUGUAACCAAUAGAUUUUGCACCUUCUACCAAUGAGACAAGAUCUCAUACAUCUUUGUCUUUUAUGGAUUUCAUCUCCUCAUUCAUGGCAUCAAUCCACUUUUGAGAGUUUGAACUUUUCAUGCUUGACGGAAAUUGAUUGGAUCAUCUUCCAUCACCCCGAUGCUUACCUCAUGUUCUUAGAGAAAUACAAUAUAGUCAUUUGACAAUGCACUUCUUUUUUCUCUAAUGGAUCUCUUUAAUGGCAAAGGUUUUUAAGGUGGUAGAGUUGGAAUAACUUCUUGUAUGGGAGGUUCUCCAACAUUGUCUUGAUUUGUUGUGUCUUGAACAAAGUCAGGAAUGAGACCCUGAUCAAUGCGAAUAACACCUAUGGGAAUACCAAUAUAUAUCUCUUUAAAGACAAAGUCUUUAGCCGUAUCUCCCCUGCAAACUCGACAUCCUCAAAGAACCAAGUAUUUCCUGACUCGAAAAUCGACUUAGUCGUAGGAUUAUAAAACUUGUGCCCCUUAGAUCGUUUUAGGUAUCCUAUAAAAUAACAACUCACCGUCCUUGAGUCCAAUUUCUUCUCAUUGGGCAUGUUGUGCAAAUUUUAUUGAACUCGCAAGUGCACGAAUCUAUUGUAGUAUAGAUCAAUGGUGACGAGUGUCGAUCCCACGAGGAGGUGGAUUUUAAUUGUGUAGAAUUAAUUUUCUAAAUGGGUGGUUGGAUUUGUGGUGAAAAUGAUUUAGAUUAUCCUAAAAUUCAAAUUAAGAUGGCAAAAAUAAAUUGAAGUGAAAAUCUAUUAAAUUGACGUACUUGGGUAUCUGGAUCCGUAUCAACAUGCACCAUGUGCUAAAUAUUCCUUAUUAUUACCAAUUAAAUCAUGAGAGGGGAAUUCACAACUCAUAAACCACACUCUAAUCAAUAUGGUGCUAAGGACUUAUCGUGCCAAAUAAUAAUAACCUUAUACUAGGGAGCCGGUGAAACUAGGGCAGUAUUUAGACAAGCUUAUUAUUAUUUGUCAAUGAGAAGUCAAAACAUCCACAAAAACUAGAGGGGAAGAGAAAAUAAAUUUACCAAAUAAAGCCCAUGACACAUGUUGAGACUUCACCUUCAACCCAAGCUUGAAAGAAAAUUAGCUACUCAUAAUUGAACUAGGGGCAAAAUGGGAAUUUAUUAAAAUAUGUAGAAAAUACAAGAUGGAGAAGGAAUUAUAGAAAAUGGAGUCCAAAAAUAGAUUCAGAGAUAUCAAAUUAGGGGGGAGAGCCCCCUUUUUAUAGAUACAUUGAGUAAAUCAUGGCCAUCGGAUCAAAAACAUUUCGGACGCUCAAGAUUGCGCCACGUCAUUAGUUAACAGUACGCAGUUUGACCACGCGGUUUGAACAGUAAUACGGUUUAACCCGGCUUGAACAGUGACGCGGUUUGGUUGAAAAUAAUCCUGUGUAAUGCAUGUACCGUACGCGAGAUUUUUGGUCAACUGAUAUGCUGCCACGUCAUCGAUCAACAGUGCAUAAGAAUUUUAGUCCAACAGGAUUGUGACACCUCAUCAGUCAAUGCCACAUCAUCAAUCCGUCUAUGUGAACAGUGUCGUGAACAGUAACGUAGACAAUACCGUACAUGUGAAUAGUACCGUACAUGUGAACAAUGUCAUUUUUCCUUUUAUGCUCCUUCUAAGGUUUUCGACCGUCUUGAGUUCAAAAAUGAUGUCCGUUUUACCGUUUGAUCUCUCGUUCAUUAUGAAAUGACUAUGAUGCCCCUAAAAUACAUAAAAUACUUAAUUAAAAUAAAACACAUGUAAUUAAAUCACAAGAAGUUUAAGUACAUAAAAGUAAGGGUGUUAGUAAAACUUGAAGUGUAAAAUGAUGAUUUUCUCCUUUAUAAAUAUACAUUUUCUAACACUCAACACACCCCCCAACCAGCUUAUUGCUAGUCCCUAGCAAAUAAAGCGAAAACAAAAUUCAAAUCCAAAAUGAUUUUUUUUAAUUUAUCAAUCAUGUUUAUUCAAUCAGACUAAUGAUAGUUAUCAAAUAAAAGUAUAAGCAUUAUCUACAGUCUAAAGAAACAUCACACCCACAUCAACCAUCCACAUGAAUCAGCCCAGUAGACUUUGUCAUAGCUACUUUCAAGAAUGACAUGUCAAAUCCCAAAAUCUCACUGGAAGUAGUGAUACUCUCACAAAGAAUUUAAACUCAAUAAAAAUAGUCACUCCAAUGAAUGGUAAUUGAGAGAAAAUAAUAAAGAAGUGAUAUCACAUGCUCUCACCAAUAUGAAAGAAAUAUGCCCUCAGCUUAGAAAUAAUACGAUCUCAAGUCAAAUAAAAAUGCUAGUCAACCCAAUUUAUUUACCAUUUUGCCUAGUCCAAAUGACUGUUGAGUUGAUAUUUUAAAUAGUCGGUUAACUGUUUGGAGCUAUCAAUUAGCCAUUUAUUUCCAAAAACCUGUAAAACAAAUUUGGCUUGAACGUUCUUGCUAAACAGUUCGCGGUCACAAUGUAAUUCCUUCCUGGGAAUUAUUGGUUAGCCGUUUGGAUUUAUCGAUUAGCCGUUUAUUUCCAAAAACUUGCAAAACAAAUUGUGGCUAUCCAUUCUUGCUAAAUGGGUCACGGUUAUAAUCUAAUACCUUUUUGGAAAUUAUCGGUUAACCAUUUUCAGUAAACGGUUCGCUGUUAUUUUCUAGAAUCAGUAUUUUAAUAGUCUUUUGUAGAGAAUGAUUUUCCAAUUAAAAUUAACGAUGAUCCAAAUUCAUAAACAUGUCUAAAAAUAUUAUACGGCUUUAAGAGUUUGUUUAAUAUUGAUAGCUCCAACAUUUUUAAUGAAAAACAUAUAAAGCUUGUUAUCAUCAAAAUCAAUAUUAUAUAGCCCUUAUCACACAAUUGACUAAUACUAAGCAAAUUAUGUUUCAAAUUUUCGACUAAGCACACAUUUUCAAUGAAGGUAGAAGAAUCUUUACGGACAUUACCAAUGCCAAUAAUCUUUUCUUUUGAAUUAUCUCCAAAGAAAACAACUCCACCAUUUUUUAUCUUCGUGAAACUUAAAAAUCAAGAAUAAUUUCCUAUCAUAUGUCUUGAGCAUCCGCUGUCCAAAUACCAUUUGUUCUUUCUCCUCUUUGAUCCCUGCAAAAUAAAUCUCAAGUUUUUAGGUACCCAAAGGUUUUUGGGUCUUAAGUGUUGGUAACAAUAUUUUUUUUAGAACCCAAAUAGUUUUAAUUCCAAGAUAUGCAUUUUUUUCUAAUCGAACAUGCAUAACUUAAGUGGCCAUUUCUAUUACAAUAAUAACAAACAAUUUUAUAUCACUAAUGGAAGUAGCCUUAGCAAAAUAAUUGUUAUAAUAUUUUUAUUUUAAGUUAGGCUUAUAUCUAAGCCGCCUUUAUUAAAGUCACAUUUUUUAGACCUGAGCAAUUUUUUCAAAUUCUUUUGACCAUUUGUAAACUAUAAUACAAUAUCAUUAAGCACAUUAUUCUUUUUCUUAAGCAUUUCAUUUUCAAUUUUCAAAUUAUCAACAUGUACAAUUUUAAUGCUUAAAUGCAAUACUUUCUUUACAAGAUAUAAUCUCAUCAUGCAACUUUUUAUUCUCUAAUUUUAAACUUUUAACGUUUGCACUUAAAGAUUCAUUCUCACUUGAAAGUUUUGCAUUUUUCUUUCUAAGAGAAAUAUUUUUUAUUCCAAUCUUCUUCAAAUCAUUAUGCAAUUCUUUAAAGGCUUCAUACAAUUUAUCAAUAGAAAAUAGAUCACUUACCUCAUCAUGUUCAUUGCAUUAGUCUUCCCCGAUUGCCAUAAGUGCCGGGUUUGAUACUUCAUGUAAUUCUUCCUCAUCUGAGCUCUCCUCGUUGCUAUCAUCCCAAGUUUUUACCAUAGUUUUCUUCUUUAUUUUGUUUAAAAGAGGACACUCCGAUCUUUAUGGCUAGGUUUCUUGCAUUCAAAGCAGAUGACUACUUCCUUCUUCUCCUUUUGGCUCUUAAAGUUUCUAAACUUUCUUCGAACUUCCUUAAUUUUCUGGUUAUCAUUGCCAUAUCUUUAUUUUCCUUUACACAAUGUAUGUGUUUACAAAUGGAAGGUCAAAACGUGAUUUAAUGAAACAAUGACAAGCUUAAAGCUCAAUAGCAAACUCAAUGAUAAUUGUAAAAUCCCAUUCUAAUUUGAAUUUGACCGAGACUUUUUAUAGUUUGAGUUAAAAACUAGUUGUUAUUGACUUUCUGCACAUAAUCGGAUUGUCGUUAACUACUAUUGGAUCAUCGUUUUGACUUCAACAAGUGACCAUUAUGCCAUAGUUUUAAUUAUCGGAUCACCAUUUUUUGAAUGUCAUAUUACCGUUAGUGUCUAGUGACCUACAAGAAGUUGUCAGCUUACCAUUUUCUGAUAAACGAUUUGCCGUUAGCAUCUAGAAACUAAACUCCAAUUUUAUGCAAUGUUGGUCAACGUUUACUUAUUAAUGUUUAGCUGAUUUUCAUCCAGAAUUGAUGAAAUCUUGACUCAAGCUAAUCGGUUAGCCUUUUUAUGAGUUAACAUGAAUCAAUUUGCUUUCAGAAAGUCAUUCUAUGCUCAAAACAUUAUAUGACUUAAGUAUUUUGAUCCGAUUAAAGAUUUCUUCAAACUUAAUCGAUUUAAAAACAUGUUUGUUGUGAUCAGAAUCAUCAUUAUGGAAACCUACAUGUUAAUAUAGUCUUUAACCUGAAAUACUUCUGAAAAAAUUUUAAAGCUAUUUUGUUCCUCGAAUGGAUCAAACCAACUUUCAAAUUAGUUUACCAAGUGUAAGCACGAGCAGUGAGGGGAUUUGGAAAAUUCCCUUAAUCAAAGCUACGAAUCAACAACAUAUUGGCCAAGAGCAUCAAUGUAACAACUAAUAUGUUCUUUAGGGCCACUUUUCAGUUCGUCAAACAAGAUAAAUUGUAGGCAGCGAUAGCCUUCAGGAUAAGGCCUAUACACGAUCUUUUUUAGAAAUGGUGGCAAAAAAGAAUAUUCCAUAUUCUGUACAUUUUGAUUCUAGCACUAUAAGAGAGCCAUUACCUCUACUAAAGUGAUAGGUGUAUCUGACCUUACUUGAGUUUGAAACUGAGGUGUUUGUUAAAUUCUAGGCAUUCACAACUGGUCACACGAAUAGCUCUCUUGGAGGAACAGGCAUUUGUCUACGACGAAGAGCAACCUCAAAUUCUCUCUGCUGGCUUUGUUGUGGGUGAUCUGGGACUUGAUUCUGUAGAAUGACUCGAGGUUGCUCCUAUGGGCUAACUUAUGGUUGCCUUUAUCGCAUGGCUGUUUGCUGCAAAGGCAACAUUUCUCCUACAGUUUCCUAGAUGUGGUUCUUCAUCUGCUCCACAAGUUCUCUGAAACUCUCUUGCUCAUUGAUGGUUCGACUACAAAAUUUAUGGCUCUCUUCGCUACUAGAAACCAUCAUCAAAAUCCUAACCAAACUUCCUGGUGGGGUUGCCAAAUGUUUAAGGCAGAACUUUCACCAAGCCACGUGUUACAAGAACAAGUUCCUUUUAGAAUUGGGCUUGAAUAGAAACUUGGAUUAAAUGGUUUGCAAUCCGCCUAAUUCUGUUCCUGGACAUGUAUAAAACCAUACGGUUGCUCUACUCUGGUCUUUGACCGCUCCUGCUGUGAGUAGUUUCCAUAUACGUGAAUAGUACCUCCUCCCCAAAUAACUAUGGUCAAUAGCUCUGAAAUUAUUAUUAAUGAAUUGACGAGUGAAGUGGAUACAUGACUAGAAUGAAACUGAGAUAUAAAUAUCACGCAAGAGACACAAGAAUUUAUGUGGUUUAGCUUUUAGCCUAUGUCCAUGAGAGAAAAUGAGAAUAGAUAUUUUUACUAAUAGUUACAAGUACCAUAAUAUUUUAUCUCACAACCCAAAGCCCCAGUACACCCAAAACUCUCAAAUUACUAAAUUGAAAACUUAAAACUCUCAAAAUACGCUCGUAAUUGAUGUUUUUCUCAAACAAUUCUUGAUGCUCUCUCCAUGCCCUCAACUCACCUAUUUAUAGAGCAAGCCAAACCUAAAAUUGGCGGGCUCUAAAAUAAUAAUUUAUUUUAUUAAAAUCAAAUUAUUUUAAUAAAAUAAUUUUGUCAAAAUUGGUUGACAAUAUUUUAUUGCCACCGUUUUACUAUAUUUAGGCUGUAAGAAUAGGUAUUAUCGCUGAAUGUCCUAAACAAUUAGUCUCACUCAACUCCGCAUUUUCUUCGCAUGUUUCCAUCACGCAAUGUGUAACGCGAACUCUAAGGAGCAUGUAACACACUAUGCCUGAGCCUUAUGGAUUGAAUUGGGUUAUUGAGCCUCAUAUCGAUUUUUAGGUAGUAACACCUGCUUGAUAACCCUAUUUCCAUUAUGAGCUUGGAUUUCGGUUUUUCUAACAAUUGAAAGGUAGUGGUCCCACACUAUUAUCACACCAUACUUAAAUAGCUAAGUUACAAUAAAGAAUAGAGUUAUUGGUACUACGUAAUAUAUCUAUUUUAAUUUGUAGUCUUUAAUUAAAAUAAAUAAAACGUAAUUCUUAUAGCAUAAUAGCAAUAUUUGGUGAAAUAUAACUAUUGAAACUACUGGGCUUCUUUCAACAAAUUUGCAUGAUAUAUGUGAUAACUCUAUGAAAUGAGAGUUAUUAUAGCAAUUCUAGACUUAAAUCAAGAUCACUUAGAGAGUAAAUAAUGUGUUUCUAUUGCAUUUUUGUUACAUUUUGCAUAAACAUUCAUUUUAAUUUAGUCUUAAUAAAUUUUGCUUGAUUUAGAGUAAUUCAUGCUCAAAUUGUGUGCAUAAUUGUAGGUAUCCAGAAGCUUAUUUUGCACGAAAGGAAUGUUGUUGCAACCGGCUCGUAAAAAUGAGGAAGAACAUGGCUACAUAAGAAUUGAAACAAAAUCUUGAACAAUGUAGUGUUGUAGCCAUUGCUGGAGCAGCCAUUGCUGUAGCAAUCCGGGAACAACGACAGAGAAAAUUUAGCUCAGGAUAUAACAUGGACGGUGCAAUCGAUCCUUGCGGUCCAAAAGGAACAACAAAAAGUGUGCAACGAAAUCCAAUAAUUGUCAGGUAAUUAUAGCCUAUCACGCGAGUGAGAAAUUUUCGGAUGUCCAAGGAUGAUGUCUAGUGAGUCUACUGGCAUUUGGGGCUUGAAAAGUGAUUAGCCAACUAGGUCAGUCAAUAAUUGCCAUUACUCUUAUCUCCCACAUUUUUGUCUGUUAUUUAAUUUUAUUUUUACUUCCUUUUUUCAAAUAAAAAAACUAAUAAUUUUUUAAACUCUAAUCUGGUGAUCGUAGGAUCAGGCGUAGUAAGUAUAGGAUAGGUGGGGUACGGCCCAGGUUACUUUUAGAAAUUUCAAAACAAGAUUUUAGAAUAGACCGUACUUUGUUUGAAAUUAUGGAAACGUUUAAGUUGAUUUCCAAAAGUUUCAACCUUAUAGACCAUAUAAUUAUUAAUAUAUCCACUAAAAGCCCAAUUGUUUAUAAUUGAAUGAGUAAUUUUGAUUUUAUAGAAUGUAUUAUUCACCCCUAAUAAAUAAUUAAUAAAUUAAUUAAAACAAUGACCACUAAGAUCGUUAAGAUAAAACAAUUUCAACUAUUUUGCUUAUGACCCAUAUAUAUGAUCCAAAAUUUUCCAAAAGAACACAAUAAUUUCAAUAGUGCAUUGGAUUAUAUAUUACUAUGAGAAUUACAUUUCUUUAGUUUAUUUAAAGAUGAAUUUUAGAUAAAUUAGUACAAAUUAUUGGAUUUUUAACCCAGCAUUGUUGGAUUCUUAAUCCAACGUUAGACUUAUAUGUGAAUAAUUAUGUGUUGUGCAUUGCCAUAUAAGGGUAAAUUCAAUUAAAAGUGAUCUACUAAGGUUUUUGGUAAUAUGAGGUUUAAUAUAUCUAAUAGGAUGUGGACCUUUAUUGUGUAGAGAUUUAAAUGUAAUUUUUAUUUUUAUGAUAGGUUGAAAUAAGAAUACCUAAAGACUUCAAGAAAAGUUGUCUAUAUAAGUAGUCAUGGUCCCAAGGUUACACGUAUCUUUCUAUUCUUUCUGAAAUUCCAUCAUCAGAGAAAGAGUAUGGAGAAAAUUUAAAGGAUUCUCCACGAGAACGUGUUGAUCUAAAAUGCCAACCACACAACUCUAGAGAAUAAUUUGUUAUUGAUUCUUGGUAAUACAACAUAAGUGUUCCUAGUUUAUAGGUAAUGUUUUUCACCAAAGGAAUUUUUUGUUCGAACAAGUCAUAUGAGAGCCUUUUCAUUUUAAAUCAUUGAGAAUCAAUUUUAUUUUUUAUUACUAAUUAAGUUUUUGAGUUUUCUCGAAUCUGGUAUCAUUGAAAUUGAGAAACAUUGUGAUUUUUUUAAAGGAUUAAAAAAAAUUGUUUAAUUAAAAAAAAUCAGCUCUUAUGAUUUUGAAGCUGGUGGUAACUAGUAUUCGGAAUAGGCACGAUCGACCACGGCAGAUUUAGUUAAAGAACCUUUAAAAAGAAGAAAAGGGAGACAAUUACACCAGCAGGAAGCUGCAGUCUGGUUAGGUGAAACAGUGACCACGAAGGAAGAAGGCGUGGCCAUGGCUAUAGCACAAAGAAAAAAAAAUUAGGGUUUUUGAAUUUUUAAUUUAGGGUUGGUUCAGGUCUGGUUCGGGUCAAUCGAAUCGGUCCAGUCUUGAACCAGUCAACAAUUGAUCAUUAAUGGUCAACGUUGACUGUUGACUUUAAUCGUUGACCAUACUUUGAGACGAAUUUUUUUUGUGGUAAUUUUGGUGUAAUUUUGAAUUCAAAUAUUGCUAUAUAUAUAUAUAUAUUUGUAGAUGAAUUAAUUGAAACAACAUAUCAUCAAAGUGAUAUCGAUUGUGGAAAUUAAUUUAUUUUGGAAUAUAUACAGUUGUGUACAUGUAAUUUUUGUUGAUAUUGAUUGACCUAAAUGAAGGUCUAUAUUUGAUAGAAUUACAUAUGCACAUGUGGUAACAAACACAUGAUGAUUAUUUGGUUUUAUAUGUGAGUAAUAAAUCGGCCUAAGAAAUAAUCAUUGUUUGAGAUGUUUUUAUUAUCAGUGUUUGAUUACUACACCAAGAUAUCACUUACAAGGUAAUAUUUUGUUCAGAGAUAUAAUAUUAAUAGAGUGUCCGACAUCUUGAGAUGAGAUUUUACCUUUAUUUGAAUUUAUUUUUGUUUUAUGACUAAUAUGAGCUUGUUUUGUUUGUUUGUUUGUUGUUCUCUGUUCAAUUGUGUUUACUAGUAAUAUUACUGUCAGCAUCAAUUUUAUUCCUAUGCUGAAUGGUUCUAACUUCAAGUCAUGAUAAGAGAACCUCUUAAAAGUUCUCGCAGUCAUAGAUCUUGACUUUGCAUUAAGGGUUAAUUCUCCUCUACCUUUACAGAUGAGAGUACGCCUAAUGAUAAAAUGGAAAUAGAAAGAUGGGAGAGAUCAAAUCAAACGUAUAUUAUGAUCAUGAAGAAGGCCAUUUCAAAAUCAUUCAGGGGCUUAAUGUUUGAAAAGGCAACUAUGGCUAAGGAGUUUCUUGUAGAAAUUGAACAGAGGUUUGUCAAGAACGAAAAGAUUGAAAUUAGUAGGCUCGUAACGAACCUAAUUCCAAUUAGGUAUACGGGUAAAGGUAAUAUCUAGGAGUAUAUCAUGGAGAUGUCUUAUCUUGCUUUUAAGUUAAGAGCACUUAAGUUUGAACUCUCUGAGGACUUGCUAGUGUAUUUGGUUUUGAUAUCCUAACUAACACAAUUUAAGUAGUUUAAGGUGAGCUAUAACUGUCAAAAUGAGACAUGGCCUCUGAAUCAUAUCACACUGUGUUUAGGAGGAGGAUAGGCUGAAGAAAGAUAAGACAGAAAAUGCUCACCUAGCCUCUACCUCUAAGGGCAAGGACAAGGGUAAGAAAAGGAAUAAGAAUAAGGAAGCUGCAGACAACACCUAAAAAGAAAACAACAAAAGAAAUUGGGUGAUUUGGAAAGUACUAGUUGUUUCUUCUAUGGAGCUGAAAGGCCUAGGAAGAAGCAUUGAACUGAUUAUCACGUAGAGGGUGCUAAGAAAGGUAUGCUUCUUUGUUUGGUUUGUUUUGAGAUUAAUUUAACUUUGGUAACUAGACAUGCAUGGAUGAUAGAUUCUGGUGCAACUACUCGUAUCACUGUGCCUAUACAAGGUUGUCCGAAUUGCCGAAAGCCAAUUAGUGAUGAAAGAUACACGUAUGUGAGAGACAGGAUUUUAUUUGGAUCUUGAUGAAACAUUUAUUAUUUCGUAUUUUAGAUGAAAUUUAAUUUCUAUUUAUGCUUUGAACAAAUCUAGUUAUUCUUGUUUGUUUGGAAAUGAAAAAUUCAACUUAUUUCAUUAUUCAAAUGAUAAUCUUUAUAUGCUUAAUAUAAUUACUUCAUUUAAUGAAUCCUUGUAAUUAAGUACACGAGAUUUAUGGAGAAAAUUAACCAAUAAGAAUUCGACUGCAUUAUGGCACAUGAGAUUAGGUUAUAUCUUCAGAUGAAAAAUAUAGAAACUUAUGUCAAAUGAAAUUCUUAACCUCUAAGAUUUUACAAAUUUUAAUAUUUGUGUUAACUAUAUCAAAGGGAAAGAAACCAAUAAAAGGAGAUUUGAAACCAAUGGGACUUUGGAUGUCUUAGAACUUAUACAUACAAAUAUUUAUAUGCCAUUCUCUAUGGUUGUUUGGAAUAGUCAACAAUAUUUCAUGACGUUCAUAGACGAUUUUUCUCAAUAUGAUUACAUAUACCUCCUCCAUGAAAAGCCAUAGUCCUUGGAUAUGUUUAAAAGUUUUAAGGUUAAAGUUGAGAACUAACUCAGCACAAGAGUCAAAAGUAUCAUAUCUGACCGUGAUGGUGAAUACUAUAGCAGAUAUGAUGGUUUAGGUGGACAACGUCUAGGAUCAUUUGCUAAAUUCCUAGAGGAAUGUAGUAUUGUCCCACAGUACACUAUGCUGAGUUUAUCCAUUAUGAAUAGUGUUCUUGAAAGACGAAAUAGAACGCUUAAGGAUAUUGUGAGGAGUAUGAUUUGUCAUUCUACCUUACCAGAAUCAUUCUGGUAAAAAACAUUUAAGAUUGCAGUGUAUAUUCUUAAUAUAGUUCUACAAAUACAUCUCGGUAAUGACAGUAAAGUGGAGCGCAUACGAUUAUUUUUACAAAGCAUAAUUAUAAUGUUACACAUAUAGUCCAAGUGGGAGAUUGUUAGACUUUUAAUCCAGAAUUGUUGAAUCUUUAAUCCAACUUUGGGCAUGUAUGUAAAUAAUUAUAUGUUAUGGAUUGUCAUACAAGAGUAAGCCCAAUUAAAAGUGAUCUAUUAAGAUUUUCAGUAAUAUGAGCUUUAAUGUAUCUAAUAGGAUCUGAGCCUUUAAUGUGUAGAGACUUAAGGGUAAUUAUUAUUUCUAUGAUGGGUUGAAAUAGAAAUACCUAAAGACAACUGAAAAAGUUGUUUAUAUAAGUGGUUAUUGUCCACAGGUCACACAUAUCUUAUUAUUCUUUCUGACAUCUCAUCAUCAGAGGGAGAGCCUAGAGAAAUUUUAAAGAUUCUCUCGAAGAAUGUGUUGAUUUGAAAGGUCAAUCAUACAACUCUAGAGAAUAAUUAAGUAUUAUAGAUUCAGAUACGCUUCCGCAUAAUUUGUUGUUGAUUCUUGGUGAUACAACAUGAGUGUUCCUAGUUUAUAAGUGAUGCAACAUAAGUGUUCCUGGUUUAUAAGUGAGUGUUCCAUACUUUACUUGUCAAAUUUUAUAAACCUAUUAAGCAUGUUGUAAAAAUAAUUGGGGUAAUUAUCCACCGACCACCUGUUAUUUUGGACUUUUACAAAAAUACACAUAUAUUUUUUUUUGGCUGAUUUCCAUUUGAAGUUAUAAAACGUAUCAUUUUUACAUUGCCGUCUAAAUCUGUGAGAGAAGUUAAUAGAAUAUUAAUAAAAUGACUAUUUUAUCUCCUUAAUGUAAAAUUACUAUUUCACUCUAACUAAAUGAAAAAAAAAUUACUUUAAUUUUUCUUUGCAAUUUAGACAUUAGAUAAUAAGUUAAACAAAAUUAUCUGGAAUAUUUUUGCCUUUUUUUCUCUUUCUACCGCGUUUAAAUGAUGUUGAUUUUUAGUAUAUAGGUGAAAUGAUUAUUUUACCCCUAUGACAUCAGCAAGGUUACAACAACAUGUAAACGGAAGUGGAAAAGUGUAAGAAAAUGUAACUUCUAGUGGAAAUCAACCAAAAAAAAAAAAGAUAUGUGUAUUUUUUAAAAAGCCCGAAAAAACUGGUGGUCGGUGGAUAAUUUCCCAAACAAUUAUCAUAUAUUGAUAAUUACAGUUAAUAUAUAUUAAAGUGAAUAAUUGUAUCCAAAUGUAAAAGAAAAACAAAGACAUUGGCGAAGUUAAAUAAAUUUUGUGAAAAUUUUUGCCCUUUAAAUUAACAAAAUCCCAAAUCCAAGCUCAUAAUGGCAUAGGAUUAACAAGUAGAGAAACAGCAAAAUCUUUCAGCGCAAUGCCAACAUGAGUGUAGCCAUCUUCGUACUUGUAAAUAACAUCUAUGGCGUGUGUAAGAUUAAGAAUUCCCAUAAGAAGUGGCAUUGGCACAACAAUUGGGUGUAGGCAGUCCUCUAAUAUCCUUCCAGGCAUUUCAAACGUGUUUGCAUAACUCAUUGCAUGGUUCCUCUUCUAUUGCACCUUAUUGUUUCAUGUGACACUCAACGCAUGAGGCAACAUGCCCUCUACUUUGUUCAAACUAUAUGCAUAUACAAAGAUGCAUACAUAUAAUAUAUUUUUAGUUAAAGAGAAAGUUAAAGAUCACACUAUUAAUUAUGGAGGCAAUAUUAUUUUAUAUAUUUACCUUGUAUGACACUAUGUCAUCCAUGAGUUUGCAAAGUACAGAAGAAGCCCUAAUAAAUCUAAGAUUGCUAAUAACCAUUCAAAUGAUUCUUUAGUUACAACGUCUCCCAUGCCGACAAAAAAAUGUGGUUGACAAUGCAACCGUCACAUGAUUCUUUAGUAACUAAUGCAACUGUCAUGUACUCUUCCAUUGACGAUACAUAAUUCUGAUGACACCAUUUAGCUUCAAAGAAGUAAAUCUUUACAACAUUCUUCAUCUAAUCAUCAGAAACCAAAUAUAUCACGUAUUUGUUAGUAAUUAAAAAGGAAGUAAUUCCGAGUAUCAAUCUUUAAUGAAAUAUUGAAGACUACUCACCACUUCUUUUGCAUAACGGAGGUGGUAUAAUUUUCCCUAAGGGGCCAAUUCUUUAUCUGGUUUACCGUAAACCUCAAGAAGGUCUCGAUAACAUAGUUUCAUAUACUUUGGAAGUUUAUCUAUGGCACUGAUAUCUCACCUGAGAAAGAAAUUGCUAGCCCAUUUUAAUAAUGGGAAUUAUGAUAAAAAAAUGUUAAUAAAUCUUGAGGACUAGAUCCAAAUUAAUGAUGAGCUAUUCAAACCUUUCAAUAGCUGAAGUAAAAGGCUCAAGUUCUUUAAUUUUUCCAUACAUAUCAUAGAUGUCAUCAAUAGUAAAAGUCAUGGAAAUCACUUUUGUUAAUAUUCUUCUAGUAAAUAAAUAUUGGUGCUUGAAAUACACUCCUAAUAUCCAAAAGUAGCAUUUUGCAAUUCUGUCUCUUAUGAAAGGUAGCUUGUACAAAAGUCUAAUCCUUUUCACCACCUAAAUGAGACAACCACAGCCAUUUAGAAAUUAAUAUUCCUUCAAAGUUCGAAAGCUUUAUGAAAUGUGCUCGUAGUAGAAUUGAAAUCAUUUUUAGAGCUUAGUUAUUUACCUUGAAAUAUCAUUGAGUUCUUUCUGGUAAAGAUUUUGCAAUUUGUUAGAAGCUAACUUUGCGAAGGUUAACAGAGUUUCAUUAUAUAUUUGCUUACACUUGGGCAUACAAAUUGUUGUGAUAAAUUCAAAUGUUGUUGGUGUCAAUGUGCAGGUGUACACAACAAGUAAUAUAAUUAUAAGUAUUCAAUAUUGUUUCCACAGGGAUUGAUGUUAUCAGACUUGCUACAACAAUCUUAACAGUACAAUUUUAUUCUAACUUAAGACAAAAUAAAAAUGCAAUAAGUAAAAAGCAGUAAGAAAAAUAUCACGUCAAACUUAAGGAUUAAACCAGUGGGAAUAUAAAGUAGUUGAGUGGAUAAACUCACUUAAUUGCAUUGACUAUUAUUUCAAUUACAGAACCGUUGAUACAACAUUUACGACAACACUGGGCAGAAUCACUCAUGUAUCCUCAGCUGUCGCCUGUUGGAUAUCUUAUAUCUAAUGCAACCUAACAGUAACCAAUUGCUACACCAACAUUAAAUAUAACAUUAAACAAUCGAUGUUUUAUUUGCCGUACAAGGUGAAUCCUUAUAUCUUGUUCAUCACUAAUUUUAGAUUAAGCAUGACUCUUAUGGAAUCAAGUAAAACGUAAUUCAGGAAACCCAAUCUAAAACCAAGUAUUACUCUCAUAUGUUCCACUAAAAUAGACCAUUUUGUGCCUCUUUUUUAGCUAGUAUCAUUAAAUAGGUGGUCAGCCGAAAUGAUUGAAUAGAAAUAAGUAUUAUCAAGACAAAGUGCUAUAGCAAACAUGCAGCAACACAUAUAAUCAGUCAAUGAAUUGUUAAGAUUGUUUAUCACUCAACUAUAAAUAAAUUUAGCUCAUGGUUUACGAAAGAAAAAUAAAUAAAAGAGUUACAGCCAUCAAACACAUCCCCAAGAUUAAAGAGUAAGCGAGAAAACAAAAACAGAAUAAGAAAGAUUAGUUUGCUGAUUGAUCUCUACAAUUUUCUCCUCCGAUGCAGCCUUAAAUCUUUCUCUUGAGUUCUGUUUUACUCUUGUUUCUUUUCGGUUUUGCUCCUUGGUCGACGACUCCUUUUUUUCCUUAAUGUGUGUGCUUCUUUUAUGGCUGGAAAUUAGGGUAAACGGAAGCUUAUGGCACAUAUCUUCCAGAUUAGGAAACUACAGAUCGGAAUCUUCUAAGUAUCUCGCGUGAAAUUUUUCUCUAUCAAUGUUCCAUGAUUGCUACAGUAAUGGCUACAGCAUUUGCACUGUUUCAGACUUGUUACAAUUCUUCUUUCACCACGUUCUUUCCUUAUCCUUACAAGUCUAUUGUAGUAGCAUUCUUUCCUUGAUUCUUGAGCUUCCGGUCACUUACAAUUAUGCAUAUGAUCUAAGCACAUAAUUUAUUCUAAAUCCAACAAAACUUAUUAAAAGUAAACUAAAAUGGAUGUUCUUGCAAAACAUUACUAAAAUGCAAUAAAAACAUGUCAUUUGCUCUCUAAGUAUGAUUGAUUCAAGUCUAAAAGUAUCAUGAUAACUCUCAUUUCGUAGAGUUAUCACAAAUUAACGUAUGCAAUACUACUAUUAUAGAACACGUUUUACUAUGGAAUCACUGGGAUAUGAAAUGAAGUGAUCCCCUAAAUGCUAGGAUGAAAAUUCGCAAAGCGACGAGUAUCAUCUUUCUCAGAAUUUCAUUGGAUAAUUUUAGUAAAAGAGGAUGAAACUUGAAGAGACAUACUUAUUUUCUAUUGCUUUCUGACAACUAUUUAGUUUUAAGAUAAAAUGGUUGUUCAAUUCUUGGCGUAGGUUCUUGUGCUGUAAAAGCUAGAUGAUGUGUUUUUGGUGCCUUCAUGCUUGUGCAUUACAUAGACUUGACUGAGAGAAGACACCCUAAUAGUAAAAGACAACAUUAUUCUCACAUUGCAUAUGUUUGAAACAUUGAAACUCUUUCAGCGUUGAGGAUUAAGAUGGUAUGUGUCAGGAAAAAUAUCCAUAUCAACUGAUUAUUGAACUUAGGUUAAGUAUAUAAGACUAGGACAACCUUAAACUAUUGAGCUGGUUGUUGGGUUGAGUUAUUUUUGCAACUUAAUCCUCCUUGAUUCUCAUUUCUUAUGAAUUUUCUAUUUUAGCUUGUUUUAGAAAUCUAAAUCAAUUUUUUAACACCUUACCUCUCUUAGGAACUUGAACCCAAGUCAAGUACUUGAAAAUCACUCAGCCAAGUCUGGGGACAAAAAUUUCAAGAUUGGUCUACAAGAUUUUAAAUAUGAGAUGUGGUUUCUAUGUCCUAAGAGUUUUUUAAUGGAGUUGUAAACUAAUGGUUUUUGUUCGUACUUAUUACCAUAAAAAACUUGAGCUAGAAUUAGAGAAUUCUCAUCUUCUGAAGCUGCAUUUAUAUGAGCAUUAUUGAGUACUGGAGAAUACAUAUUUAUGCAAGGUAAAAUUGUCAUUUUGUACUUCAAGUCUCACUAACAUUUUCAGUUUUACGUGUUUAGAUCCUCUAAGUUUUUAUUAAGUGCUUUUUACUAUGAUUUAAGUAUUAUAUGUAUUUUAGAGAUAUUUUGAACUCGAAACAUUCAAAAAACUUAGGAAGAACAUAAAAGGGUAUUGAUAACUCUAUGAAAUGAGAGUUGUCAUGAGACUUUUAGGCUUAAAUCAAGACUACUUAGAGAGUAAUUGAUGUGUUUUUAGUGCACUUUAAUGAUUAUUUGCAUUAAAUUCAUUUUAUUUUGAGUUUGAUAAAGUUUAUGUGAUUCUUGAAUAAUUGUAUGCCUAAAACACAUGCUUAAUUGCAGGUAAUUGGAAACUUGAAUUUUAUGAAAAAGAUGUUGUUGCAAUGGACUUGUAAAGGACAAACGAGCAUGGCUAUAGAACAAUUAGAGCAAGUCUGGAAUAGUGAAGAUACUGUAGUCAUUGCUCUAUUAACCAUUGCUGUAGUAACUCUCGAGCAUUGACAGAAAAAUUCGGGAAACAUAUUCAGAAUAUUGCGAUCUGCAGUUUCUUAAUUUGAAGAUAUGCGCCCUAAAAGUUUUCAGUUACCCUAAUUUGCGAAUAUAAAAUGAGGCAUACAUGAAAAUAAAAGGGGAGGCCAUCAAGCAAGAUCAAAACAAAAAAGAGACAACAAAGAUACAAAAUUCCCUAUCAGAAUUUAAUGCUGCACCAGUAGAGGAACUUGCAGAAUUGAUUGGAAUCUGUUAUUUCUCUUUCUUUUCUUGUUUAUUUGAUAUUCAUUGAUCAUUGAAGAUGUAUUCGAUGGCUAGAACUUGGUAGUUUAUUUACCUUUCACAUAUUAUAAACUAAAUUUAUUUGUUGUUGAGUGUUAAACUAGCUUGAUGGUUAAUUGACUGAAUAUAAAUGUUGUUGUAUGUUUGCUAUAGCAUUUUGCUUUGAUAGUAUUCAUUAAAAGUCAUUAUUUUGGCUGACCACCCAUUUAACGGUACAAAUUAGGAAAGAGCCACAAAAGGGCCUAUCCUAAUGGAACAUAUCAGAGUAAUACUUGGUCUUGAAUUGAGUUUAACUUGAGUCCUAAAAAUGCCAUGCUUAAUCUAAGAUUUGUGAUGAACUAGAUAUAGAGAUUCACCUUAGAGGGUAAAGAGAACCUAAAUAUGUAAUGUUAUAUAUUAUAUUACCAUAGCAACUGGUCACUGUUAUGGUGGAUUAAGAUAUAAGACAUCCAACAUGCUACCGCUGAAGAUAAACCUGGUUUUUGCCCAAUGUUGUAGUAAAUACUACAACAACUGAACUUGACAUGAAUAAAACAGCCAAAACCAUCAAAAGAGUUUAAUCACUCAACUACUCCAUUCAUAUUGAUUUAACAUUUGUGUUUAACGUGCAAACUCUAUUCACUGUAUUUUUAAUUAUUGAGAUUUUAUUUUACUAAGUUAUUUGGUAGUCAUAGUUGUAUUGAUUUAAUUUAGAACAUAGAUUGCACUGUUGAAAUUGUUGUAGCAAGUCUAAUAGCAUCAAUCCCUGUGGAGACAAUCUUGAAUACUCAUCAUUUUAUUACUUGUUGUGUACACUUGCACAUUGAUACCAUAGCAAUUGAAGUAAAAUUAACAACAGGUGUUCAACACUGUUCACGUAUACGAUACUAUUCAUAAGUAGGCACUGUUCACAUAUACGGUAUAAUGACAUGGCAUUGACUGACGACGUGGCAGCAUCCUAUUGGACUAAUGUGUGGCGUUGUCCAAUGAUAUGACAUGAUGCUAUUGGACCAAAAUACUAAUGUGGCAUUAACUGAUGAUGUGGCGGCAUCUUAUUAGACUGAAAUUCUGAUGUGGUGUUGACUGGUGAUGUAUUCCAGCUAAUCAAAACUUGACACAUGGCGCAAUCCUGAGCGUCUGAAUUAUUUUCAUCCGAUGGCCAUGAUUAACCUAUUGUAUCUAAAAAUAGAGUGCUCCCCCCUUAAUUAGACACCCUUAAAUCUAUUUUUUAGCCCCAUUUUCCAUAAUCCUCUCUCCAUCUUGUGUUUUGUACAUAUUUUAGUAAAAUUAUCAUGCAACACUCCACUAUAUUAAUUACUUAAAAAUGCUUAAAAACAUAGUACUCUUAAUAUAAAUACGAAUUUUAAAAGUUUAGCACAAUCCAACAAAAACUUUCUUACAGAAAAGUAAAAGUCAUAUAGAGAUUUUUUAGUUUAUUUAAAAACUUAAUUAUUACAUAAAGCCAAGAUACUUAUUUUUUUAUUAACACAAAGCUUGAGCCCAUCAUAAAAUCCCAAGGUCGAUUAUACCCAUAUGCACUUCGUCUUGGUUAGGACUUGGCGCCAGCUUGCCCUACUCAUCGUUACCUGCAAUGUAAGGACUUAGUGAGCUAAUGCCCAGUAAGAUAACACUUUGAUGCAUGUAUAAAUUAUGAUGCAUAUAAAUGACCAUUCUUAAAAUAAACUUAGAAAAUACAAAACAACUUUAUUUGGGCCCUAGGUAUGUUGCACUACAAGGCUGGCACUUUUACUCUUUAAACAUUAUGCCCUUGGGCCUCAUUAGUUGAACUUUUGGGCGUUACAUAUCUUUGUCCCCAAAAGAUUUCUUACAACUUAGCUUUGAGGGCUUGCCCUCCUUAGAACUUUGCCACCUGGUAGUACAACCACUUAUUUUUCAUAAAUUCAUUUUCUGAAACGUCUUCUUCAUAAUGUAGUCCAUAAUAUGCAUGCAUCCAAUGCAACUUAUAACCUUGAUGCAUAACAAAAUCAACAUACAACAUUAUUUAAAGACAAGAGUCUUUAGUAUAGGCGGCAUAGCCGACCAUAGCAUCACAUAUUAGGCGGUAUGGCCGACCAUAUAAAGAAUAUAAUUAAUCACACUAUAACAACCAUUAGAAUAUAAAGGGAUUGUUAAAACUGAUCUUAAGUAUAAAAGUAAUUUUGCCCUCACAUUGAAGUUGAAGUGUUACAUACCUCUUGAUCUUGAUUUCUUUAGACCUUUCUAAAUUAAGGAUUUCUCUACUCUUGUUAUUAUUACUUAGAAUGGAAGAGAAUGAAAUUUCUAAGUUGCAUUCAAAAUGAAAGGUGGUGGGGGGUAUUUAUAGGAUUUCUUAAGGCUAAUGGAUGGCUAGGAUUUUGCCACCAUAACUCUUGAUCAAUGGUUGAGGUUAACCUUCAUAAAUACCUUACUAAAUUCUAGAAUUCUUAUCUUUUCUUUACAAUCUUCUCUUACAUCAUCACUUAUGUCAUUGAUUAUGUCAUCUUUACUUUUUUUUUUGAGAUAAUGUCAUCUUUACUUAGAAUUAAAUAUCUAAGUAAAGAUGAGAUUAUCCUUUAUAAAUGUCUUGCUAAAUUCUAGAAUUCCUUAACUUUCUCUACAUUUCUUCUUACAUCAUCACUAAUGUCAACACUUAUGUCAACGCUUACGUCAUCAUUCCUUAUGUCAUCAUUCCUUAAAAUUAAAUAUUAUAAACUCAAGGGACUUGUUAGCUUAAAAAUAAAUUCUACUAUAUUUAAGAAAAUUGUACCUCACAUAUCAUUUUAACCCUAGUUUAAUUAUGAAUGGCUAGUUUAGUUUCAAGCUUGGGUUGAAUGUGAAGUCUUAACAUGACCCAUGGGCUUAAUUAGGUAAGUUUAUUUUCUUUUCUUCUCUAUUUUAUGUGGUUGUUUUAACUCAUUAUCGACAGACAGUGUAUUUUAUAUAGAUUUUGCACGGUAUACUAGCUCCUAGUGAAUGAUCGUUACUGACUGGCACAAUGAGCACUUAACACCAUAUUUAUUAGAGAAAAAUUCUCUCUAUUAUUUUUUGGGUCGUCUUGAAUCAAUGGCGAUAGAGAAUGCAUCUAAACUAUUUAGUGGAUGGUCUUGCCACAUUAUGAACGAAAAGAUUAUUAUCGUCUAGCAUAGUGUGUUCUUGAUACCACACUUAGUGGAGAAUCAUUACCCUCUGGCAUAUUGAGCGCUUGAUAUCAUAUUUAUUAGAGUGAGAAUUAUGAGAAGUGGAAAUACCCCCCUCAUGAAUUAAUUGAGACUAAAAGGAAAUAUUAAGCCCAUGGUGAAAUGUUGAGUGUAAAUCCAGAAACUCAAGUGUUUCAUUUGCAUAGUUUUCAUCUUUAACUCAUUACCACCAUUUUAUUUUAAAAUUUGAGAUAAAAGAAUUUCACUUGCAACCAACUCACAUGUACACUUAAAAAAUUAAUCUUACGCAUAAUUAAAUCUACCUCCUCGUGGGAUCGACACUCGUCACCCUAAAUCUAUACUAUAAUAGAUUCGUGCACUUACGAGUACAAUAAAAUUUGCACAAUAAGUUUUUGGCGCCGUUGCCGAGGCGGUAAGUUAUUUUAAUUUGUGCAGCUAUGGCGCCGUUGCCGGGGAGGUAAGUUAUUUUAAUUUGUGGAGCUAAUUUUCUUUGUAAUUAUUGUGCAAAUAAUUUUAUGCACAGGUUUAAGUAUGUUUUCAUAAUAAGUGUGUAUCAACGUUAUAAGGUCGGUAUUGUAACUUCUCCCCUCUCUCUUUAUUUUCAUUAAUUUUGUUUUUAGUUUUUACAUGUUCUUUGGAUGCAUGGUUGAAAGUCAUAGUCACCUAAUUUAAAACCUGUAGACCUUGAACUGGAAAAGACACUUCGCACAUAUAGAAACUUUGCAUCAAAGGUUAAAAUUGAGGAUAAAAUUGGAAUGGAUUUGCAACAAUAAGUACAAGCACCACAAGAAAGGCCAUUUAAGGAUUACUUCAGUCCAUUAGCUAAUUUGAGCACAUCAUGCAAAUAUACCCAAAGGUAGCUGCUAUGAGUUUCAAGUUAAAACCUAGUGUGCUAAAUUGUCUUCUAUCAUUCUAUGGCUUGGAAAAUGAAGACCCAUACAAUCAUUUGAAUGAUUUUCAUGUUGUUUGCCAAACUUUUAAAUAUAAAAUUUUUUCAGAUGAAGAUGUUAAGCUUAGAUUGUUUAUAUUUUCUCUAAAUGAUAUAGCUUGAUCAUGGUUCAAUACAUUACUUACUAAUAGUAUCACAUCAUGGGAACAAAUGAUAAUCAAGUUUUUAAAUAUAUACUUCCUAGUACAUAAAAUCAAUGUUUUUCGCAGAAAAAUUUCAGAGUUUACUCAAAGAGAAGAAGAGCAAUUCUUCAAAGUAUGGAAGCGAUUCAAUAAGCUACUUUUAAAUUGUCAACAUCAUGGGUAUGAGAAAUGACACUAAUGUUAAUAUUUCUUAAAGGGACUAUUGCCACAUGGGCAUGAAUGGUUAAUGGCAGCAAGUGGAGGUGAGCUCAUGUCUAAAAACACAUUAGAGAUUUAGGAUUUCUUCCAGCGACAAGCGAAUAAUUCCCAACAGCAGAGUUAAUCAUUCAAGAAGAUGAGAAAAAUCAAAAGAGUGAAUAUUGGCGAGUCAAGAUCAGAAAUCCAGGAAGUCAAAGAGAUAAUUAAAGGAAUUUCUCGCUAAAUAGCAUCAUUGACAACUGUCAAGUCAAUAGAGCUACAAGCCUACAACCAAUUUUAUUCAUACCCAAAUAAAGCAAAUACCAUAAAUAUGAUGGGAAAGUAGUUGAAUUACAACCCUUACUCCACCAAUGCAACUAGUUCAUUAAGCCCUUCAAGUCUUUUAACCACCAUUCAGAUCAUAUAAUCAGAACUAGAUCCACUCACAUGUCAAACCAUGGGAAGAGGCAUUCCAAAGUCUCAAAAAUUUUACUCACACCGCAAUAGAACAACAAAAUCACAUAAUUGGUGAGUUGCAAAAUGAGAUGGAAGGUGGAUUUAAUUCACAAGCCCAAUAAAUUUCGAACCUCGAGAACAAAGUGGGUCAAUUUACUUCUUCAAUUCAAACCUUGGUGAUGAAUGUCAAAAAAGGUAAAUUCCCAAGACAGCCAGUCCCUAAUCUUAAAAGCGUGUAUGAAGUGAGUACAAGUUCACUCCAACAGUAUGAAGAGGUCAAUGAAAUGCAAGUUACGCAACCCAAGAGGGGGGGUGAAUUGGCUUUUUAAAAAUUAUGCAAUACAAUUCGCACAACAAAUUAAUCUAACACCUUAAUGGAAUAGAAAACAAUAAAUUCAAACAAUCAUAAAAAUAAAAGAGUAAGGGAAGAGAAAAACAAACACACGAAUUUUUACGUGGUUCAGCAAUCCCUGCCUAUGUCCACGCCUCCAAGCCAACCAAUCUAGAGGAUUUCACUAUCCAAGCCUCCUAAGGCUUUAAGUUCUUACAAUUGACUUCCAAGGUGUCAAUGAACCUUUACAAUCAAGAGAUUAUCUCCCCAAUCUUUUGCAACCCCAGUGUUUCUCACACUUACACACUCACAAUUUGAUAAGAAAUGAAAAUUACAACAAAAACUCUCUUUAAGAGUGGAUAUGCAAAUAAUAGCUCAAUAAUGAUUCAAUCUAUGAUUAUUUGUGUUUUGGAAGCUCAAUAUAUGUUGUAUGAUCAUAUAUUUGCUUGCAUUAGUUCUUAAAAUGAAGUUGGAGUUGAGUUUUUAUAGUUAAAGCCCGAAAACUAGCCGUUAUAGGCAAAUUCCCGCGCCCAAGCGGUUAGCCGCUCAUGAACAGUGAUAUUACCAUUAUUUUUUAAUUUUGCUACAGUAAUACUGUUAACUAAAAUUACACUUUUGGCCUAAACUUUCUAUAAUUAUAUUACGGCCCAAAAUGUCAUAAAACUUUUCAAAUAGGUCCAAUUUCAGAAUUUCUUAAAAAUAGUUGUCUUUCUAAAACUUUUUGAAAUUCUGAUAUGGCCCCAAAGAUAUUAUUAUUUCGCAAAAAGGUCCUUUUCAACAUAAUACCCAUAUUUUUCAAAGUUCUCAAAACCUUUCACUUUAGUCUAAAAUAUUCAUAAAUUAUUAUAUGGCCCAAAAUAUUUCAAAUGUUUGUAAAAACGUCCAACUCCAAAAUUUAAUAAUAAUACUUAUUAAAAUCAAAGAUUUCAAAACUUAGCAUUUAAGUCCAAAUUACUCAAAUCCACAAAAUACUUUACUUUAUAAAAAUAAACCUUUUAGUUUAUGAAAAGUAUUUAAUUAAAUUAAUCUCUUGAGCUUCUCAAAUGUUAAAUCAUGCAUUAAUUAAAUCAUACCGGCUUUACAAGAAUUUAUCGCACUAAUUUGUUCGUUGAGCUCCAAACUUUAUUCUUGAUUUCGCGGUUGUCCGUUGGGUGUCUUGAGCUUGAUUUCACUUGAUUCACUUGCAUAAAUAUUACCCUUCAAAAAUUAGUGAAAAAUGUGAAAUACAAUAUUUAUUAAAUCACUUAAUACAUAUGUUUGUUAUCAUCAAAAUUACAUUAUGUAUAGCCCUUUAGGCUAACAGUCAAAGCCAUUAUGAUGUUGCAAAAAGGCAAAGAAGUGGACAACAAAGUAGAAAUGCUGAUGAAAAAACAACUCAAGUUGUACUUUUAGACUCUGAGGACGCAUCAACAAAGAAGAAAGAAGAUAGUAGCCCACGAAAAUAUAUCCCUAAAGGUCAUUUCCGUUUAAGGUUAGCUAAAAAAAAAAAAAGAAUUUCCACAUGUGAGAUUAUGGAAAUUUUUAAAUAGGUAAGUAUUUUUUAUGCAAUUAAACGAGUGCCCUCUUAGGCCAAGUUUCUAACAGGUCUUUGCACUAAAAAAAGAAUCGUUCAUUACAAAAGAAGAUAUUUUAAAUAGAAAACAUUAGUUUCAUACUCCAACAUAAAAUUCCUCUAAAAUACAAAGACCUAGGCUGCCCUACUAUCUCAUGUAUUAUAGGGAACCACAUAGUUGAGAAUGCCUUGUUGGAUUUAGGAGCUAGUGUAAAUAUUUUACUUUACUCGGUAUUUGUGAAACUGGGAUUAGAAGAAUUACAUCCAACUCCAAUUGUAGUACAGCUUACAAAUUGAUUCAUAAAGAUACCUCACAUUAUUGUGGAGGAUGUGCUCAUUCAAGUAGACAAGUUUUAUUUAUCUAUUGAUUUUAUUGUAAUUGAUAUUCAACCAGUGCAGGAUUCAAAUAAGCAUAUCCCCAUUAUCUUGGGGUGACUUUUCUUAGCAACUACAGAUGCACGCAUUCAAUGCAAGACUUGAACUAUGUAGUUGUCCUUCAACAACAUGACCAUAGAGUUGGAUAUAUUUAACAUUGCCAAGUAACCUCUCAAUAGAGAUGAAGAAACUGUUGAUGUUGAUUUAAUUGAAGAAUUAAUUGAUCAUUUUUUCCUUCUAACUUUAGUAGUAACCAUUUACAAACAUGUUUAACUCACUUUGGGUUGAAUUUUGACAUUAACAAAUUGAUUGAUGAGGUUACUGCUUUACUCGAUUCAUCACCAUCCAUGGACACAACCAAAUGGAAGGUAAGAAUUAGACCAAUUAGCACCAUCACGUAAGAAACUUAACCCAUCAUUAGAAGCUCCACUAAAACUUGAGUUCAAAUCCUCACCUAAAACUUUUGAAUAUGUAUUUUGGGGAGAUGAAAAUACUUUGCCUGUAAUCAUUUCAUCUGCUCUUGAUGACAAGUAAAAGAGUAAGUGGUUAAGUGUUUCAAAAGACCAUAAAGAGGCAUUAAGAUGGACCAUCGCCAAUAUAAAAGGUAUAAACCCAGUAAAUUACAUGCAUUAUGUUCAUCUUGACAAGAACGCAAAAUCUACCAGGGAAAUGCAACGUUUGCUAAAUUCUAAUAUGAAAGAAGUUAUUGGAGCUGAAGUUCUUAAAGCAUUAGAUGUAGGUAUCAUUUACCCCAUUUAUGAUAGUUCAUGGGUCAGUCCUGUACAAGUUAUCCCUAAAAAGUCAGGAGUCACAGUAGGUAUUAAUGUCGACAAUGAAUUAAUACCCACUAGAGUGUCUACAGGGUGGCGUGUAUAGAAAGUUGAAUUUUGUCACACGAAAAGAUCAUUUUCCUUUACCAUUUAUCAAUCAAAUGCCUAAUAGAUUAACGGGUCAUAAAUUUUAUUGUUUUCUAGAUGACUAUUCAAGAUAUAAUUAGAUUUCCAUAGCACUGAAAGACCAAAAGAAAACAACUUUCACUUGCCCUUUUGGUACAUUUACAUAUAGGAGAAUGCUAUUUGGAUUAUUCAAUGCACCUGCCAUAUUUCAGCGAUCCAUAUUAAGCAUUUUUUCGGAUAUGGUUGAACACUUCCUUGAAGUCUUUAUGGAUGACAUUUUUGUUUUUAGAGAUUAAUAUUAUUAAUGUUUACAUCAUCUAACACUAGUUCUGCAGAGAUGAAUAGAAAAUAAUUUGGUCUUGAAUUGGUAGAAAUGUCAUCUUAUAGUAAAAUAAGGUAUUGUUUUUUGUCAUAUCAUUUCAAGCAAAGGUGUUGAGGUUGACAAAGUCAAGGUAAAUCUAAUUUCUAAUCUUCCUCUACCUAAAACAGUCAAAGAGGUAAGAUAUUUCCUUGGACAUGCUGGUUUUUAUAGACAUUUCAUUAAAGAUUAAUAAAAUUUCUAAACCUUUAUACAAUUUACUUACUAAGAAUGUACAUUUUGUCUUUGAUGAUUCAUGUCUUCAGGUAUUUGAAAAAUUAAAAUAGUUAUUGACCUCAUAACCUAUUACUAAGCCCUCAAAUUAAAACUUAUCUUUUGAACUCAUGUGUGAUGCAUCUAAUUAUGCAGUAGGAGCAGUACUAAGGCAAAGAGUUGAUCGAAUUCCUCACGUCAUUUACUACGGUAAUAUGAUGUUGAAUGAUGCACAAUUGAAUUACUCAACUACUAAAAAAAAAAAAAAAGCUUGCAGUAGUAUUUGUAUUAGAAAAUUUUUGAUUUUAUCUUAUAGAAAGUAAAAUAAUUGUAUUCACAGAUCAUCAUACUCUUGAAUAUCUUAUUACAAAGAAAGAUGCAAAGGCCAGACUAAUUCGUUGGGUGUUACUUUGUAGGAAUUUCACCUUGAGUUCAAAGAUAAGAAAUGCACAAAAAAGGUGGUGGUAGAUCAUCUCUCUCGCCUCAAUUUUAACACAGUUCCAAAACCAUUUCCAUUGAAUGAAUCAUUUCUAGAUGAACAACUAAUGAGUGUGGAAGUACUACCAUAGUAUGCUGAUAUAGUUACCUAUCUUAUUACAGGUCAACUUCCAAAGCAUUAGACUAAGCAUGACAAAGUCAAAUUUUUUGCAAAAAUAAAGAAUUUCUUUUGGGAUGAUCCUUAUCUUUUCAAAUAUUGCGUAGAUCAAAUUGUCAGACGAUGUGUCCCAAAAAGUGAAUUUCAAAAUAUCAUUUCAUUAUGCCAUGAACAAGAUAUUUGUUCAUAUUUCGAGAUGCUUAGACUUGUUGUUCUUUUAUGAUAGGUGUUAGCCUAUAGGAAGUAUUACACGAAGGAACAUGAUACCACUAAGUCUUAUUCUAGUGAUUGAAAUUUUUUAUGUGUGCGGAAUUGAUUCAAUGGGAUUCUUUCCACAUUCUUUUGGCCAUCAAUAUAUAUUGGUUAUUAUUGACUAUAUAUUCAAUUGGGUAGAAGCAAUUCUAUGCAAAACCAACAACCAUAAGAUGGUGAUAAGAUUCUUAAAGAGCAACAUUGUCUUACACUUUGGGUUCCCUCAAACAAUAAUUAUUAAUGGCGGUACUUACUUCUAUAAUAAAUCAUUCAAAGUUCUUUUAGCAAAAUACUCCAUCACACACAAAGUGGCUAUAAAAUAUCAUCCACAAACUAGUCAGCAAGUUAAGAUCUCCAAUAGGAAAAUAAAGAACAUAUUAGAAAAGAUGGUGAGAUCAAAUAGAAAAGAUUGGUCAUUGAGACUUGAUGAUAUAUUAUGGGCACAUCAAACGACCUUCAAAACCCCGCUUGGGAUGUCACUUUAUAGGCAAGUGUAUGGGAAAAUUUUUUACCUACCUGUAGAACUUGUUCAUCGUCCAUACUGGACCAUUAAAAAAUUCAACUUUGACAUGCAACAGGUUAGUUCGAAAAGAAAAUUACAGCUAGCAAAACUUGAGGAAAUUCGCAAUGAGCCGUAUAAAAAUGUCGAGAUUUACAAGCAGGGAAUGAAAGUCGUUUAUGACAAGCAAAUUAUGAGGAGAUCUUUUACACUAGGUCAGAAAGUGUUUUUAUUCAAUUAUCAUUUGCAUUUAUUCCCAGGUAAGAGUAUGCUCCCAUUGGUCUGGUCCAUUUAUUAUUUACACUAUUUUUUUCACAUAGAGCCAUUGAAAUUAAGGAUCCAAAGAAUUUUGUCUCUUUUAAAAUUAAUGGUAAAAAAUUAAAGCCAUAUCUAGAGUACCAAUCACAUGAAGAAGAUAUCGAAAUAAAUUUGGGCGACCCACUGAAUCUGGACUGAGACUUUUUUCAUUUUUUUUCUUUUCAUGUGUGCACCAUUUAUAUCUUAGAAUUAGAGCAAUUAAAAGCAUUUGGCCGCAUGUCUUCUAUUUUUGGAAACCUCAAAUCACAAUCUUUUAGUUAACACACACGAAACUUGACUACAGUUGCUACAGGAUUGCUGCAGCAAUGGCUACAGCAUCUUAACUGUUCUAGACUUGUUUUAAUUCCUCUACAGCCAAGUUCUUUUGUCAUCUCUGCAGGUUUAUUGCUGCAACUUCCAUCCAUAAAGCUUGAGCUUUUUGGUCACCUGCAAUCAUGCAUACAAUCAAAGCACAAAGUAUUAUAAAACACAACCAAUUUAUUAAAAUUAAAAUUAAGUCGAUACUUAUGCAAAAUAUAAUUAAAAAUGCAAUAAAAACACAUCAUUUACUUUCUAUGUAAUAUUUGUUUAAGUUUAAAAAUACCAUGACUCUCAUUUUAUGAAGUUAUGACACCCCCAAACUUAAAUCAUUACUUGUUCUCAAAUAAUGACAACAACAAUAACACUAUACUCACACAAUCAUGCAACAAGCAACUUGGCACUGUCAUCUAGCUUGGUCGGAUUUAUCAAUCCUCAGAUUUCAUUUUUAAACUUGCAAAAUUGCCGUAAGCAGUUCUAGUUCUAGACUUAUGUCUUAUUCUGUCCAAAAUGUGUGUGUGGCGCUUUGAUCAAGCUCCAGAGUUGUUGCAGCAUCACACAAGAAUUAAAUAUAACUUAAAGAUCAAACAACAAACAUUUCCUCUUAUGGGGGAACAAGAACUAAGAAAUGGCUUUAAACUGUGCUACAACAAAAAUAUUUCUCUUUUUUUUAAAAUCAGUUUCGCACUCUUCAAUGUAACAUUGAUUUUUCAUGUAAAUGUCUAUGAGUUGUAAUGAUGAAACUCAAUUACUUGACUAAUGUACAUAUGAGAGUUGUAGCAAUAACAUCUAAGAUGCCAUAACAUAGUCGUAUUUAUAGACAUCUUUAACUCAAGGCUGAACAUGGGCCUCAUGACAGAGGGCUUAAUUUUUUUUUUUAUUAGUUGCCACAAUAGUGCAUAUAACUCUCAUUGCCUUUUUGCUCAAGUCUGCAUAUGGAGUACAUACUCAACCCUGGUUACUCAGCAACUAAGCCAUUGGAGCAUAAUUUUAUCAUAAUUUUGUCAUAAUUGUGAAAAAUAAUUUAGGUUCCCCUCCCAAACUUGAGAUAUUUCUAACUUUGUAACCCUACCUGGUUUUGUUAUUGCAUACUCACGAAACUCAACCAAAGCCAAAGAGUGAAGAUAGAGUUUCAAAUUUUAUCUAUAAAUUAUCCCUACUUGGCAGUCAUUCAAUCCCUAUUUCAACACUCAAUUCAUCCUCAUUGGAUUUUCUAAUCUAAAUACAAAUGCUGGAUAAACAAAGCUAUACACACAACACAAAUACAUCCAUUCAUAAACACAUUAUACCGUAGCACAACCCCCCAAACUUGAGAGAUAUUGUGUCCUUACAUGCACACAGAAUGAUUUAAUGAAAAAGAUGCAUACACUAACAAAAAUAAAUGCUCAAUAAAAAAAUAAAAGAAAGGAAAAGUUUCAGAAAUAGCAAAAUUAAAUUGGGCUGGCAGGAGAUACUCCUCUGUUGUUAGAAGUUUUGCUGCAGUUGGUUGUUUCUUUUUCUAGCUCUUAGUUGGAUUGGUUGGGGGGGUUCCAGCAGCUUUUGUGAUUUUUGGUAGAGUUGUCUUUGUUUUCUUCUGUUCUGGUUCUUCUGGUGCGUGCAUUACUACAGCACCUAUAAAAUGUUGUGCCUCUUUUCUUUUGCUGAAUUCCCUGGGAAUUGAGACUUGGUGGGAGUUUCCUUUCUAACAGCCGGUGUAAGAGUUGUUGUUGUUGGUUGCUCAGCAGUGAUGUUUGCAAUGAUUUCCCUCAAACUCCUCUUUGCUUCUUCUGUCCUUGUAGCCCCACUAAUGGCUUUCUCUAAAGCUACAUCAAUGUCUUUUUCUUCCUUUAUCUCGAACUCCUCCUCAAUCAAAAUUUUUGUUUUGCCCUCGUACUUGGGAGUCACAACUGGUGAUUCCUCUUUCUUUUUUUUCUUCUUCCUCUUCACUUUCUUCUUUUACUUCUGCCUCAACCUUUUUAGCCCUCUUAUUUCUGCUGCCUUUCCUUUGCUUUUUAUUUCUUCACUUUCUUCUGCUGGAGUAGUCUCCCCAGCUCUUUAAAAAUUAAACUACUGCAGUAUCUAGCAAAUUGAUGCUUUUAUGCUUCAAGAUGCACUAAGUAAGUCCAAAACCUUCGAUUUUCUUCCUUUUGCACUUGGACACAUGCAUUUAUACUUUCCCUGAGUUCUUGCAGUAUCUUCUCAAUCCUUGUGGCUUGCUCUAUCUUAGCUACAGCAGGGUUUUUUUGGGUUGCUGCAGCAAUCGAUUUCAUAGUAAUCCUUUCAACUAUCCUAACUGUGAUAACCCUUUAUUCUUCACUCUUUCAUCACUUGCCUCAAAUUUCACCCUAGAGGCCUCAUAAAUACCUGUGAUCAGCGAAGGAAAUAGCAAGGUAGCAGAUUUUUUCUUCAUUAUUAUACACUCUCUAAUUUCUUUUUCAAUGAUCUUCCUAACAUCUAUGGCCAAACCCUUGACUAUUGCAUAAAGUAGUAUAAGUCGAUCUUGGGACACAGUGGUAGUAUGGGUGGUUGGCAUCAAUCUAAAUUUUAAAAAUUUCACCCAAACCUUAGCGAUAAGUUUCAAGUCUAUCCUAUUGACCACCCUUCCCUCCUCAUUCAUAUAUUCAUUGACAUGAACAGUUAAGGUUUUAAAAACCUCUCCUUACUUCUUUACAGUAAUGUUCUCGGCAAAUUUAGUGUACUUAUAAUCAAUCACAGAGGGGAAGUCACAAAAAAGCAUUAAUAACUUGAGAGUCUAAAGGUACUUGCACUUGCCUCAAAAUGAUGUUUUGUUGGUCUUACAGUAACAUGUUGAAAUAGAACUCCUUAACGACUGAGAUAACGAGGUUUUGGGGUGAGCACAAAACUUCAGCAAUCCUCUUUGUGUUACAGCAGUAAAGAUGUUGUUCAUCGUCCCCAUUAGUUGUUUUGAAAAUUGAAAACCCUUUUCUUCCAGAAUUUUCUAAGGCUCGAUAAUGUCUUCAAAUUUUCCUCAGCUUUAUAGUUGCUGAAACGCUCAACGUUCUUCAAUCUACCAACAUGCGUUUUAAUUUUCAACAUUGUUGUAGCAAUUUGAACAGAGUUUUAUUUUGCUAAAAAGAAAAGUAGAACGUGAAAAAGAAUUGUAAAGAUGUUGGGAGUUACAGAUAGGGAGAGAAAGAGUUAUAGUGAAAUUGAAAUAGUUAAAGUAAAUCCCUAAUUUAUAGCAAAAAAUAGAAGAUAGAAAAGAAAGGUAAUUAAUGAGAUAAAAUUAUAAAUGUAUAUUUGAAUUUUAAAAGCAAGUUUUUAAAAAGAAAGGAAAGGCUAUGUGUCACGGAAAAUCAAGGGUUGCAGAAUCAUCCUUAUAACAAAUUCUGAUCUACUAACAUAAGUGUGUCAGCCCCUCAAAUGGUGAAAAUCCAAAGCUGUUAGUGCAACGGUAAAGAUCAUUGUUGUUGCAAUCAUUCUGUUGCUGCAACAUUAUCGAUAGUGCCUCCGUUAUUUGAGAAUCAUUUUCUAACUUCUAUGUUGUACGUGAUACUACAACAAUUCCUUUUGGUUUCUUUGCCCACAUUUUUUUUUUCGUCAACUUCUACUUGCUGCAAUUUAACAUAAGAAAACAAAUAAAGAAAUUAGAUGCAUAAUUAAAAUAACGAAAAGAAAAAUUAAACAACUUUCAAAACUAAAUUUAAUGUUUUAAAAUUUUAAAACAACUUUUCUCUUGGGUCGCCUCCCAAUCAGUGCUUGAUUUUUGGGUCCUUCAGCCUAAUCAUCCUUAGUUGUUCAAGUUGGAUCCUUGAGGAAUAAUUCCUCCUUGGGAUUGUUCACAGCAGCUCUAAUGUAAUACUUCACUCUUUGCCCAUUCACCUUGAAUUCCUAGCUUGUUCUUUAAUCUUGAAGUACAACCCUUUGAGGAUAAGCCUUGAUAAGUUUGAAAGGUCUUGACCAUCUAGACUUUAUAGAGCAAGACUUGUUGACCUAGAAUGAGCUCCCUCUGUUGGAUUUUCUUGUCAUGCCAUUGCUUGGUCCUCUCCUUAUAGAUUCUUGCUUUUUCUUAAGAAAACAACCUCAACUCUUCUAGCUCACAAAACUGUAACUUCAUUUACUUUACUACAACAGUUCUAUUGAUGUUUAGUUGUUUUAGGAUCUUCAUCUUCAAGUUCUUUAAAUGUUAAAACCUUGAUUUCUUCAUUCUUGCAGCAAUUGUUUAACCUCUCUGCUAUAGAAAAAUCUACAAUACUAAUAAAAUUACAAUAUUUAACAUAGUCAUAACUCUUCAUAACAUCUAACACAUUGAAUAUAACUUGCUGAUCAUUAACCCACAUAGCAUAUCAAUUAGAGUCUUUCUCGUGGCUAAAACAGGAUUUGCCUAAAAUAAUUGGCACUUUUUUGUGAUAGCCCCCUAGUCCAACACUAUAAAAUCCACUAGAGAGAUAAAUUUAUCCACCUUUACCAAUACAUCUUCAAUCUUAUUGUAAAGUGACUUUUGUUGGUCUAACUUCCCCAACUCCCAAUUGCUUAAACACUAAUAGAGCCAUGAGAUUGAUGCUAGCCCCCAAAUCACAAAAUGUCUUACCACUGUAUUUAGUUUUUAUAGUGCAUGCGAUUGUAAAACUUCCUAGAUCUUUAGCUUCUGAAGAUUUUGUUUUGAAGCAUAUGGUUGUAAUCUUGUGUUAGGGCAAUUGUUUCAAACCCUCCAAGCCUUUUUUUUUCCUUGCCAAAAUAUCCUUUAAGAACUUCAUAGAAUUUGGCAUUUAUUUUAGAGCUUCUACAAAAGGAAUAUUGAUAUGUAUCUACUUUAGCACUUCCAAGAAUUUAUUGAAUUGCUUAUCUUCUUUUUGGUUUUGGAAUCUUUGUAGAAAGGGUGGUAGGUGUCUAAACUGCUAUGCUAUAGCAGGCUGUAUAGGCUACUGCUCUUUUACCAUGUUUUGGUUUGAUGUUGUUGAUGUUGCAGCAGCAUCACCAACAGGUGUUGAAUCAUCAUUUUCUGCAGAUGUUAUAGCUUGGCUAUUUAUACCAGUGGGCUCAAAAGUGGGAUGUUGUUGCUCCUCUUUAACUUGAGUUUCUUCUUAGAUUAAAAUGAGUUUAAUUCUUCUUUUUGGUACACCAUCAUGAAUGUGAACAUCUUUUUCAAACCUUAAGUUAAUCACUUUAUCUCCAUCCAGGGUUGUAAGUGCUCGAAUAAAGAUUGUUAUGGUUCUAUCGGUCAUAAUUAGCCAAAUCAUUCCAUGUAGUAAUGGAGUCAGGUGGUAAAGAGUUCAACAAUGCUCUUACUCGAUCCAUUAGAGAAAUGGGAAAAAUCUAAGUCUCAAUGCUUCUUAUGUUGCUCCAGCAAUCUUGAAAGCAUCACUUACUUCUAAAAAUAGUUUAAGGUGAAGGUAAGGAUCUUCCGAUGGCAGUCCAUUGAAUUGCUCUACCGUUUGAAGUAUUUGAAACAUCAUUGACUUUAACUCAAAAUUAUCAACUUGUACUUCAAGUCGAACUAUUCCAGGAUUUAUGGUUUAAGGAGUUAACAAUGCAUAAUCUCUUAUGACUCUGUCUCUAUUGGCUUUGUCUUUAUCAUCUGCCAUGUGAAUAAUAUUGUUGUUCUCUAGUUGCCCAUAAAUAAUCUGCUCAUUAUGAUCUUCUUGACCUCCUUGUGCAUUGAGCGGGUCUAUUGUCCUCGAGGGUUCAAGUUCCUCAUAUCUUGCAGAUCAUCAAUGUCUACAACAUCUUUUAAAUUCCUAUGCUCUUUUCUCAAUCUCCUUGCAGUUUUUUCAAUUUCUGGAUCAAAAUAGAGUUCAAUAGGUUUCUAUUUGUGCAUGCAAGGGUUGCUAGAGCACUUUUGUCAACAAAGUAAACAAAUUAAAAGAAUAAUAAAAAUUGGCACCAACUAAAAUUGAUUCACAAAUCACAAUAAAAAAAUCAAUCCCCGGCAAUACGCCAAAAACUUGUUGGGUAAUUUCUAUUGUUAUAGGUGUCAGUGUGCAAGUGUACACAAUAAGUAAUAUACUGAUGAGCAUUUAGAUCGUCUCCACAGGGAUUGAUAUUAUAGGAUUUGCUACAACAAUCUUAACAAUGUAAUUUUCAGUCUAAAAUAAAAUAAACUAAUUAAUAGAACUAAUAAACUAACUAAAUAAAAAGUGCAAAUAAAAAAAUACAAUAAGGAAAAUCUUAAGCUAAACAUGAGGACAAACUCAAUGGGAAAGAAGUAGUUGAGCGAUUAAACUCACUUAAUGGUAUUGACUAUUUCUAAUUAAGGUUCUGUUGUUACAACAUCCUCUACAGCACUGUGCAGAAUGCCUAAUGCAUCCUCAGCUGUCGUCUAUUGGAUAUCAUAUAUCUCAAUGCAACCUGGUAAUAACCAGUUGUUACGCUAACAUUAGAUAUACCAUUAUGCGUUCUAGGUUCCAAUGACCCUAUAAGGUGAAUCUCUAUGUUCAGUUCUUCACUAAUUUUAAACUAAUAAUGACCUUAUUCAAAUCGAAAGCAACUCAACUUGGGCAACUCAAUCUAAAACCAUGUAUUACCCUAAUUUGUUCCACUAAAAGGCUCCUUCUUAGCUAGUAUCCACUAAAUAGGUGGUUAGCCGAAAUAGGGAAUUACAAUAAUAAAAUAAAGAAAAAAUGCUAUGGCAAAUCCAAAGCAACACACACAUAUCAGUCAAAUAACCAUUAAGCUUGUUUAUCACUCAACCACAACAAAGUUUAGUUCAUGAUUUGUGAUAAAAUAGUAACAAUAAUAACUUUAGCCAUCAAAUACAUUCCCAUAAAUAAAGAAAAACAAGAAAAGAAGAUGAAAAUUGAAUUUUGCUUAGUCUUUAUGAUCUCUCCUUAUUUUUCUCCUUGAAUCCUCUGUUGCAGCCCUCAAAUCUCUCUUUUUUCUCUAUUAUUUCCUUGAGUAACGGCUCUUUUUUUUUUUCUUUUCAUGUGUGCUCUUUUAUAUCUUGUAAUUAAGGCAACCAAAGGUGUGUGCCCGCAUGUCUUCUAUUUUUGGAAACCUUAAAUUGCAAUCUUUCAAUUAACAUUCUUGAAAACUCGACUGUAGUUGCUACAAGAUUACUGCAACAACGGCUACAACAUCUUUACUAUUCCAGACUUGUUUUAAUUCCUUUGUAGCCAAGUUCUUUUGUCAUCUCUACAAGUCUGUUGUUGUAGCUUCCAUCCAUAAAGCUUGAGUUUUUUGGUCGCCUACAAUUAUGCUCAUAAUCAUAGCAUAAAGUAUUAUAAAACACCAUCAAUUUAUUAAAUUAAACUUAAAUGGAUGUUUAUGUAAAAUAUAACUAAAAAUACAAUAAAAACACAUUAUUUACUCUCUAAGUAAUAUUGGUGUGAGUCUAAAAAUGUCAUGAUAACUUUCAUUUCAUAGAGUUAUCAACCAAACAAAAGGAUUUCACAUAUAAAGGUUAUUUUUUGUACUACGAAAUCCAAAUCACAUCGAGACAUAAUGAUACAACAAGAAAAUGUAACUUUACAAUAUGUGUCCACAUAAAACAUUGUGUAGAUAGCUGGAAAGAUGUAACUAAAGAUGUUUAAUUGUUGCAAGCUUGAUCUUUUGGUGAUCUAUAAGCUUAUUGCCGGAGAUUAAGAAUGUCAUCAUUGGAUAUUCUUAUAAUACUAUGUUGUUAAUAAUAAAAUAACUAUUCAGCACUUAAAAUGUAGAGUUAGGGUAACCACUCAUAUAAGAUUGUUAAAAGAUAUGUCAUCAUGUUAAGACCGGUUUUCUUACACAAGAGGUCGCUAAGUUGUUGUAGUAGCAAGCUGGGAUGAGUCACAUAGAGUUACAAAACAAUUAGAUAUAUGGUCUAUUGUCAUUGAGCUUAUGUAAUUUUAAAGAAAGUUGCCUUGAUUAGGUUAAGAUAAGGUCAUAUUAAGUAAGUUAUUGGAUUGACUAUGAUAUAUUCCACUAUUUUAGAAACCUGCCUUAAGCCAGAUAUGAGUUUAGCAUCUUGUGAAGGCGAGCUUAUUAAAACUUAAGUUAGGCAUUUUAAUAGCAAUUGAACUACGAUAUGUAUAGUGAAUGAUUAGACAUAUACUCUUUAUUAAAGGAUAAUUCAUUGUAAUGCUUGAUUCAAAUUGCAUGUGCUUCUUGUGACCAAUAAGGAAAAUGAUGUGAAGGAAAAAAUGAAUGAAUCUCUACUUCCUCAUUGUGUAAGUUCCUCCAUAAUGAGACCUCGGUUAAUAUCCUUAGUUACUGUCUUUUAUAUUUUGAGGUGAAGGAUUAAUAUUUGCUGUUUUAGCAUGUUAUCUAUGGCUAUCACGUCAUACAACCUAUGAAAUAUGUCUAAGUAAGCAUCUUAGUCAAGAAUUUUCAAAAUAUGAGUAGGAUGGGAAGAUUUAUUUUUAUUCAUCUCAAUUAUGUUUUCACUGGUUGACUAGUUGUAUAAUCUAUAUAGGAAUAGUGUCAAUUGUGGAUACAUAAAGUCAAACAUAUCUUUUAUUAAGGGAUUAAGUAUACCUAGACCUACAUGAUGAAAAUAUAUCUAAUCUCUUGUAUAUGUUACAAUCGAGAUUUCUUAUUAUUUAAAUUCCAACUUGUUGUUUAUGGGUCAUACAUCGCAUUUGUCUAUAUGAUACUGCAUUUAAGGCUUUGGGACAAAUUACUUCCAUGACUCUGUAUAUGAUGUCAUCCCAUCUAGUGCAAAUGGAAGAUGUUGGAAUUGGCACCCAUGAUGAGUUGGACCAGCCCAACAUAAAAGACAUUUAGAAGUUUCUUUUAGUAGAGUUCUAUCAUUGUUAGGCUAAUUGGACGCUGAGAGUCAUAAAGUCUUUUUUAGACUUUAAUUACUCUUAUUAGCUUAUAUAUAAGUGCAUUUAUUGCAAUUUGAGAUAAAGAAAAUGCGUAAAACGUAUUAGAAAAUAUAGAGUGGAGACAAGAGAGAGAAAAGGCAGUGGGCUCUUGCAAUGUGAUUUGAGGGGAUUUUCUUUCAUUAUGAUUAUCCUUCGACCAUAAGUAUAUAGCAGCAUAAGGAUUUUUCAUAAGAUUAUGUUGUAUCCCUAUAGUGACAUAACCUCAUUAUGAUCUGCUUCAACAUCCAAAGAUCAAAAGGUAUUCUUUGGAUUUGCAUUAAUUUUAUGUUGAAAUAUACACGAAAAUCAACCAAAUGGCUAGAAAGGAUGUAAAUAACUAAACAUGAGCAUUUUAUGUACGAGAAUGUUGGUGAGAGAUACAUGCAUUCACAUUCAUAAAUAAACAAAUGUUUUGUAUACGAAAAUCAAUAGAAGCAUAGGAGUGAUAUGGUCAACUUUGAUCCCCAAGAAAUGACUUUAAGUUGAGCCAUACCUGCAAUAUUUGUUUUUUUUUUAAUAUGGUACAAUUCUAGUAUUUUACCAACAUAUUUAUCAUCAAAACUCUACGGGACUCACUUAAAUCAAUUCUUAUAGAAAUAUAUCCUCAUUAAAUUAAAGGGAUAUAUUUACUCUACCCACAAAUCAAUGGAAGAAAAAUCUAAUAAAAAAAGGCUCUUUUUAAUUUCCCUGGUUCAAUUAUAGUUUUUUUGUUUAAAAAAUAAAAAAUAGCUUGGUUCAACACUAGUCGUGGCAGGCGGGAUUGCCCGACCAUGGCCGAGUUUAAUAAAUUGUCCAUACAUCUCCUUUUUAAGUUUUAAAACAUGCAACUUCUCAUAAAAUAAAAUAAAAACUAAAUUAAUUAUAACUUAGUGAACUUUAUAAUUUUCUAUCUAAAAUAUGAUAAAACUCAUAAUAUAAAAUAAAAUAAAAAGUAAUUAACAACUCCGUCGUUGAAUUACUCGGCAUCUCAUUCUCUUAACCUUAUGGUGAGGUUUGAGUCUUCCCAUGUGGCCAUAGAAAUUAAUUAUUGUAUUUUGGUUCUCUUAAUCUGAUGAUAAUAAAAUAGUUUAUUAUGGUGAUUUGUACAAUAGGGUUCAGGAAGAAGUAAGAAAUAAUUUUCUUUCAUUGAAAUGAUAAGAAAUAAUUUUUUUGGUUAAAUAAUGAAAAACACACGAAUCAAGCUUGAAGCCUACCUCAAUCAAUCCUUUUUACUCCAUACCUCAAUCGAAAAAAAAAACCUCUCCACAUGUCUCCCCCUCCCCCCCCCCCCCCCCCCCCUUCCAAAAGCCUUAAGCGGCCUUAAUGGCCUCUCCAGCCGCCCGUGAUGGCAACCAGCCAUCCCCGGUCCACACCCUCUCCGCCGAAGAACGAAUUAUCCAGAGUUUGAACCCUCCUAAGAAAUCAUUUAGACGACCCCCAAAAUUCACCAACGAAUCACCUCCGGACAUCCAAUGGCCAUCACCGCAAAUCAAACCAAAUCACCCUCAUACAGACCCUCCAUCUCAAAUCCAACCCCAUGCAAACCAACCAAUAACGUUCACUACCGCUAUCCUCUUGAAACUUCAGCAACCUUCACUCACAUCUAAUGCCGUAAGUGAACAAAAAGAAAUGGCAAUCACUGGUGACAUCAAUGACCAUGAAUGCUACCAUGAGAUAGCAAAAUCUCCUCUCCAUUCUCUUGAAGAUGGGGAAGAAAGCAUUGCUCGAGACAAGCCGAUUCUCAUCUCGUCGACCGACGAAAAUGGCAACCAUCCACCACCGGCUCCUACCUCCACUUCUAGAAAUGAACCUCUAUUUCUUAGGACAUCCCAAAGGCAAACUCGAUCAAAAUACAAGAGUCAAACGCUAGCCCAACAGCCCCCAGCUUCCGCAAACACACCGCCAUCAUCAUCCCUCCAACAACUAUCUCCAACUGCCAUCCUCACCCCUCCAACAACCAUCUCCAAGCUUUCAUCUCAAGCCAACCAGCCUCCAGACUCCAGCCCGCAACCAAUACAAGCCACACACCAUUCGGGAGAGCAUCCUACUGUCACACUAGAUUUGGUGAAUCGAGUUUCACCUCAAGCCAACCAGCCACCAGCCUCCAGCCCGUAGCCAACACAAGCCACACACUAUUCGGGAGAUCACCCUGUUGUCACAGCCCCUAUCCACCAUAAAAACCAGCCCGUACUCCAUGGCCAAUUGCCUCAAGAUUCGGUUCAAGCUACAACCACCAGCCAGCCACAAUCACCACCUACACAAACAACUCCCACAUGACAAAAAACCACAUGCAAAUCACAAGCAAGCACUCGGAACAGGGCUCACAGCCAACUGCAGCUGUCAACCGAAAGCCAGCUGCAUACAACCAUCAUCAAACCCAGCCAAAGUCAGCAAACAUCCAACCAACUCCAGCUCAAAAGUCUGCACGUGGGUGGUAAUUUCCAUGCCCAUGGAACACUUUCGGCAACUCAAGAAUUGUGUUCCCCAUGUGUGUCUCCCACUGGCACUUCCCAUGCCCCACUAGCUUUUCCCACUAGUCAAACCCAAGCCCAACCCAUUUCGGAAAUAAAUCCCAACACCCAGCCCAAUCGAAUGCCCUCCACAUUUUUAUUAAAUAACCUCCAAAAUGAUUCAUUAAUCCAAAAUACCACUCAACUCACGUCUGCACCCUCCUACGCCACAGUUUUCAAAUCUGAAUCAAAAUAAACCCACUAAAAAAUCUUUGGUGGAUAUUAUAAACGACCCAUCCAACUCGACAAUUCCGAUCAAGACCAUUACUUCAUUCGAGGGAGAGCCUACCGUGCAAUUUUCCACUGCGGAAAUUCAAGCGAUGACCAUUCAUUUCAAGUUGACAUUGGUAGGUAAAUUUUCCUACAAUAAAUCUAGUAUGAAAUUAAUUAGUAAAUUUUUUAAUACUUUGAGAUUGAAGGGAACUUUCAAGGUGUCCCUUUUAGAUAAUCGACAUGUGUUAAUUCAAUUGGAUAUUGAGGAAGACUACUCCUGCCUAUGGGUUAGGCAAACAUGGUACAUCAAUGGGAGUGCCACGAGAAUUUUUAAAUGGACCACUGAUUUUUGAUGUUUUGAUGAGUCCCCUGUAGUCCCAGUUUGGAUUUCAUUUCCUUACUUGCCUGUCCAUUUCAUGCACUGUAAGGAAGCAUUAUUUUCUAUUGCAUCAGUUAUUGGUAAAUCAUUGCGAACUGACCAAGCUACUGCCUUUAGCUUGCCCUUCUGUAGCUAGGGUGUUAGUGGAGAUGUCACUCAACCUCCGUUGCAACGGAUACGAAUCGGUGUGGGAGAUUCUGGGUUUUGGCAUAGUGUAAUUUUUGAGAAAAUCCUAAUGUACUGUGCUUCCUGCAAGCACCUUGGCCAUUCCCUUGAGACGUACCUUGGCCAUUCCCUUGAGAUGUGUUACGUGGCCAAUCCAGGACUCCGUCCCCAGCGGCCCAAUGGGAAUUGGCAUAACAGAAUAGAUAAUAAAAAGUUAGAAGUUCUGCCGUCAGAUACUCCUCAACCCUUGGACACUCCACGACCUGAGCUGUCCAUCACUAAGCAGAUUGCAGAUGUGAGGUCUCCGAUUGUUCCUAUGGAGAGUCGAGCUAAUGCUACAAACUCUACUUCCAUUCAGGAGACGAUUGGCCAGGACGUCAGGACUCAUAAUUCUAGAAUCUGAGAACCAGGUGAGUAUAAUACACAUCUUCAUCGAGCAUCCAACACAGAUUUUAGGCUUUACAAUUCUCAUACUGAUAAUGAUGAUAGUUCUGAUGAUCACUUGGCGAACAAUGGCCAUUUCCUGUCUGCUCUUGAGAAUUCUGAGAGAAUUGACUCUAGCCCUGAUUUUAGGGUUGUCGGUCAUUCAAAAAAAGGCAUUAAAUUACUUACCGGCCGCAAGUAUCGUAAGAGAUAUUAUCACCGUCUGCAUUAGUCUUUUCCUUUUUAUGUUAGGCUAUGCCUAGAUCAUUUCGUUUACUAUUAUUUUUAUUUCUCUUGAUUGAAGGUUUUGGUUUAUAUCCCCCUCCAAAUGUAUUUUCUUGAUAUGUUCUAAAUGACAGGUAGGGGUCCCGCCUAACCCCCCAUAGAGUGAAAAAAAAAUUGGUUAAAUAAUAACUUAUAAUAGAAACUUUAGAAGUGCGUGGUGACUUAUCUUAUAUGCUACAUUUAAAAAGCAAUCCGCAUCUAUUUUUUUAAAAAAUUAAUAUCAAAAUAAAUAAACUUAUAAAAUAAACAAAUUUUAAAAGAUUUAUCCAAAAAAUGUUAUAUAUAUAUAUAUAUAUAUAUAUAUAUAUCUGCCUUUGGAACCAGAUCUGACUUAGAACAAAUCAAUAUUCCGCACGUUCUGUUUUCCAGCCUAUAUACCAAAAUUCUUUUAGAAAAUUGUUCUUCAGCAAGCCUAGCAACAGAUCUAAAGGCUCAUAGACAGUAUUAGAUCUGGAUCCCAGAAAUAAUACUCUGGUUAUACUUCCUUGGCUCACUACCAGAAAUAAUACUCUGAAUGGUUGGAGGGAGAAGAGAAGAUACAACAGAAGACAGAGAUCCGGUCUCUUUGCUUCUGAGGAACGUAAAAAUUUAUAUGGCAGAUCUGAUAUAGAUCAGUCUGCAAAGCAUACAUAAAAUUUAAAGUACUGAAAUGUAAAUGCUUUAAGAUAAAUUGUGGAAAUUAAACUGCAGAAAUUUAAACAUACAUAAAUCUAAAUUUAUUACAAACUUUAAAAGGAAUUACAAAUCUUACAUUUUAUUCUUCUUGCUUUGUUCUUCUUUAAAGGAAAAUAUUACAGAAGAAAUGGGAAAUUAAUCUAAAGACAGGAAAAGUUCCUUGUUGUCUUCUGAUUCCUGAUUCCCAGAGAGAGAGAGAGAGAGAGAGAGAGAGAGAAGGAAGAAAGAAGUGGAAUUCUCUAAAAAAUGAAAAUCUGAGAAGUCUAAGUCUUCCUCUCGAUUUAAAUACAAAGAGUGGGUCUUUAACUGUAGCGAAUUUGUAGCUUCACAACUGUAGCGAAACUGUAGCUUCAUGACUGUAGCGAAACUGUAGCUUGAAACAGUGGCUUUACAAGAGAAAUGCAUAAAAUUACAUAAAAAUAAAGAAGAGGAAAUUUCGGGUGAAGAGACAUGUGCGCUCUCACUUGUGUCCAUGGGACCACCCAAAAUAAUACAAGUAAAAUAAAGUAAUUGUUACAAAGAGGAAAAUACAAUGGAAAUUGCAUAGAAUUUUACAGGAAUUAUAGAAUACAAGUGGUAAAUACAGAGGAAAAUUAGUACUUUUUUUUUUUACUUUACAAAUUCUUUUAAGAAUGCUUUACAGGGGGAAAAGUGCCGAAGCAAUCAUCUUCAUUUUCAUCCCCAAGGGAAAUGAACGGCUCAGCUUCACCAGAAGAGCUUGAUCCGGAACUUGCAACCGAUGGCUCAGAUCUUGAUGCGAGAAGCUGUUCCAUAACUUUAAAAUAUUCUGCUUCUGUUUUGGCACUAGCCAAAAGAGAUUGGGCUUUGGAUUUUUGGGUAAGGAAGGUUCCUUGGGUUUUAAUGUCUUUAAUGCUUGGGGUAAGAAGGCCUCUUGAGGAGAGCCAUGUACGAACAAUGGCUUCGGUCAAUUUUGACUGUUCAUCAAAUUUUGACCACCAUUUGACUUUAAAGGUUCUUUGUAGGAUGAGCUGGGCUUCUUGGGUGUGAUAUCGAAGAUUCCACAUCCAUACCCAUGGAAGAAAGAAAUUUGUAUAGAAACAGAGGAAGGGAGGAAACCGUCUCUCGGAUUCUAUAGGGACAUAAUGAGUUUUAAAGAGAUUUAAACAGUGGAUGGCCUUUGGAGUAAGAAUAUAUGGGCUUGGCCCAAAAUAGUUCCACCACUGUUGGAACCAGUUUGGAAGACUUUGGACGGUUAUUUUUGAAUUGAAGAAAAAUAACCAUGAGUGAGUCUUUUUAGGGUUUUGUAUAAAAAAUGUGUUAAACCAAGCCUGUUGAUAAUCCCAGUAGGAAUAAGACAGGCAAUGAGGUAAACGCAUCUGGAAAUUUGCAGGGAAGGGCUUUAAUUUAUGAAGUUGGUCUCCCCACUGCUUUGGGCUCAAAACUUUUAAAAUGGUGGCUGUGGAGUAAGCAGGUUCUGUAUGGGUUUCACGGAGAAAGAAGUGUUUGAAUUUUACAGACUCAGUAGACUCCAAAAUGCUUUGGUAAUAGCUCUGAGGUUUUGUUAAAUCCCAAGGUUUGAAAAACCAACCAACAGGGAAAAUUUUUGAAAUUGCUUGAAAAUGAUCAGUGUGGUAAAAACCAUCUUCUAUGGAUAAAAUAUUUUGAAAAUGGGUUUUAUCAUACCAAUCCAAAGUUUUAUUUUGAAAAUGGGUUUUAUCAUACCAAUCCAAAGUUUUCUUUGGAAGCUUAGUUUGUGAAAGAACAAUUUGAGAAGACGAACUUUCACCAGAAAGAAUCACAUUUUGUGAAGAAGUUUUAGAAGUUUCUUUAGAAAUAGAUUUUUCUUCUUUAGGAGAAAUCUGACUUUGAGAAAAACUUUGUAAGGCGAGCAUAAGCUCAGGGGAUUUAAAAAUGGAUUUCAUUCAUUCAUUUACCUGUUCCUGGGAGGCAAUGGCUUUGGAUUGGGCUUCUUGGUCUUCAAUAGCGUCAAUCCAAGACUUUAUGGGCAUUGCUGAAGAAAGUAAUUUUUCUUUAGGUGGAGAAGAUUGGGAGGCUUUGGGGGUUGUUUUGGAUAUGGGUUCUGUGAGGAUCCUUUUCCCUUUGUCUCGUCUUUUUGGUGGCAUUAUCUGUUUUGAAGAAAUUCCCUGUUUAGGAAAUCAGGGAGAGAAUUUAUAUCUCCUUUAAUAAAUUCAAUAUCAAAAUCGAAAACACUUAAAAUAGCUUGUCAACGUGCAAAAAUCUGUUUAGAUGCAAUGUUUUGAACAUCUUUUUCCAAAACGUGUUUUGCAGCUUUGCAAUCAAUUCUAAGCAGGAACUUUUGAUUUAAUAAAUCGCUUUGAAAUUUGGAAAUGCAUAAAACAAUGGAUAAAAUUUCCUUUUUAAUAGUAGAAUAAUUUUUCUGGCAUUCAUUCCAAUGUGCAGAAACAUAUUGUACUAUCUGUUCUUUAUUAUGAUCAACUUGCUUUAAUAUCCCACCAUAACCUAGGUCUGAUGCGUCAAUCUCAACAAUUUUAGGCAAUGCAGGAUUUGCAAGAAAUAAACAUGGAAUGUUUUUAACUAUGGUCUUUAUGUGUUUAACAAUUUUUGUAUGUUCUUCUGACCAUGCAACAAGAGUUUUCUUUAAUCUAUCAUGCAAUGGUUUGACAAUCCUAUUGAUAUUAGGACAAAAAUCAAGAACAUAAUUUAAACUGCCCAAAAAUCUUUGUAGUUGGGUUUUAUCAAGGAUUUUAUCAGGAAACUUGUCAGUGAAGGCAAGUGACAUUUCAAUGGGGGUGAUGGUUCCUUUGGAAAUGUAAUGACCAAGAAACCGAACUUUAGUUUGGAAUAAAGAGAUUUUAGAACUAGAGAUGGCUAGACCAGCUUUUCUAGUAGCCAGAUAAAAAGUCUUUAAAUGUUUGAAGUGUUGUUCAAUUGAUUGAGAAAAAAUCAACACAUCAUCUAUAUAAACAAUGCAAAAAUCAGAAAAAGGAUUAUAAAUAUCGUUCAUAAUUCUUUGAAAUUCUGAAGGUGCAUUUUUCAAACCAAAAGGCAUUACUGUCCACUCGUACUGUCCAAAUGGAACAGUGAAAGCGGUUUUAUAACGGUCUUUAGGAUGAAUUUGAAUUUGCCAAAAACCAGAUUUCAUGUCAAAUUUUGAAAAUAUGUAUGCUGAGUGUAGUUUUUGGAGCAAAUCUUUUUUAUUAGGUAUGGGAUACCUGAUCCAUUUUAAUGCUUUAUUCAAGGGCUUGUAAUUUAUUACAAGUCUGGGUGUCCCUCUUUCUAUUUCAGAGUUUUUAUUGACGUAGAAAGCGGCACAAGACCACGGAGAUCUGGAUUUUACAAUGAGUCCUUUGGACUCCAAAUCUUGGAUUUCAUUUUUGCAAUGUCUUUCCAAAUCCAUGUUCAUUUGGAUAGGACGAGCUUUAGUGGGUAUUUAUUUUUCAUCAAAAGAAUUUUCAUAAGGCAAAUCUACCAAAUGUUGUUUUCGAUUCCAAAAAGCAGUUGGUAAAUCAGCACAUAUUUCUUUUUCAAUUAAAUAUUGGAAGUCAGAAAUUUUUGUUUGUAUAAAUUGAUUUCUCAAUUGGUUUUCAAUUCUUUGUAAACUCAAAUCUUUUUGUAAACAAGCUAAAUCGGUUUUUUUUGUUUUAAGCAAAACAUUUAUUUGGUUCUGGUAGACAGAACAGGCUUUAACAAUAUUUAAAUUUGUUCUUUUUUUCUUUAAAAGAUAUACUAUCGUAAUUGACAGUAUAGGGAGUAAUAAGAUUUAUAAAAGGAGUUCCCAAAAUAACAGCAUGAUGAAUAUCAUUUGUUAAAAGGAAGGUAGUCUUAAAUUCAAAACCAUUGUUGUGAAUUGAGGCGUCAACUUUGGAUUUGAUGUUCAAUUUUGAAUUAUUUGCAGCUGAAAGCUUUUCAUUAGUCUUUUCAUGAAAUUUCCUUGGAACAAUGUCUGCUUUUAUACAAUUCAAAUCAGCACCAGUGUCAAAAAGGGCAAUGGUGUCAAUUUCAAAAUCUUUAGAGAAUUUUAAAGUGAUUUUAAUUAAGUAUUUUCUUGUGGUGAUUUGUUUCAGAACAAAAAGAAAAUCAUUGGGGAUAGAUUCAAUGUUUUCAAGUUGUUGUUCGUUUUCUUCACCAGAGUUUGAUUCUUUAUCAGAAUUGUCUUCCAGUUGUUUUUGCAAUAAAAGCUGGAUUGUUUCCGAGUCAUUUUUCUGCUUUUCUUUUAAUUCUUUAAUUUCAUUUUUGAUUUCUUUAAUCUCUUUUUGAAGAUCUUGAAUGUUUGGAGUGGCUUUCUUGGGUUUUUUAUUGUUCAAGAUCUCCGUGAGAUCAUAAGCAUUCUUUUUAAUAGUUGGAACUUUAGAAGUUUCUGGCUUGUCUUUUAGUUCCAGAGUCUUUAGCAGUUUGUCAAGGUAUUCUCUCUGGAGAAUGGGGUCAGAAAUAUACUUUACAAGUUCAAGAAAAGUUUCUUGUUCUUUAGUCAAAACAUUAAUCUUUUUUAAAAAGGUUUCUGAAUCAGAACUGCUUGAUACAGAUGUUUCUGAGUCAAUCAACUCAUCAACCUGUAAAGGAUCACUAUUUCCUGAUAGGGAAGAAUUUGAAUCAGAGUCAGAAGACUCAAUGAGCAGAGGAGCAAUUUUGGAAAGGACUUCUUCAUCAAGAUCAAUUUCUUGAAGUCUUCUGUUUAUCCUGCAGUAUUUUGCAGUAUGUCCUUUCUUGCCACAUUUAAAACAUGUAGCAUCUUUAUAAUUAAAAGAGGUUUUUGGUUUAAAAGAGGAAGAGGAUUUGGCUUUGGAGUCUUUUCUUUUAGAGAAAUGAGGUUUUUUAUAAGGUCUUGAGGACUUCUUAUAAAAAGGUUCUCUAAAAUUUCUUGAAGGUUGUUGGUAUUUAUGACUUUACCAUCUGAAUACUGAGUCACAUUUUGUAACUCUGUAUUUGGCUCAAGUUGUUUCGGAAUCACUAGUUGAGUGGCUCCUUCAAGAAUCCAUUCGUCUGGAAGAGUGAUAUCUUUCCAUUGGAUUGGUUUUGGAAUAACGAUGUUGGCUUUAGACAUGCCAGUCUGCAAGAGAAGAGUCUCAUCUCUUUUUGACUAGAAUUUAUGCUGCGUAUUAAAUGUUGAAAUCAUUGCUUUAUAAGAUAUUUUGAAAAUUAAUGCAACUGGAACAGAUCCUUCUAACAUGUGAUAGUUAUGUGUUUUGAUCUGUAAAAUCAUGCUUUUCAAAAUAUUCUUGUCUUUUAAAGAAACCAUUAUAUUAGGAUAACAAUCAAAAGAAAUGGGUCUUUUACAGAUACUAGAUUCAAUAUUACUGAGUAAGGAAUCAUCAAAGGAGAUGAACCUCCCAUCUCUGAGGACAACAAGAAUAGAAGUAUUUAAUCCUUCUUUAGUUAAGGGUUUUAUGCCGACUUGAAUUAAGCCAAUAUGAACAUAAUUGAAAUUUUUUUCCUUUAAUUUCUUUAAAGAAUGCUCAGAAAACAAAUGAAUUGUCUCAAAUGGCUUUGAGAGUGUGAUAUCUUUUUCUUCUGUCUUUAUAACACAAUCAGUCUUUAAAAAAUCGAGUUUUUUCAUUUUAUAAAUUUUAUCUUUAGAAACUUUUGUAAAUCCCAAUUGUCAAUUGCUUUAUUAAAAUCUUCAAUAACGAAUUCUUCUGAAUUCACCACGUUCUUUGAAACACUAGUCUUCUCGGAAGAAGAGCUAGAGAAAGAUGAUGUUCUAUGCAGUAGAGAAUCCAUGCAAUUUAAAACUUAAAUAAAAACCUAUAUGAAUGCCUACAGGUAUGGUUUUACUGCCCUAAGUGGAAAUCCUUAUCCUAAGACGGGACUUACUACCAGUAAAAAAUUCAGCAGACACACUGAUUUUUAAUAAAAGAAAUAAACAACACAAAUGCUUUACCAAAUAUUACACCUACUUUCCCUUGGCUCUGAUACCAAUAAGGACCGGGAUCGUGGAAAGUAGGCGUAAUAUUUUUAUGUAAUUUUAUGCAUUUCUCUUGUAAAGCCACUGUUUCAAGCUAUAGUUUCGCUACAGUCAUGAAGCUACAGUUUUGCUACAAUUGUGAAGCUACAGAUUCGCUACAAUUAAAGACCCACUCUUUGUAUUUAAAUCGAGAGGAAGACUUAGACUCCUCAUAUUUUCAUUUUUUAGAGAAUUCCACUUCUUUCUUCCUUCUCUCUCUCUCUCUCUCUCUCUCUCUCUCUCUCUCUCUGGGAAUCAAGAAUCAGAAGACAACAAGGAACUUUUCCUGUCUUCAGAUUAAUUUCCCAUUUCUUCUGUAAUAUUUUCCUUUAAAGAAGAACAAAGCAAGAAGAAUAAAAUGUAAGAUUUGUAAUUCCUUUUAAAGUUUGUAAUAAAUUUAGAUUUCUGUAUGCUUAAAUUUCUGCAGUUUAAUUUCCGUAAUUUAUCUUAAAGCAUUUAAAUUUCAGUACUUUAAAUUUUAUGUAUGCUUUGCAGACUGAUCUAUAUCAGAUCUGCCAUAUAAAUUGUUACGUUCCUCAGAAGCAAAGAGACCGGAUCUCUGUCUUCUGUUGUAUCUUCUCUUCUCCCUCCAACCAUUCAGAGUAUUAUUUCUGGGAUCCAGAUAUAAUACUGUCUAUGAGCCUUUAGAUCUGUUGCUAGGCUUGCAAAAGAACAAUUUUCUAAAAGAAUUUUGGUAUAUAGGUUGGAAAACAGAACGUGCGGAAUUUGAUCUGUUCUAAGUCAGAUCUGGUUCCAAAGGUAGAUUAAGUUCUGCAUCGAUCUGGCAACAACGCCACGUACCAAUUAAAAAUAAUCCUUAAAAGCAAUUGAUCAUUAAAAUUUUUUAAUAAUUGACUUUUCUUGGACACUCACACACUUUCCACGAUCCCGGUCCUUAUUGGUAUCAGAGCCAAGAGAAAGUAGGUGUAAUAUUUGGUAAAGUAUUUGUGUUGUUUAUUUCUUUUAUUAAAAAUCAGUGUGUCUGCUGAAUUUUUUACAGGUAGUAAGUCCUGUCUUAGGAUAAGGAUUUCCGCUUAGGCCAGUAAAACCAUACCUGUAGGCAUUCAUAUAGGUUUUUAUUUAAGUUUUAAAUUGCAUGGAUUCUCUACUGCAUAGAACAUCAUCUUUCUCUAGCUCUUCUUCCGAGAAGACUAGUGUUUCAAAAAGAUAUCACGCUCUCAAAGCCAUUUGAGACAAUUCAUUUGUUUUCUGAGCAUUCUUUAAAGAAAUUAAAAGAAAAAAAUUUCAAUUAUGUUCAUAUUGGCUUAAUUCAAGUCGGCAUAAAACCCUUAACUAAAGAAGGAUUAAAUACUUCUAUUCUUGUUGUCCUCAGAGAUGGGAGGUUCAUCUCCUUUGAUGAUUCCUUACUCAGUAGUAUUGAAUCUAGUAUCUGUAAAGGACUCAUUUCUUUUUAUUGUUAUCCUAAUAUAACUGUUUCUUUAAAAGACAAGAAUAUUUUGAAAAGCAUGAUUUUACAGAUCAAAACACAUAACUAUCACAUGUUAGAAGGAUCUGUUCCAGUUGCAUUAAUUUUCAAAAUAUCUUAUAAAGCAAUGAUUUCAGCAUUUAAUACGCAGCAUAAAUUCCAGUCAAAAAGAGAUGAGACUCUUCUCUUGCAGACUGACAUGUCUAAAGCCAACACCGUUAUUCCAAAACCAAUCCAAUGGAAAGAUAUCACUCUUCCAGACGAAUGGAUUCUUGAAGGAGCCACUCAACUAGUGAUUCCGAAACAACUUGAGCCAAAUACAGAGUUACAAAAUGUGACUCAGUAUUCAGAUGGUAAAGUCAAACUAUCUUUUAGGAGAUCUACAUCCUCUAGAUUCUCCGAUAAAGAUUCAAGUUCCAGUAUUCCUCAUUUACAAAAGAAAUUUUCAAAAAUUCCCUCUGUUAUAAAUCUCCCUUUUCAACCUAUAAAUAGUUAACCUAGGUUUUCCACCUCGGACAUACCUAGCUCCUCCAUACAUUCUGUUGACUAUGCAACUAGUGUUCCCCAUCCUAUCUACACUAGUCGCCAAAGCUAGGAAGAGAAUGAACCUUUUCCUCCAACUUCUCCUACAUUUUCUGCUGUUACUGAAAAUGUAAUAAAUAUUCUUGAAAAAGAUUUUGAAUUGGAUAAAACUCUUUUACACAAUGAUUUUUAUUCUGAAGUUAAUAAAGAAAAAAGACUCUGGUUUUUUAAACAUUUCUUAAAUCAGAGAAAAGAAAUUCAAAAAGUUUAUUAUGAAUUUGUGAACUUGCAUAAAAUUCAUAUCUUAUUUUUUGAUUGGUUUGGAAUUAUGUCUCGGAAAAUAACAUUUCCUAUCAUUUUAAAGAAUCAAAUCCCAUUACUGUCAAAAAGAAAACUGCUGAAUGGAACCUUUCUGGUAGUGGAAGAAUCAUAGAGUCUGAACAUCCACCUCUUAGGAGCCUGACCAUUGAGCAUGGUGAACCUCCUAUUGAGAUAAAAGCCUCACCCUAUAAGGUCCAUAAAGAUCCAGAAACGGAUUUAGAUAGCAUUAUCCAACAGAACAAUUUUUGUAAUGCUAACCUAAAUACGAUAGGAAAACAGUUGACCCGUAUAGAAAGUCAACUCCAGAAGUCAACCGUUAUUGUCCCUACUUCUACUCAAUCAAAGUCUGAUUCCUUGAAAAAGCUUAAAGAACCUAUUUUCAAACAUUUUCAGGUUUCGAAACAUAGUCAAAAGCUUGUUCAAGAAUCUAAAUCAGAUUUCGCUAAAGUCAUUAAAGAACAACUUGAUAGAAUAGAAGCAUCUUCUUCUUUCGCUUCUACUUCCAAAGUCCAAAUUGCUCCUGAUAGUGCUCAAUCUAGCAAGAUUGGCGUACUAGAACAGGAUCAAUCUUCUGUAGCCUCUUCUGACAUAAAAGCUUUCAAAGAUGAGUCUAUCUCUAAAACCAAUAAAAUCUAUUGGGAACUUGCUCUCCCAACUGUAAGAACUCCUCCAGACCUUGCCAUCGAUAAUAGACCAAGUGCAUUAAACCAAUCUCAUUUUAAUGCAUCCUCUAUCUAUGAAUAGAAUAUUGAUGGUAUGUCUUAAUACAAUAUUUUAGGAUUGUUGCAGCAAAUGACCAUGGCAGCCAAUGCCUAUAAAACUCAACAAGGAACUUCUGACAAAGUCAUUGCAGAAAUUCUCAUUGCUGGUUUUACCGGUCAACUAAAAGGUUGGUGGGACCAUCUUCUCACUAAUCAGCAACAACUAGACAUCCUAAAUUUUAUCCAAGUAGACGAGAAUGGAGCCCCCAUUCUCGAUGAAUUCAAUAGCCUAUUCAAGAUGUUGUUGCUACCCUGAUUCUGACUAUUUCUCUUCAUUUCAUAGGUGACCCUUCUCACCUAAGAGAUAAAAAUGCUGAGUUACUACAUAACUUGAGAUGUAGGAAACUUAGUGAAUUCCAAAGUUACAAAACCACUUUCUUUACCAGACUCUUCCUUAGGGAUGAUGCAAAUCAUACAACCUGGAAGGAAAAAUUCCUUGCAGGAUUGCCUACCCUAUUGGGAGAAAAAGUUAGAAAUUCCAUCAAAGCUCUUUAUGAUAAUCGCAUUCCUUAUGACGAGCUCACCUAUGGUGAACUAGUCAGUUUUGUCAAUAAAGAAAGUUUAAAGAUCUGUCAAGACUUGAAAUUACAGAAACGCCUAAAAUAGGAGCUUAGAAAGUCUAAGCAAGAAUUAGGCGGUUUCUGUAAACAAUUCAACUAUGACCCCUUUAAAACUUCUACUUCAAAAUAUUGUAAUGGUAAAUGUUCUUCUAAACCUUACAAAAAACAUUACAAGUCUAGAAGUCAUAAAUACCAACAACCUUCAAGAAAUUUUAGAGAACCUUUUUAUAAGAAGUCCUCAAGACCUUAUAAAAAACCUCAUUUCUCUAAAAGAAAAGACUCCAAAGCCAAACCCUCUUCCUCUUUUAAACCAAAAACCUCUUUUAAUUAUAAAGAUGCUACAUGUUUUAAAUAUGGCAAGAAAGGACAUACUGCAAAAUACUGCAGGAUAAACAGAAGACUUCAAGAAAUUGAUCUUGAUGAAGAAUUCCUUUCCAAAAUUGCUCCUCUGCUCAUUGACUCUUCUGACUCUGAUUCAAAUUCUUCCCUGUCAGGAAAUAGUGAUCCUUUACAGGUUGAUGAGUUGAUUGACUCAGAAACAUCUGUAUCAAGCAGUUCUGAUUCAGAAACCUUUUUAAAAAAUAUUAAUGUUUUGACUAAAGAACAAUAAAUUUUUCUUGAACUUGUAAAGCAUAUUUCUGACCUCAUUCUCCAGAGAGAAUACCUUGACAAACUGCUAAAGACUCUGGAACUAAAACAAGCCAGAAACUUCUAAAGUUCCAACUAUUAAAAAGAAUGCUUAUGAUCUCACGGAGAUCUUGAACAAUAAAAAACCCAAGAAAACCACUCCAAACAUUCAAGAUCUUCAAAAAGAGAUUAAAGAAAUCAAAAAUGAAAUUAAAGAAUUAAAAGAAAAGCAGAAAAAUGACUCGGAAACAAUCCAGCUUUUAUUGCAAAAACAACUGGAAGACAAUUCUGAUAAAGAAUCAAACUCUGGUGAAGAAAACGAACAACAACUUGAAAACAUUGAAUCUAUCCCCAAUGAUUUUCUUUUUGUUCUGAAACAAAUCACCACAAGAAAAUACUUAAUUAAAAUCACUUUAAAAUUCUCUAAAGAUUUUGAAAUUGACACCAUUGCCCUUUUUGACACUGGUGCUGAUUUGAAUUGUAUAAAAGCAGACAUUGUUCCAAGGAAAUUUCAUGAAAAGACUAAUGAAAAGCUUUCAGCUGCAAAUAAUUCAAAAUUGAACAUCAAAUCCAAAGUUGACGCCUCAAUUCACAACAAUGGUUUUGAAUUCAAGACUACCUUCCUUUUAACAAAUGAUAUUCAUCAUGCUGUUAUUUUGGGAACUCCUUUUAUAAAUCUUAUUACUCCCUAUACUGUCAAUUACGAUAGUAUAUCUUUUAAAGAAAAAAAGAACAAAUUUAAAUAUUGUUAAAGCCUGUUCUGUCUACCAGAACCAAAUAAAUGUUUUGCUUAAAACAAAACAAACCUAUUUAGCCUGUUUACAAAAAGAUUUGAGUUUACAAAGAAUUGAAAACCAAUUGAGAAAUCAAUUUAUACAAACAAAAAUUUCUGACUUUCAAAAUUUAAUUGAAAAAGAAAUAUGUGCUGAUUUACCAACUGCUUUUUGGAAUCGAAAACAACAUUUGGUAGAUUUGCCUUAUGAAAAUUCUUUUGAUGAAAAACAAAUACACACUAAAGCUCGUCCUAUCCAAAUGAACAUGGAUUUGGAAAGACAUUGUAAAAAUGAAAUCCAAGAUUUGGAGUCCAAAUGACUCAUUGUAAAAUCCAGAUCUCCGUGGUCUUGUGCCGCUUUCUACGUCAAUAAAAACUCUGAAAUAAAAAGAGGGACAACCAAACUUGUAAUAAAUUACAAGCCCUUGAAUAAAGCAUUAAAAUGGAUCAGGUAUCCCAUACCUAAUAAAAAAGAUUUGCUCCAAAAACUACACUCAGCAUACAUAUUUUCAAAAUUUGACAUGAAAUCUGAUUUUUGGCAAAUUCAAAUUCAUCCUAAAGACCGUUAUAAAACCGCUUUCACUGUUCCAUUUGGACAGUACGAGUAGACAGUAAUGUCUUUUGGUUUGAAAAAUGCACCUUCAGAAUUUCAAAGAAUUAUGAACGAUAUUUAUAAUCAUUUUUCUGAUUUUUGCAUUGUUUAUAUAGAGGAUGUGUUGAUUUUUUCUCAAUCAAUUGAACAACACUUCAAACAUUUAAAGACUUUUUAUCUGGCUACUAGAAAAGCUGGUCUAGCCAUCUCUAGUUCUAAAAUCUCUUUAUUCCAAACUAAAGUUCGGUUUCUUGGUCAUUACAUUUCCAAAGGAACCAUCACCCCCAUUGAAAUGUCACUUGCCUUCACUGACAAGUUUCCUGAUAAAAUCCUUGAUAAAACCAACCUACAAAGAUUUUUGGGCAGUUUAAAUUAUGUUCUUGAUUUUUGUCAUAAUAUCAAUAGGAUUGUCAAACCAUGGCAUGAUAGAUUAAAGAAAACUCUUGUUGCAUAGUCAGAAGAACAUACAAAAAUUGUUAAACACAUAAAGACCAUAGUUAAAAACAUUCCAUGUUUAUUUCUUGCAAAUCCUGCAUUGCCUAAAAUUGUUGAGACUGACGCAUCAAACCUAGGUUAUGGUGGGAUAUUAAAGCAAGUUGAUCAUAAUAAAGAACAGAUGGUACAAUAUGUUUCUGCACAUUGGAAUGAAUGCCAGAAAAAUUAUUCUACUAUUAAAAAGGAAAUUUUAUCCAUUGUUUUAUGCAUUUCCAAAUUUCAAAGCGAUUUAUUAAAUCAAAAGUUCCUGCUUAGAAUUGAUUGCAAAGCUGCAAAAUACGUUUUGGAAAAAUAUGUUCAAAACAUUGCAUCUAAACAGAUUUUUGCACGUUGACAAGCUAUUUUAAGUAUUUUUUAUUUUGAUAUUGAAUUUAUUAAAGGAGAUACAAAUUCUCUCCCUGAUUUCCUAACCAGGGAAUUUCUUCAAAAUAGAUAAUGCCGCCAAAAAGACGAGACAAAGGGAAAUGGAUCCUCACAGAACCCAUAUCCAAAACAACCCCUAAAGCCUCCCAAUCUUCUCCACCUAAAGAAAAAUUACUUUCUUCAGCAAUGCCCAUAAAGUCUUGGAUUGACGCUAUUGAAGACCAAGAAGCCCAAUCCAAAGCCCUUGCCUCCCAAGAACAGGUAAAUGAAUUGAUGAAAUCUAUUUUUAAAUCCCCUGAGCUUAUGCUCGCCUUACAAAGUUUUUCUCAAAGUCAGAUUUCUCCUAAAGAAGAAAAAUCUAUUUCUAAAGAAACUUCUAAAACUUCUUCACAAAAUGUGAUUCUUUCUGGUGAAAGUUCGUCUUCUCAAAUUGUUCUUUCACAAACUAAGCUUUCAAAGAAAACUUCGGAUUGGUAUGAUAAAACUCAUUUCCAAAAUAUUUUAUCUAUAGAAGAUGGUUUUUACCACACUGAUCCUUUUCAAGCAAUUUCAAAAAUUUUCCCCAUUGGUUGGUUUUUCAAACCUUGGGAUUUGACAAAACCUCAGAGCUAUUACCAAAGCAUUUUGGAGUCUACUGAGUCUGUAAAAUUCAAACAUUUCUUUCUCAGUGAAACCCAUGCAGAACCUACUUACUCCACAGCCACCAUUUUAAAAGUUUUGAGCCCAAAGUAGUGAGGAGACCAACUUCAUAAAUUAAAGCCCUUCCCCGCAAAUUUCCAAAUGUGUUUACCUCAUUGCCUGUCUUAUUCCUACUGGGAUUAUCAACAGGCCUGGUUUAACACAUUUUUUAUACAAAACCCUAAAAAGACUCACUCAUGGUUAUUUUUCUUCAAUUCAAAAAUAACCGUCCAAAGUCUUCCAAACUGGUUCCAACAGUGGUGGAACUGUUUUGGGCCAAGCCCAGAUAUUCUUACUCCAAAUGCCAUCCACUAUUUAAAUCUCUUUAAAACUCAUUAUGUCCCUACAGAAUCCGAGAGACGGUUUCCUCCAUUCCUCUGUUUCUGUACAAAUUUCUUUCUUCCAUGGGUAUGGAUGUGGAAUCUUCGAUAUCACACCCAAGAAGCCCAGCUCAUCCUACAAAGCACCUUUAAAGUCAAAUGGUGGUCAAAAUUUUCCUCUGUAUUUACCACUUGUAUUCUAUAAUUCCUGUAAAAUUCUAUGCAAUUUCCAUUGUAUUUUCCUCUUUGUAACAAUUACUUUAUUUUACUUGUAUUAUUUUGGGUGGUCCCAUGGACACAAGUGAAAGCGCACAUGUCUCUUCACCCGAAAUUUCCUCUUAUUUAUUUUUAUGUAAUUUUAUGCAUUUCUCUUGUAAAGCCACUGUUUCAAGCUACAGUUUCGCUACAGUCAUAAAGCUACAGUUUCGCUACAGUCAUGAAGCUACAGUUUCGCUACAGUUGUAAAGCUACAGAUUCGCUACAGUUAAAGACCCACUCUUUGUAUUUAAAUCGAGAGGAAGACUUAGACUCCUCAUAUUUUCAUUUUUUAGAGAAUUCCACUUCUUUCUUCCUUCUCUCUCUCUCUCUCUCUCUCUCUCUCUCUGGGAAUCAGGAAUCGAAAGACAACAAGGAACUUUUCCUGUCUUCAGAUUAAUUUCUCAUUUCUUCUGUAAUAUUUUCCUUUAAAGAAGAACAAAGCAAGAAGAAUCAAAUGUAAGAUUUGUAAUUCCUUUUAAAGUUUGUAAUAAAUUUAGAUUUCUGUAUGUUUAAAUUUCUGCAGUUUAAUUUCUGUAAUUUAUCUUAAAGCAUUUAAAUUUCAGUACUUUAAAUUUUAUGUAUGCUUUGCCGACUGAUCUAUAUCAGAUCUGCCAUAUAAAUUGUUACGUUCCUCAGAAGCAAAGAGACCAGAUCUCUGUCUUCUGUUGUAUCUUCUCUUCUCCCUCCAACCAUUCAGAGUAUUAUUUCUGGGAUCCAGAUCUAAUACUGUCUAUGAGCCUUUAGAUCUAUUGCUAGGCUUGCUAAAGAACAAUUUUCUAAAAGAAUUUUGGUAUAUAGGCUGGAAAACAGAACGUGCGGAAUAUUGAUCUGUUCUAAGUCAGAUCUGGUUCCAAAGGCAGAUUAAGUUCUGCAUCGAUCUGGCAACAACGCCACGUACCAAUUAAAAAUAAUCCUUAAAAUCAAUUGAUCAUUAAAAUUUUUUAAUAAUUGACUUUUCUUGGACACUCACACACUUUCCACGAUCCCGGUCCUUAUUGGUAUAUAUAUAUUUGGUGCUUCAAUUGAAAUCUCCAGUGAGACCUUAUAAAGGAGCUCAAAGAAAAAAAAAAAUAAUUUUCCAAUGUGUUUCAAAGAUGUGUAAACAAAUAGUGUGUUUAAAGUAUAUCAUAUGUUGUAAAUUUCUCAAUAUUUCUCCAUUUCAAUUGACGUAAUUAUCUUUUAUUAAAAAAGGGGUUAUUUUUCGCCACCCCUCAUAUGAAUCGACAAAUAUUACCACGCACCCUAAUGUUUCAACAAUUAUUACUACACACCCAUUCCGUUAGAAAUCACCGUUAACUUAACUGCUACAAGGAUAGAAUAGUAAAGUUGUAGAGAUGAAUAAAGGAAAAAGAAAGAAAAAAAAAUUUUUUUUCCUUCCUUCACCACAACGCCAUUCACGCUCCAUCUUCGUCUCUCCUCUAUUCACACUCCACAACAAGCACUUAUUUCUUCCCUUUUCAUUUACACUCCCCAGCAAGGGAUGUUCGCUUUUCCCUUCCAUCGACGUCACAAGGGUCACAUAACCAACUGCACUGCCAUAGCGAAUGCUCAUUUCUGGGUGGAAACAAGCGACAGGAGCGUGACGUGAGAUCGGGAGGCUUCUGGCAAUUCGCAGAGUCAUGGCCUGCUGCUGACUGACACGGCAUCGUCAAUGGCGACUAGCAACUGGAAAAUCACAACCCUAAAACUUUGGGGUUUACAUGUUAUUGUUUACUAAUUUUAGGUUUGGGUAUUUUAUAAUUUGUUUGAUAUAUAAAUUAUUUUGAUUGUGCGUAGAAAUUGGAAAUUUAUGUUGUCUAUGGUGCUUUCAAAGUAAAUAUUCGGGAUAUAGUGAAUUUUUUUUAACUUUACUUCAAAGAUCUUUUUCUCACAAGAUGCUUGUUUUGCAGAGGGGUGAAAGUUUUGAAGAAAUAGAAGAAGAAAGAAAGAGUAGUAGCCAUGAUUGAUUUCCUCUGCGCAGGAGUUUGGGAUUUGAGAGUACGCAUGACUCUGAGAAGAUCUCUGAUUGUGAUCAAUUGGGUCUCACUUAAAUCUUGGUAAUAACGAAUGACUUGCUUGAUUUCUCUGCAUCGGCUCGUGAAAGGGAAGUGGGAAAUGUGACGAUGUUGGAGCAGAAGAGUUGGACUCUAGGCUUUGGUUCUAGAACUGAUAAUUCCAAUUAAUUUUAGUUUUAGUUUAAUUUCUUAAAAAAAAGCUUAAUUUAUUGUAAUUAUUUUCGGUUUGUAUUUCAUCAUUUUUGUUUUACAUUUUAUAAUUAUCUUUUCAAGAAAAUAAAUUGGCAAUUGCCAAAUAAUAUAUUCCUGUCAUUUCUUUAUAAAUGUAUGGGUUAUUUAGUACUCCCAGUCAAUUCAAUUUAUAUAGAGGGCAGUGUGGUAAUUUCAGCAAAUAUCUGUCAAAACCGUUAAAGUUAAAGGUGAUUUCUAACAGGAUGGGUGUGCAGUGAUAAUUAUUGAAACAUUAGGGUGUGUGGUAAUAUUUGUCGAUUCAUAUUGGGGGGUGGCGAAAAAUAACCCUUAAAAAAAUGAAAGAACAUUAGAAAUAGAAAAACGGCAGCAACUAAUCGUGCGUUUUGGAUCCAAACUCACUCGAUAGGAACUUAUAACACCUGUUUUAUCACCGAAAAGGAAUUGGAAGAUGUGGUUAUAAUUCACAUUGCUUGAGUGCAUUGUGCCAAUCGCUUGUCAAUUCCGUUGCUGUUACAUCAUUAAUCAACUGCCCUUCAUUUUUAUAUCUCAUACAGCCAAUUAAACAGUGAAAACGAAAUUUGAACAACCGAUAUUCUACCGGUUGUAAAUAUUAUCUAUGUUUGUUUAAUUAAUUUUUGUACCAGAAAAAAAUAUAAAAAGAGAGAAAAUUUAAUUAUGAAAUAGCUAUUUAAUAAUGCAAAGUUCUUACUUACCAUGGAAACUUGUAGUCUCUCUAAAGAAGCCCCCGCUAAUAUUAUGUUCUUAAUUAAACCAAAAAAAAAUCGACUAAAAAGCUCUAUAACUCAUUCAUUUGAACCUCUUAAAUAUCUUUUGAAAUGAAGUAGCAGUGGAAGCUAAAGUGUAUCUGAGAAGUCACAGUUAACUUUGUAAAAUUAGAUGAAGGGAACAAGUGCAAGAACAGUAAAUAUUUUGAACAAAUUGGAUGAUAUAAAAGAGAAAGAAAAUAAAAAAUUUAUGUGGACACCUUUCCAACCAAAAGCGAGAGCGUGAGUCAGUAGCGCUCCUCAAAUUGGUCAGUUCGUACUAGAAUUCGUAUAGUAGUGUAGCAGUUGUUUUCACUUGUCGUGUCGCUAAAUUAUUGAAAUACGCACGUGGAGAAAUUCUUGACAGGAAAGAGAUAAAAUGUUGCUUUGCAACAAGAUGACAUUCACCACAUAUAAUGUGUGUGGUGAGUAGUCUCUCGAAUUGUGUACCAUUUCAUUUCUUGUUGCUCUAAUACGUGCAUCCAGCUUCACAAGAUGAGGGGAUUCUGCAAUUCUAGCUCAAGUUUCCGAUGGUAAUGUGGACGAACAAAAACCAUCAGUUUACAGCUCCAAAAUAAAAUUGUUUAACACUUAUCUCCCCCAUUAUUCAAAUUCAAGUGCCUGAAAAUCGCUAAAUCAGGCUCUUGAGGCUAAAAUAUCAAGCUUGGUAUAUACAUGAUUUUGAGUAAUCGGAAGUUGAUUUAUAUUUAUAUAUAAAAAGUAAUUUUUCAAUAAGGAUCUCUUAUUUUAUAAGCUAAAAAAAAGGAAAAUAUACAUUUCAAUAUAUAUAUUGUAUAUUGUCCUAUAAUAUAUCAGAUUUCGUAUCUUUUUUUUUUUUUAAUUGAUCCCUUAUGUUAACAAAAUAAGAGACUAUAAUGAUUCUAUAUGUAUUUUGAAGGAUUAAUAACAAAUGAAAUUAAUUGUUAGUCAUAUAAUCAAGUUUCAAUUUACACGUAAUGGACUUCAUAAACUGUCAGAUAAGAAAAUUCAUGUAGAAAUGAGAAGAGAGAGGAUUAAGAAAUAAAAGGAGACCUGGGUAAAUUAAAAAAAAAAAAAAAAAAAAAAAAAGGAAGAAGAAGAAAAAGAAGAAGAAGGGGAGAAUGAGGACAGAGAAACCUUUUGAUUUUACUACCAAGCGUCUAUUAAUCCCUUUAAAAGGGGAGCCUCUAAGUUACAUUUAAUGUAACUUACACAACUCAUGUGAACCACACAAAUUAUAGGUCCCAUAAUUUUGUGUGGUUCACAUGAGUUGUGUAAGUUACAUUAAUUGUAACUUAGCAUUUGCCCUUUAAAAGAAGUAAAGGUUCAUGUCAUUGGAUCCUCAAAUAGGAGGGAGAUCUUGCAAUGUGUGGCUAUAAAAGAAUUAAGGUGCUGUUUGUUUCUCAGUUUUUAACUUUUAAUUUUUCAGAUAUUUACUUAUUUUGAGUUACUUGUUUUCUUAAUUUAUCAUGCGACAAUUUUAUUCUAAUAGAAAAAGUAAAAAAAAAAAUCUACAUUUAUCUUAAAUCUGAAAUCUAAAUAGAAAAUUUUAAAUUCAAAUCUCAAAAAUACCUUAAAUAAUUUAUGUAUUAACUAUAUUGUGUAUAAAACCUAAUUUUUUUUUAUCCUUAAAUUUAUUUUUUAAUUAUUUUAAAUUUUUAUUCACAAGGUGACAAUAUAAAACCAAAAUAUUGAAUAAAUCGUAUUAUAUUCAUUGUAAAGAAUCAAACUAAAAUAACAAUGUUGACUUUAUAAUAAAAUGUUGACAUUAUAAUCAUAUCUUUUAGUACAAAAUUAAAUUAAGAAACAACGAUAGUACUAUUUUUUUUUUUAUAUACUAUCAAACUAGCUCUAAAUUUAAAUAAAUAUAUACACCACUUAAAACAAUAUUUAUGUAAAACUACUAGUUUUUAAAUUUUUUUGUUCAGACGUUGUAAAAAAAAAAAACAUAUUAUUUAGACAAUUUCAUUUAACCUAUCCAGAUUUCAGUUAAAUUCAGAUAUAUUUUUUUCAAACAAAAAUCAAACACAACCAAGUCUAUAAAAUGCACGAGAAUUAUGGCAUCAUUGAAGCACAAGAAGCUACAGCGAAGAAACAACUCAAUUUGUAGCAACCUUAAAUGCCUUUAGCAAGCAAUAGAAAUUAAGGACAUGUCGUUUCAAGUUUCAGCCUCUCCUAAUAAAGUUAUCCGAAUAAAUGCCGAGAAAGAAUCUACUCGUCGUUCGGCAAAUUUUGAUCCUACCAUUUGGGGGGAUUAUUUCCUUUCAUAUACUGGUGACUUCAAGGUAAAAUGACUCUUUAGUAGUACUCUACUCUAAAGCAACUUAAUACUAGUAUUGCAUAUUUACGUUAAUUACGUAUAGUUUUCUUCCUCUGUAGAUAGCUUCAUCUCUAAAUUUAAUUUCUUCCUCAGGAAAGUGGUGAUGCUAGCGUGAAGCAUCAAGAGCUGAAGAAAGAAAUUAGAACGAUGCUAAGAGCUGAUAUCAACAAGCCUACGCAGACUAAACUGGAUUUGAUUGAUGACAUUCAGCGUUUAGGAGUGUCUUAUCAUUUUGAAAGUGAGAUUGAUGAAAUCUUGCGAAAAAUGCAUGAGGCUAACCAAGAUUGUGAUCUUGGCGAUGAUGAAAAUGUUCAGGAGCUCUAUUAUAUCUCUCUUCAGUUUCGAUUACGUAGACAAAAUGGCUAUAAAAUUUCCGCUGGUAAGUCUUUUUUCUCACCAAUUACUCUUGUUCAAUAUCUUGUACUUCUCAAAAAUAUAAAAAAACAAAAUCUUGCAAAAUGUUUUCAUCUUCAUCCUUUAUCUAAUUUUUGGGAACUGAAGUUGCAGCUCCUGUGUAUAUGUGUUAUGUCACUUAAUUUCACUUGCCUUUAUCGAUAUUUUAGUAGCGGAUGGUAUUUAUAGGAACUCAAAUAAAGAAAACUGUAAAAGAGAAUGAGCUCCACUUUAAUUAUUUCAAAUGGCUCCAAGGCCUAGUUAUAUUUAUAUCUCUACAAUUAUCGAUACCUGCAAUUUUUGUUUGUCCACUUAAAAACGAACAUUUGCUUAUCUUUAUUUGAGCAUAAGAAAAAAGACGUGGAAAAGAAAUUCAAAAUUCUCAUUUAUAUAUCGUUAAUUAUUGCUAUAAAUAGAAAAAUUACAUGAAAUUUGUUAACGGGUGGUGAAGCAGAUGUCUUUAACAGGUUCAAGGAUAGCAAUGGGAACUUCAAGUCUUUCCUUAAAAGAGAUAUUCGGGGAAUGUUAAGCCUGUAUGAAGCGGCACAUCUCAGGGUACAUGGAGAAAAUAUACUCAACGAAGCACUAGCUUUCACUGUCACUCACCUUGAGUCAUUUACAAGCCAAUCCAACACUCAACUUGCGGCUCAAGUCAAUCGUGCCCUCAAUCGACCUAUUCGCAAAAGCUUACCAAGGCUAGAGGCAAAACACUACAUGCCAAUCUAUCAGAAAGACCCUUCACACAACAAAGAUCUAUUAACCUUUGCCAUGUUAGAUUUCAACAUACUUCAGAAACAACACCAAGAAGAACUCAGAGAUAUCGUAAGGUUUGAACGAUUUUAGGGCUCAUAUGUUAAUGUUUUUGGCUUAAUUUCUCUAAAUAAUAAUUUUUUUUUAAUAUAUUAGGUGGUGGAAAAAUUUUGAUGUUCCCAAUAAACUACCUUUCAUAAGAGACAGAGUGGUGGAGGGCUAUUUCUGGAUUUUGGGAGUAUAUUUUGAGCCAAAAUUUUUAUUGGCUAGAAAAAUUCUAACCAAAGUGAUAUCAAUGUCUUCAAUUAUUGAUGACAUUUAUGAUGCUUAUGGUACAAUAGAAGAACUUGAGCUUUUUGCCACAGCAAUUGAGAGGUCUGAAUGUUCAAUUUUUCGCAUUUGUAUAUUUCUUACCAAAAUUAAACUUUUUUAAACUUGUGAUAAUCCUUGAUUAAUAUCUAAUAUGAAAUGCUAUUGUUUAUAAUUUUGUUUUCCAGGUGGGAUCUCAGUGCCAUAGAUCUGCUUCCUGAGUACAUGAAGUUGUGCUAUAGGGCUCUCCUGGAUGCUUACAGUGAAUUUGAGAAAGAUUUGGCCAGCAAAGGAAUAUUGUACGGCCUACCUUUUGCUAAAGAAUCGGUCAGUUCAUUUCAAUUAUUGUGAAAGCUGUGUAGCAAAUAUAAUUUUCCUCCCUCACUUUAGCAAGUGUUGCGCAGAAUAAAUCUUUCUUUCCUAUUUUAUCCUUUCUAUUUUUAUUUUUUAAUAAUUUCUUAGAUGAAGAUUUUGGUGAGAAGUUACAUCAUCGAAGCUAGAUGGUGUGACCAACAAUAUGUACCGACAAUGGAGGAAUACAUGCGCGUUGCACUACUUUCAUGUGGCUACUUACUGUUAUCAACAUCUUCAUUUCUGGGAAUGGAAGAUAUUGUAACAAAAGAAGCCUUUGAAUGGGUAUCCGGCAACCCUAAAAUCGUUCAGGCUUCCUCAAUAAUUUGCAGACUCAUGGAUGACAUUGUCUCUCAUAAGGUAGCAUGAACUAAAUCAUUUAUUAUUUAAUAUUAUUAUUCUAUUUUUAGAUGGCCAAUAUAUAUGUGAAUGUUAUGCAGUUUGAGCAACAGAGAGGACAUGUGGCCUCAGCUGUUGAAUGCUACAUGAAGCAGCAUGGAGUUUCUGAGGAAGAGGCAGUUAAAGUGUUUCGGGAGAAAGUUGGGAAUGCGUGGAAAGAUAUAAAUGAGGAGCUCAUGAGACCACCUGUUGUUCCUAUGCCUUUGCUCGAACGGGUUCUUAAUCUUGCUCGUUUAAUGGAUGUGCUGUACCAAAAUAAUGAUUCCUAUACAAAUCCUCACUUGAUGAAAGAUCAUGUUGCCGCAUUGCUUAAGGAUCCUGUUUUCUUUGAAGACUAGUUUCGCUAACUAUAUAUACUCUAUAACUCUCCCUUGGAUUCUCGGUGCUUGUUAUUAUUUGGUUUGUGUUUUGACUUGCUUGCUUUAUUUUUAAGAGGAGUAAAGUUUAUUAUGUCCCGAUUAAGCGUCAUUUGCUCUGUUCUUUACUCAAUAAAAUUCUCGCAAAUACAGCAGAAGUUUUCCUUAAAUUAAAAAUAAAUAAAUAAAAGAAGAAGAAGAAACAAUGUUUGUGAUAUGAUCAGCUUUGAUCCUGUUAGACAGGGCUUUAAGUAAGCCAUAUUUGCUAUAUUUGAAAUUGUUGGGAUGCGGAAGCAUCAUUUUUGUGGUCCAAUAUCACUUGCGUGCAAAUGGGAAAUCAAUACUGAUGCAAAUAAGGAAUCCUUAUCAUAUUUGGAUUAGUGUCCUUAUCAUUUAAAGUUUAGAACUUUGUUUUUUUUUUAGUUUAGAACUUUAUUUUCCUUUUACUUCAUUGUUAGGAUAAUUAUUACUAAUAUAAAUAGCCCUCUCUUAUAGCUUUUGAAGAUAGAUUUGAGUUCAAUAAUAUUUUCAAUUUUCAAAGUUCUGUGUGAGUUGUUGAAUUUAAUUAAUUUUCAGUAUUCUAUGGAAUUAAAGAGUCUUAGACCCCAAGGUUCACGGUAUUCUUUUGAAUCAAUGUGAAUUUAAUUCUUUUGUUUAUUGUUAUAUUCUCUAGAAUCAAUAGAAUAAUAGCACAUUAAACUUCCGCUCCAUCAGCUUGAUAUCAGAGACAAAAACCUGAUUCUUAACUAUCCUUAAGACCUAUAUUUGUUUUUCCUAAACUCGUCUCGCAUUAAAAAAAAGACAAAAAAAACAAUAAAAAAAUAAGCUAACAAGAAAAUAAGUUUCCAACAAAAUCCAAGGCCACUGUAGCAGCUGUCGUCAAUGUUGCCAGUGUACUUUUUCGUCGCCUUUUGACGAUCAGCCACUACUGUGACAAUUAGAACAAGUUGCCGACCAUAUCUCAUUCCUCAAACUCUCCUUUCCACCACCAUAGCUGUCAGAAAAAAACCAAAAAAGUCGCGAAAGGCUUUGCAUUGUUCGUCGAUUUCCACCGCACUUAGGCCAGUACCAUAGCUGUCAAUCAACUCCUCUCCACUAGCUCAACUUUCUAACAAAUCACGAUUGACGCAUCGAUUGUCAUAAUUGAAGCCCGUACAAAAUCGCCGCCUUUAUCUUUAAUUUCCAGCAAAAUUACCACCUUUUCAAACAAGCCACUGCCACUAUCACACUCACCGACACUAAAUCUUUUAGAUCCCCCCAUCCUUGCUUGAUUUCAUACCACCGUCACCAAAAACCUAACUUUUUAUAGUGGAUUCUGUUACUAUAAGAGUUUGACCUAGAGAUCAAUGACAGAAAAGGCAUUAAGAAUCAAGUAGCAGAUCAUCUCUCAAGGCUGACAGUAGAUGCAAGCACUCUAACUAAGCAAGACAUAACAAAAACUUUCUGUGAUGAGUAGUUGCUGAUGAAACAACAUGCAUAGAUGCUACAGCAAUUUGGAUUCCCGUGGUAUGAAGACUUUACUAAUUAUUUAGUGAGUGGAUUAAUACCCCCUAAUUUGAGCUACUAAAAGAAGAAGAGAUUUCUCCAUAAUGUCAGAAGUUAUCAAUAAGAUGACCCUUACUUGUACAAGAUGUGUUCAGACCAUGUAAUCAGAAGAUGUGUUCUUGAUGAAGAAAUUUCAAACAUUCUACAAUCAUGUCAUACUGCAGCAUAUGGUAGACAUUUUGAAGGACACGAGACAGUAGCAAAACUUCUUCAAUCAAGUUAUUAACGACCGUUUAUUUUUAAAGAUGCUUAUAAGUUUAUUAAAUGUUGUGACAUGUGCAAAAGAACAGGAAACAUUUUUAAAAAACAUGAAAUGUCACUAACCAACAUCUUGGAGGUUGAACUUUUUUAUGUAUAGGGAAUAGACUUUAUAGGACUAUUUCCACCCUCUCUUGGCAACUUGUUCAUUUUAGUUGUUGUGGAUUAUAUAUUCAAGUGGGUAGAAGUUGUAGCAUUUUUAGACUCAAUGAAAUGAAAGUUACCAUAACAUUUUUACACUCAAACUAAUAUUACAUAGAGAGUAAAUGAUGUGUUUUUAGUGCAUUUUUAGUUAUAUUUUCAAUAAGUAUCCAUUUAAGUUUAAUUUUAAUCAAUUAGUGGUGUUUUAUAAUACUUUGUGCUAUGAUUAUGUGCAUGAUUGUAGGUGACCAUAAAGCUCAAGCUUUAUGGAGGGAAGCAGCAGCAAAGACUUGUAGAUAUCACAAAAGAACUUGGUUGUAGAGGAAUUAAAACAAGUCUCGAAUAGCGAAGAUAUUGUAGUCGUUGCUACAGUAAUCUUGUAACAAUUGCAGUCGAGAUUUCGUGCGUGUUAACCGAAAGAUUACACCAAGGUUUCCAAAAAUAAAAGACAUAUGGCCACACGCUUUUGGUUGCCCUAAUUCUAAGAUAUAAAAGGAGAACACAUGAAAAGAAAAAAGUCGUCACUCAAGGAAAAUAACAGAGAAAACAAAAGGAGAAUAGAGAAAAAGAGGGAUUUGAGGGGUGCAACAAAGGAUUCAAGGAGAAAAAAGAAUGAGAGAUCGCAAAGACUAAGCGGAACUGAAUUUUUCACCUUUUUUUUCUUGUUUCUCUUUUUUUAUGGGAAUGUAUUUGAUGGCUAAAACGAUUCUUAUUACUAUUUUAUCGUAAAUCAUGAGCUAAACAUUAUUGUGGUUAAGUGAUAAACAGGCUUAAGGGCUAUUUGACUUAUAUAUGUAUGUUGUUCCAAAUUUGUUACAGCAUUUUGUCUUUAUUUUACUUAUUGCAAUUCCUUAAUUUCGUUGACCACCCAUUUAGUGGACAUAACUAAAAAGGAGCCUAAAAAAAGUUUGACUUAGUGAAACAAAUUAAGGCAACACAUGGUUUUAGAUUAGGUUUCCAAGUUAAGUUACUCUCGAUUUGAAUAAGGCUAUGCUUAUUCUCAAAUUAUUAAAAAACUAGACAUAGAGAUUCACCUUUAGGGUCAUUGGAACCUAGAACACAUAAUGAUAUGUCUAAUGUUAGCGUAACAACUAGAUAUUAUUAAGUUGCAUUUAGACAUAUGAUAUCCCACAGGCGACAGUUGAGAAUGCAUUAGGGAUUCUUUCAAGUGCUGUAGUAAAUGUUGUAACAACAUAUCCUUUAUUGAAAAAAUAGUCAAUACCGUUAAAUGAGCUUAAUCACGCAUCUACUCCUUUCCCAUUGAGUUUGUCCUCGUGUUUAACUUAAGAUUUUCCUUAUUGCAUUUUGUUAUUUGUACUUCUAAUUUAGUUAGUUCAUUAGUUCUAUUAAUUAUUUUAUUUUAUUUUAUUUUAUUUUAUUUUAUUUUAGACAGAAAAUUACACUGUUAAGAUUGUUGUACCAAAUCCUAUAACAUCAAUCCCUAUAAAGAUGAUUUGAAUACUCAUCAGUAUAUUACUUAUUGUGUAUACUUGCAAAUUGAUACCUAUAGCAAUAGACAUCACCUAACAUUGGUUUAUCAUUUUUUGUCAUAGUCUCUAAGUACUUAUGACAAUCUCAAAAUAUUGUAAAUAAUAACUAAAUUAAAGAUUUCUUAUGAAGCCACUAGAACAUGCCUAUAGAUAUAGCUUCCACUAUGGACAAAGCUAUGCAAGUUUAUUAUCUUACUUCUCCAUAUAAUAGCACUAAUGCUACACAAAGAUGUGCACAAUUACCUUGAAGUCAAUUUUCACUCAUCUAGAUCACCAUAUCUAUUGGCACUUAAGCGCAAAUUUCCUCUUAGUAUAAAAAGUAGUUUAUAGUGCAUUUAGGGUAUACAAAUCCUCUUUAAGCAAUUCAAUGCUUUAUAACUCUUAUCAGUCUCAUAGCAUAUAUCAAAUGUCGUACAUCCCAAUGUACAUGACACUCUUUUUGGCAUUGAGAUAAGCAAUGUUAGCCUUUCUUUUUCUUUUCUAGAGUCUUAUAGGCAGACCAAGGCUAAGAAUUUGUCAUUCUCUAUAGCAAUAUCUAAUUGGCUUCUAAGUUGCAAUUUUUUAAACUUUUCAAGAAUAUUUCUAAUAUAAAUAUAACUCUUGUGAUAAAGUUAGAAAAUUCUUAAAGGAUUCUAUUUGGAUUCAAACUCCUAAAAAUAGGCAACUUUGCCCAUUCUUCAUUGGAUGAUCAAUGCCAAUGAUUUUGACAAAAUCUUUUUUAUUUCUAGUCAUCCAAAAAUAUUGUUCACAUGCAUAAAUUUAAGAUUCCGUUAUUAAGAAGAUGUCAUAGAUACAUAUAUUGAACUUUUAGAGCAAGCAGACUAUGCGUUCAAGGUCUUGAGCAAAAGCAUUUUAAACAUGCAUAUGCGCUCAAAACCUUUAGCAAAAAUCUUUUGAGCAUGUAAACUGUGUACUCAAAUACUUUGGCAACAAUGCCUAGUAGUUGUUCCAUAUGUAAAUUUCUUCCUCUAAUUCUCCACUAAUAUGCAUUUAUUACAUCCAUUUGAUGUGACAACAAAUGCAUGUUUCAUGUUAACUAGGAAUAAUUGCCUUAAAGAAACCUCUUAUUCAAGAGUUUCUUUUUAGUUUAAAUCCCUUGAGCAUAACUUUAAUUAAAUAAUAAAAACUUAUGAUUGCACUUGUGCCUUUUGCCUUACACAUGCACAACUCUAUUGUUUGCAAUUGUUUGUUUGGCAACUGACCAACCAUGUCGCAGGCAUAGUUUUCAUUUAAUGACUCGAUCUGUUUAUUAUUACUUUUAUCCAUAGUUCCUUAGCAUUUAAAGUGAGAGCUUCAUGCAAAUAAUACUAGCUUAUCAUUAUAUUAUGAAACAAUUAUGAAGAAAUUCCUUCCAAUCUCUGAAAGACGAUAUAUGAUUCCUUUUCAAUUUUUUCAUUAAUUGAGUUAUGUGGUAAGGCCACCUCAUUAGGUGUUUACUCCCAUUAGGAUCAAGAUUUUCAAGCAAAACCUGGCCUAUACUCUUAAUUCAGAAGUAAUGUCAUAAAGAGAAUAAUCCAAGUCAUAAUUUUAAGAUCUAUCUUUAUCAACUUCUAUAUUGCUUCAUAAUUUAAAAUUUUGAUGUUUAUGGCAUCUUAUCCAGUGACUAUCUCAACCAUUCAUUUACGAUCGAACACGUGCCUUAUUUGCUUGUUCAAUGUAUCUUUCUGCAGACCUUAAGUUGUAGAUAAGUUAUGUUAGGCUCAUUAUCUAUAACUUGGAAUGGUUCGUAAGCAGCUCAUUAUAUGAGAAAUUAAUUAGGUAUUUAAGCUGCAAUCAUAUAAAAUAUCUCCAAACAGCAUAUUGAAAAAGCUCAUGUGCUACUAUUACUUUAUCAAUUCUCAUAAUGUCUUAUUCUUUAAUCUCCACGACUCAAGCAGUGCGUAAUUUUAAGAAUAAUUAGUUAUAUAUCUAUAUCUUUCUCAUAUACAGUUCCUAGAAUUAUAUAGAAAUAUAUACAUAUUUUGGUUUAUCUUAACACAAUCUCCACAAUAUCCAAAAGUAAUCUGAAGUAAUAUAGUACAACUGAUUUAUAGGAGAUCAAAAAGAUUGGACCAAAAUAGAUAGAUGUUUAUUUCUUAGCCUUUACAUUCAUUUUACCACAAGUUCCUUUGCCAAGUGGUUUUCUAAGUUGUUCUUAUAUAUUAAAUUACUCUCGCACAUAUGCUUUAUCAUUGCAACAAGUAUGCCCAAUGUGCUUUCUCUAGCCAAUUUAGUAAUAUGUCUCAGUCUAAUAUGCCAAAUUUUGGCAUGUACAUCAACACCAUAAGAUGAUGCUUAAUAAACAACUUUUCUUAAAACCUUUUUUCCAAAAUGGUUAAACAAACACCCAAAAGUAAGCGUCUUAAUCUUAGAAGGUCAAUAAUAAAGACUUAGUUUUCAAUGAAUUUUCAGUGUAUAUUUAUCAUUGGAAAAAUAUGGACAACGCAAUACUAACUUGCAAGUGCUUAUACUCUUCACUUCUACAACGAGGAUAUCCCUAUAUGUAUCUGUCUUUUCCUUUGACAAUUGAAAAAAAAAUCAAAAUAUUUUUGUGAUCUCUAGUCAUAAGAUAUGGAAACUUAGUUGAUUGCUCAAUACAAUCACAAGUGAAAUAACUCUAACUCAUGGUGAGUAGCCAUCCAUAUGUUUUAUUUCUAUUUCCAAGCUUGCUUGCCUCAUAUGGCAUUUCUUAGCAUUAGUCAUUUACAUAAGGAUCAAGUCCUUAACUCUCACUAUGAGAGACUAGUCCAUCUCUUAUACUCUAAGCUUGAAGCUUUGCACAAGCUAAACUCCUUCAUGGUAGGUUAAUUUUAAAAGUAUUAGCGACUUCUAAGCACUUAUCUUCUUCAACUACAAUCCAUUAUAUAGAGUUUGCUAGAAGCAUUAGCCGCCUAUAGGUGCUCAUCUUCUAUCAUUGGACUUAGUAAUAUAGAGUUAAUUGGAAGUAUGAGCUGCCUCUAGGCACUCCUGUUAUAAAUCCGAGUAACAAAUAUUUGAUUAAAAGUUCUAGUAGUCUUUGCGUACUAGCCUUCAAAUUCCUAAGGUUAUGUGUUAAAUAAACUCUCACAUUGUGCAAACUAUCAGGAUUGGACAUUUUAUUGCCUAGACCUAAUAUUGCCAAUUACAAUGUGUCUAGCAUAGUUGAGCUCUCGUAUAUGAGUAACCCAAUACUUUUUGGACUCAUUAAUAAGCGCAUAACACAUGUUCUCGGCAACAAAAAGCGAGUAUGCUGGGCUUUUGCAAAACCAUAAAAAAUGGUCCUUGUCUUCUAAAGAGAAGUAGCAUGCUCAAGUUCAAAAUUGAUACUUAUUUAGAGUAUCAAUAGUCUUUCUAUUCAAUUUGUACACAACAUAUUCCAAAAUAUAUACUAAAUUCAAUCAAGAGACAACCAAUCCUAGUAUAAUAUUCAUUUAAUUCAUAUAUUUAAUAAAUUUUUUCGCAACCAUAACUCAAAUUAAUGAAAAUAAAAUAAAAUAUAAGGAUUGGAAUCAAAAGGUUGUCGAGGCUUCCAAUAUCAUCCUUUCCAAACUUUAAAUUAACAUAAUUAUAUUCUAUUGUGUAAAAUAUUUAGUUCAAUUAUUAUUCACACCUAGAAUUUUAAUAAUAAUAGAACUCCCACUAACAAAUUAUAAAUAUAACAAAAUUAAAAUAGCCGUUAUACAUCUAUUCACGUGAAUAAUGCACCAGGAAAAUUUCCAAGAAAGAGGUAGGGAUUGAUUGGUCCCAAUUUUUUUUUUUUUAUUACAUGAGACUAUUGCUCAGACUACAACUCAUAUUACAUGAGAAUAUAACUGAUAUUUACAAAUCAGACUAUGACUGGGACCAACUUACAUCAAUGCUAAUGGAGCGCUGCCCAGAUUUUAACCCUUUCAAAUAUUCGAGGGAUGUCUACUCCUCACUCUUGGGUAAGAGAGUAGAUUGCCUUCACUCAAAUUUAAUUGAGGAAGGAAAUACCCCUACAAUGCAUUGUGGGGGUUCGAACUACUCUUAUCGUCUUUUUGGCAACAUUUUUCCUAGACAUGCAUACAUUCACAUUACAUUAUAAGGAUAAGGAGAGUACAUUUAGUAACAUGUUGAAACAGCUCCCAUAAAAGAGCAACACCGUCAAGCCAAUCUCAAAAUAUUUAAAAAAUAUUUUUCCCAAAUCUCCCUUAUAAAUGAUUUAUUUUAUUUAAAACAUCUUAAAAAUAUUUUAAUAAAAACUGAAUAAUUAAUGUAAAGAAAAAAAAAUAUUUUUAAAUAAUAAAACAAAAUAGGAUAUACAUUAAAAUGAAGGUCGAAAUACAUUAUCAAAAUUUCUAGAUUUCAAACCAGAACUUCAAUUGGCUCGUUCUCUCUGCAUAUAACUCAGAAUUAUGCAAUAUGAUAUAUCGUUGGAAAGCCCUCUGAAUUAUCUUUCAAAUGAUAUCAAACUUAUAGAGAAUUAAUCAUUGUAUCAAAAGUUAUGAGUAAAACAAUUCUACGGGUUUGUGCAUUAGGGGUUUUGUUUUCUCAUAACUUAGGCCAUAUCAAUUCACAAAAGUUUCUAGAUUUGACAUACAUAUAUUUAUGUGAUUUUAAACCAAAAAUCAAGGCCUAAUAGUGAGUUAUUCAUCACAUACCAUUGAAGUGUGUUCUAGAUGGCAAAAACGUUAUAUAUCUCAAAGAACAGGCAUAACUCAUGCAAAUAUAUUCAAAAGAGAGCAUAACCUUCACAAACUUUGAUAUCAAUGUUGAUUUUCAUGUAUAUUUAAAUAUACAAUUAAUGGAAGAUCCAACAACAUACUUUUCAUCCCUGGAUGGGAAAACGGAUCAUAAAGAGGUUAUGUCAUUAUAGGGAUAGAGGAUAAUCUCAUGGAAAAUCCUCAUGCCACUAUAUGCAUAUGGUCGGAAGAUAAUAAUAAUAAAAGAAAAUCCACUCAGAUCACAUUGCAAUACCACACUGCCUUUUCUCUCUCUUGUUUUCACUCUUGUAUAUUCUAAAAUGUUCUACAUAUUUUCUUUAUCUCUCACGCACUUGUAUUUUAGAUACAAUAAGCAUGCUUUUAUAGAAGUUAAUGAGAGUGAUUGAGGUCAACCAAAAGACCAAUUAGACUUACAACAAUCAUAUAUGGAACUCAAUCUAAAAGAAGUUUUUAGAUGUUUUUUAUGUUGGACUGGUCCAACCCAUCAUGUGUGCCAAUUCCAACAAUUUGCAACUUCGUCCUUGUGAUAAUCAAAUGAAAAGAAAAUGAUAAUUGAGAAAUAUAAAAUUAUAAAAAUACUCAUUAAUUUUGAAGGAUGAAAUAAAUUUGUUUUUUAGAUAAGAAAUUGAAAAAGAAAUUAAUGGAGAUAGAGUUAGCAUAUGGGACAAUUAAACAAUGAGUUAGCAUAGUGUAUUUGACUCUUUAAUUUAUCUCAUCUGUUCGCACUUUAUAAUUGACCUCUCUCUUUUUAUUUCUCUCUCUCUUUUAGACUUAGUGGUGUAUGAAUUCUAUUGCUAUUGGUGUUAAUGUACAAAUGUACACAACAAGUAAUAUAAUUAUGAGUAUUUAAGAUCGUCUCUACAAGGAUUGAUGUUAUCGAAGUUGCUAUAGAAAUUAUGACAGUGCAGUUUAGAUUAAAUUAAAAUUAAAUAAUUAAAGAAAGUAAUAAAUUAACUAAAUUAAAAAUGCAAUAAAGGAAAUUUUAAAUCAAACACGAGGAUGUAAUCAAUAAGAAAGGAGUAGUUAGUGAUUAAACUCACUUAAUGGUUUUGAUUAUAUUUUUAAUUAAAAACAUGCUGCCACAACAUUUUCUACCGCACUGGACAGAAUCCCUCUUGCAUCCUUAGCUGUCGCCUGUCGGAUAUCUUAUAUUUAUAUGCAACCUAAUAGUGAUCAGUUGUUAUGCUAACAUUAAAUAUAUCAUUAUACGUUCUAGUUUCCAAUUACCCUACAAGGUGAAUCUCUGUGCAUAGUUCUUCACUAAUCUUAGACCAAGCAUGACCCUAUUCAAUCGAGAUUAACUCAACUUGGGAAACCCAAUCUAAAACCAAGUAUUGUCUUAAUUAGAUCCACUAAGUCAAACAUUUUUAGGCUCUUUCUUAACUAGUAUCCCUAAAUGGGUGAUCAGCCGAAAUAGAGAAUUAAAAUAAAUAUAAUUAAGAAAAAAUACUAUAGCAAACAUCGAGCAACAUACUUAUGUUAGUCAAACAUCCAUUAAGUUUGUUUAUCACUCAACUACAAUCAAGUUUAGUUCAUAAUUUGUAAUAGAAAAAUAAAUAAAAGAGUUUUAGUCAUCAAAUACAUCCCUAUGAAUAAAUAAAGAACAAGAAAAAAACAAGAAGGACUGAUUUUCAAUAGAUCUCUGCGUUUUCUCCUCUAGUGCACCCCUCAAUCUCUCCUUGAAUUUUGUUUUUCUUUUGUUUCUUUGCGGUUUUUCUCCUUGGUUGACCGCUCUCCCUUUUUCUUUACGUGUUUGCUUCUUUUAUAAUUGAAAAUUAGGGUAAAUGGAAGUUUAGGGCGCGUAACUUCUAGAUUAGAAAAAUCCAGAUCGCAAUCUUCUAAGUAUCUUGUGCAAAAACCUCUCUGUCGAUGCUCCAGAAUUGCUACAACAACGAUGCUACAACAAUAGUGCUACAACAAUUACUUCACACCUACACUAUUCCAGACUUGUUUCAAUUCUUCUAUAACCAUGUUCUUUCCUUAUCUUUGCAAGCCUAUUGCAACAGCAUUCCUCCCUUGAAGUUUGAGCUUCCGGUCACCUACAAUUAUGCAUACGAUCUAAACACAAAUUAUUUUAAAACAAUGUAAUUUAUUAAAAAUAAAAUAAAAUGGAUAUUCAUGCAAAAUAAAAAUAAAAUUCAAUAAAAACAUAACAUUUACUCUCUAAGUAAUCUUAAUUUAAGUCUAAAAGUACCGUAAUAACUCUUAUUUCAUAGAGUUAUCACUUAGCUUUAUUAAAAACUAAAAAAUAAUUACAAAUAAAUAUUUUUUCUUUUUUCUUUUCUUUCUCUCACACUCUCAGCAGAUUAACUUUUUAUCUCUCAAACUCUCACGUCUCUCUCUUUUUUUGAAUUGAUUUAAAAGUCCAAUCAAAUUUUAGACUUCUAAAUUAAAUCCUAAAGUUCCCCCUAGUGUCUAACUUAGUUGUUUUCAAGUAGAUUAUUAUUUGGUUAACCACUCAGCUUCAGAUCCUAGAGGUAAAGGAUAAAAAAAUUAAUUUAACUUUUACCUAUCCUUUAUUAGAAAACCCCAAAUUAGAAAUUUCAUUACUCUUAAAUAGUAAGUUUGGUCCCCAAUAGCAUGUUAAAUUAAUCAGUACAUCCAAAAAAUUAAACUAAGAUGUAAGGGUACAACAUCAAUUAAUAUUAAAUAGAAGAUUGUCACUUUUCCUCCUAUAAUAGUCACACUAAAAUUACUUGAAACCAUUAAUAUUACUUUUUUAACUUCAACGCAUGCAAAUACCAUUUAUUACAACUGCUCAAAUUUAUAAUGAAAUAAAAUUAACAUAAACUAAAGUGGUCUUAAAGCUUAUAGGAUCAAGCUUAGCCGCUUAAGCUCAGGCAACUUGUUCUUUCCCAAAUACGAAUCCGUGAAGCAAGCACCAUCAUUAUGCAAAAAUUCGCACGAAUGCAUAAGAUUAAGAAUACUCACAAGCAUAGGAAAUGGUACAUCAAUUGGCUUGAGAAAUCCCUCUUUUAAUUACUUCUAAGUCAGACACAGCAUGUUGAAGCCAGCAAAAAUAAAUACCUACUCUAAAUAAAUUGUGUAUAGUAAUUGAGUAGGGUCGUGUCCACAGAGAUCGGUAAUUAUUUAAAUCCUUUUUUAAAUGUAAAUUGGAAAAUGGGGGGAUUGUUGACAAUAAUAAAAAUCAAAUUAAAAUAACAAGAAUGCAAAUUCAAAUUGUAAUUCAAAUUGGGAAAAGCUCUGGUUGAAGGAAUUAACUCAGCUUGAUUCGACUACUGAUCAUUGAUUCAAAUAUAAAUCAUUACUACUUAUGAAUAGACCGGUUAUAGCUACUGAGACCCUCUAAUAGUCAAUCUCUCCUUAAUUAGUCGAUAACCAAGGUACGACCGUUGAUUAUUUCCCUAAUCAAUAGACAACCCUAGAUACGAUCAUAUGAUUUAAUCAAUUGACAGCCUGAAAAACCAGAGAGACCCAAAUCAUAAUCAACAAAUGCAUACGAUGGUUCAUUUAAAUUAGAUUGUUUAUUCUCAUAACACAACUCACUGCUAUGCUAUUUGUUACAAACAUUAAAAUCUUCAUACGAUGAAUCUUUUAAUUGACAAUAGAUUAAGUUGAUAAUUAAAUAGUGGCCAAUUAUCUAAUUAACAAAUAUAAUCAUGACAAUAAUUCAGAGAAUAAAUAAAUACCCAAAAAGUAAUAAAACAAUUAAAGCAUAAGAAAGAUCUCACAGUAGUGAUGAAUCAAAGCUUCAUUAACCUUCAGCUAGAAUAAUAGGUUUAGUUCUUCAUAGAGAGAAGAGAAAAAUUUAGAUCUAGGGUUUCUUUUUCUUCUUGCCUCCAAAAAAAAUCCUCCUUUUUCACAAUAGAUUCCUCUCUUAAAUACUCUUCUCUCUCUUCUCCUCUAGAGUUCUUUUUAAAAUAAAAUACUAAUAUCUAAAAUAUUAACUAAAUAUUAAAUUUGUAAUUACAAAAAUAACUAAAAAUACAAAACACGUUAAACUAAAAACUGCAAGUCCGUAGUUGACAGCAUGCGCCCACGCCUUAUCAACAAAGUUCUUCUGAAGCUCAUAAUUUCUCCAAGAAAACAAUCAUCCUCAAACAUUAUCUUGUACCUCAAUUUUAGCACCAAUCAAUAGAAUUGCAGCUACAAAAAUAAAACACAAGUAAAUCACUAUUAUUAAGUGCAAAACAUCGAUAUUAAGGGAAGUAAACAAUGCAAAACUAGUGCACAAAUUGCACUUUAACAUCUUGCCAUUUAAAAAAAAAAUUAAUAGCACAUAUUAUGUGCCCUUUAAUGUGAAUAGUGUAGGUGUAGACAUUUUUUGCCUCAAAAAACACUAAGUUGGCAUUUAGAUCAUUUACAUGAUGAUAUAUACAAUAAAUCACUUUUUAUAAAAUAGGGUUUUUAAAAUAGUUUGUAAAGUGUAGAAAGCACCACCUAUACAUAAAUGGUGUUUUCAUUGAAUUUUCAUUAGGAUCUGAUUUGAACCACUAAGUGCUAGUUCUUAUCGGAUUCAGGUUAAAUCCUAUUUAAACAAAUUUAUAUGUGAAGUUUCUAUUGUUUAGGGUGGAUGGUUUAACUAAGGUAUCUUAGUUGGUGAGCUAAAAUAAUAUACAUAGUAAACUAAGCUGGUCGUCUGAGGAAUAAUAGGGAGAGCUUAGUAGAAUCUUAUAGGAGUUGAUAUGGGGCUAGCCUGGGUGUACUCGGAGGACAACUCAGGGAGUCUCACAGAAUAUUUAGCGUAAUUAAGGUAGCUCAAGUAAGCUCAUAUGUGAAACACAAUAUAGACAUCAAAUUGAAAAUAUAGUGAAACAAAUAUAAAUAUAAAGAACACAUUAUAUUUAUAUGUUUCGACCUUUGGCAACAAGAGUAAGUCAUCACCAAUCCACUAAAUAAAUGAAAGAUUAUAUAAAUUUUAUAUUAUCCAAGAUGAAUAACAUAAUCUAUAUAGCUAUAUAGAGAUGCUUGGUGUUAAUGAAGAUGAAGAUGGUGAAUAAAUAUACAGAGAGUGAUAAUAUGGUGGAGAAGAUGAAAUUAUAGAAUAGAAAUGGCCUACCAAAAAUGAUGAAAUGGAUGAUAAUCUAAAAGAUGGGGGGAGAUGGAGAGAGUAGAGGAGAGUUGUAACGCCCACUUUUAUUUAUUUUUUUCCUCUUUUACCCUUAUUAAAUUGAGCAGGAUAGUUAUUAUUGAGUGUUUGUGUGUAAGUAAAAUUUAUCAAAUUGCUUUAAAUAAGUUACAUAAGUUAUUAGUUUUUAUAAAAAAAAAUAUUUAUUAAUUACCAAGUAUUUAAGAGGAAGGCAUCUUUUUAAGAAGCCGUCUUUUAUUUUCUACACCAUUACAAACCCUAGAAAGAAAAGAAAGAAACAUAAGUCUUUAGAGAAGGAAAAGAAAGUUUUAUAACUUCUUUUCUUAGUGUUUUCCUUAAGGUAUUAAGUAUUUCUUAGACUUAUAUGAUUUAUUUUUAUGAAUUGUUUGCCUUUAAUUACGUGUAGUAUGAUUUGGGUAAUAUAUGUGUGUUUGUAAUGUUGUGAUGAUAUGAACAGUCUCUAUUCCUUGCUUGAAAUCGUUUUAUUUAUUUAGAAUCACGUGAAUAUGCUUACAUAUCAUGGAACUAGACAUCCUAAGCUUUCUGUUGAUAGGUUUUGUGUUGGAAUCGUCUGAGUAUGCAAAUUGUUAUGGGUUUUCGAAGUUGGGUUACUGGAAAAUUACGAUUUUCAGUAGCGGUUCUCAAUUCUGGAAAUUUUUCUGUAAGGUUACACAUCCUUAAAAAUUAUGGCGAUUUUUGUAUCAACAAAUCUAUGUCUCCUAUGCUUGCAUGUUUAAUUUCGUAGUUUUAUUCUUUGUGGUUAAAUUAUUAAAAAUCGUAACAUGUGGCUGCUGCAAAUCUGGAAACUGUUUUCCAGAAUUGCAGAAGCUGAAACGUGUAACAGUUGGGCUAAUUUAUGAAUAUUACAUGCCAUGUUAGGAUUUUAUAAUGCAAUUUCAAUCUUUCCUCUGUCUUUAAAAACUGGAAUCAAGAUUUUUGGGCAUGUAAAAUAAAAGAUACGAAUUUUUGAAAUUCUGUUUUCAAAUCUGGAAUUUUCUGGACGGGUUAGAUGUUCUCGGAAAUAAAACGUUUUAAAAUAGUUUCAGGAGUCUAAAAAUUAUGAAUUUUAAUUAUAUACUUUCUGAAUGUGUCUUCUGUAAUUAGAAAAAAGAAACCUUAUUUCGAGUACUAAAGACUAUUUUAUGAAUUUCCUAAGUGGUAAAGGUCUGUUUUGGUCAAUGCUGGACAGUUUUGUUACUUUGGUGAAUGGUCAAUAUUCUGACUCGAUUUUGACUUGUGCUGAUUUUUGUGAAAUAUUGUAUACAAUGCUAUGCAUGUGCACAGUACCUCUAUAAAUUUUCAUGGUUUUCCGACAUGUGUAUAGGUUAUUAAAAAUCAGCAUGUGCAGGAUACUCAUGUUUAAGUCUAGAAUAUGAAUAAGUUUUGAGCUAGUAUAAGUGCCUAUAAUUUAAGGCUGAUUGGGAUUAUAUUUAAAGUUAGAGAUGAUAUUGAUAACGAUAUUUUUAUGAUGAUUAUAGGACGUGGGUGAGCUCAUUGGUUUGUUCUGAGGUGGUGUUUGGUUGGGAGGAGAGAAUAUAGGAGAGGAAAGUAAUUUAAAUUCUUUUUUUAUUUUCAUUGUUUGAUUUGACAAAAUGCAUAAGAAUUUAAUUUCCAUUAGAAUUUAAUAUUCAUUAAAAUGUAAAAUUUGAAUUCCACACAAAAUAGUGAAGAAUUUAAAUUCCUCUUAUAUUAGAAACUAAAGUUUCCAAAAUUACCCUUCAUCUUUUUAACUUAUUUAAUGCCACUAAAUAAUUAUUAUUUAUAAUUUUAUUUUAUUGAUUUAAUAUUAUAAAUGGACCACCGCCGGAAGGUUGCCAGACUACCGUCAAACCACCAUCGGACCUCGCCGAAAAGUCACCGGACCACCAUCGGACUUCGCCGGAAAAUCGCCGGACCUCCGCCGGCCACCGGACCGCCAUUUUAUUAUAUAUAUUUAAGGUAAAUGAUAAAUUUGUCUAACAAAAAAAUUAUAAUUCAUUUCCUUAUCAAAUUUUAUAUUAAACCAAACAACAAAAUUUAAUUUUACUACUUUUCUCCAUUUCUUUCUUCUCCCUUCCUCUCCAUUCCACUCUUUUCCUCUCCUCCCUUUUCUUCAAACUAAACAUAACCUUAAGGUAUUGAGUUGAUUGAUGCGGAUCGAGGUAAGUAGAUUCAUGCAUGAUGUGCUUUAUAAUAAAUAAGAUUUAUGUUAUAAGAAUUAUGUUUAAAUGGAGAUUUUUACAAAACUGAUUUCUAAAAUAUUUAAAUGAAUGUUAUAAAAUAAAAAAACACUUUUAAAUGAAUUUAUAAAAACGUGUUUUAAAAUGAAUUUUUCUUAAGAAAUUAGUUUUCUUAAACAAAAUGUUUUCUUAAGGAAUUUUCUAAAAGAAUUAAAUGAUCAAAGAAAGGUUCUUAAAUAUUUUAGAAGACUUUAAAUGCAAUUUAUGAAAGGAUGUAAGGUGAAUUCAAAAAUGUUUUGACUCAUAGUCCGUAGUAAUGUAAUAAUGCAAAUGUUAUGAUGUUAUGUAAUGCUAUGGCCAGCUUGCUGGUAUGAUGAUGAUCUUGUGCACAAGGAUGUUAUGAACAAUGCAGGGUAUAGUACCCUGAACAAGGAAUAAUGUGGGGUAUAGUACCCUGAAUGAUGAAUGAUGAAUGAUGAUGACUACGAGGCAUGAUCUACCAAUGUUUAUGUUUUAAUGUUUUAAUGUUUUUAUGAAUGUUUUGUUGUUUUUUAUGCUUUUAUAUGAAUCCACCCCUUAUGCUAAAUGAAGAUAUUGUUAUAAAAUGUUUAAAGGUAUAUGAUAAAGAUUUUCAAAUAUUGUGCAUGGAUUUACUUACUAAGUUGACGGCUCACCCCUCGUCUCCAAUAUUUUGUAGAUUGAUUAGAGAUGUGACUUGGGUUCUUCGAUGGAGAAUUUUUCUUAGUGGAUCUUUGGAGUUGUUUUAAAGAUUAAAUUUGGCUAAACUUUUUAUUUUGAAUUAGAGACUUUUCUUUGGAGACUUUAUUUCAUAUGUUUUAUGUAAAAAUUCAGUUGGAGUAUGAAUAAUGAUUGUCUAUCUUGAGAUUUAUUAAUAAGAAUAAAUGAUUUGAGGUUUCAUUCCAAUUUUACCCUUGUAUUUUCAUGGGUAAUUUUUGGGGUGUUACAAGAGCCCCCUAUAUAUGUUGAAUAAGACAUAUAUAUAGUGGAGACUAGUAGUAAGGAGAGUGUAUAAAAAUUAGGAUUAUAUAUCGUCCUUGGAUUGAAGGGAAAUGAUGUUUCUAGAGGUAUGUGUCAUAUCUAAAGAAAAUGGACAAGAAUAUUCCUUUCAUACUAGAUUUAUUCUUUCACAUAAAUAUCUUAAAGUGUCUAAUCUUGACUAUUGAUUCCCAAUCUAAGUAGUAAAUUCUUCUAAAAGGGCAUCUUUAUACUGCCCUAAGUAUUUGUUUAUUUGACCCUUGUUAUUUUCAUGUGUCAUAUUGUCAUUCAUUUGUUACUCCAAAGAUAUCCUUCCAAAUUUAUCUCCAAACGAAUGGAAAUAUUGAAUCAUAUAUGCUAGUAAUGAAGUGAAUUGAAAAGCAGUAGAAUAGGGAUUUAGUGUUGUGGAUCAUUGCGGAUUCAAUGAAGAUCUAACAAUCUUUUAAAGUUAUUUUACGCUUGGCAUGAAUGAUUUUUGCUUUAAUUAUAUUCAGCAUUUUUCUUCUUAAUUUGUAUUUCUAGUUGCUUAGGCAUAUGGUUAAAUUAAAUAUGAUGCAAUAUACUGGACGGUAACCCACAAACGAGAUUUUGUGGAUGCCUAAGAUGAACUUUUUAUUUUUUUUCUGAUAUAUGAAUAGAUUUGAAUUACUUGAACUCGGAAUGAAGCUAAAUGUUUGAUCUGAAUAACAUGUUUAUUUUUUGUGAAUUGCUAAAAAUAAGUAUUAAGUUAUUUUUUAACUUAAAAUUUUUUUAAAUCUUUUUCAUUUGUGCCCUUAUAAAUUAUAAAUUUUAACAAAUAAUAAAAAUCACAAAAAAAUAAAUAAGAUAAUAUAUAAUCGUAACAUAAAUCAAGUUGAAUUGAAUACAACCCUCUAGUAUUCUAAAUUAGUAUAUAUUAAUCUAUUUUAUUGUAAUUCAUGAUGUUAUUAUAUGAAAAAUAUUCAUAAAAAUUUUAAAGAUAGAUAAUACUAAUUUAAAGAAAAUAAAAAGAUAAAAAUAAUAAUAGGCUACCACUAGAUUAUUACAAAUUGUAAAGAUGAAUAGUAAUAAUACUAAUUAGUAAAUUUAUUUAGAUAAAGAUAAAUAUUAAUUAAUUAAAUAGAGAUAAUUAACUGAUUAAAAGUAAGUCAAUAAAUGAAGAAAAACGACCACCCUCGAUUCCCUAAGGCUAAAGAAUACCACUAGAAAAAUAAAUAAAGGAGUACCACUCAAAAAACAGAAUAGUCGAUGGAUACAAUUGUGCCUCACCAUUUCACAAAUCAGAAGUCUCAAUGUCUCACAUUUUUUUUCUGUGCAUAUAAUUUUAUGUUGUAACAGGUGAAUAUCAUUUGCUAGCCUGGCAAAAGUCCCUAGCAUAGAAUUUUUUAUUAUUUUUCUAAGGAAAUAAAAGUCAUUUUGAUGGUAAAUUAUAUUAAACUUCUUUCAGUUUUCUAAAAUAUAAAAUUGAUUAGUAAGUUGCAUAAUCGAUCAAUUGAAUCCUCCUUAAUUUCUAAAUGGCUAAAUUCUAAUUUCAUUUUUGUGCAUAUUUGACCAUUAAGGAUGUUAAGAUAAAAUGGCUAAGAAUCCUUAAUUGUAAUAUUAUAAAUGAGUGAUGAUACAGCCACAAACUUUUAUACAAAUUGACAUGGCAUUAAUUCAUUGGUUGAAUGAAAAUAUAAAAUAAUAAAAACGAAUCAUGUGGGCCAAGUGAUAUUUAAUUCAACCAAUCUUACCAUGCCACAUCAGUUUGUACAAAAUAAGUUUGUAUAAGAGUUUGUAAUUAUAUCAUUACUCAUUAUAAAUAUGCACUACAAGAAAAAAGAGAUAAGACAAUAGGAGCUUCCCGACGUGUGUGUUACACUUGUUACAAAAUAUGAUAUUUAACAUUAUUAAAAAAUUGUGCAUUGUUUAAAGCAACUAAAAGAUUAUUUUCAAUAACUUUCUUCACAGCAAAUUAUAAAAAAUAUAAUUGCAACAGUUUUGUGAUUGUGGUGUAUAUCAUAGGCCAAAUGACAACGUGCGAGCUAAGCACGUUGUUAAAAGCUUCAUCUUCAACAAUGAUUUUCAGAACACUGGUAAUAAGAAUGUAUCACAACCUAUUUUUGCUUGUUGGUAUUUAUAUUCAACAACGCGCUGCUUGUUGUGUUGUGAAAUAUUAUAUCUGAUGGAGUGGCUUAGCAGAAGUGGAAUUGAUUAAAUAGAAAACACUAGAUAUCGUUCUAGUACAAGAUGAAGUCAAUGCGAUUAGACUACACUCUAAUUAAAGUAUGAUUAGAUAUCGUUCUAAUCCAAACGACUCAAUGAGAUUUUUAAUAACGCAUAAAGUAAGAUUAGAUGACGCUCUAAUCCAAACGACUUUAUAAGAGAGAUGUUUUAUAAAUAAUCUUAGUGGGGAUAAUAAAAGAGGAAUUUUAUUAAAUAAUUUAAUCUGAAUUUAUGAAAACAAUAACAAAAUCUCCCUAUUUAUAAUAGAGGAAAACCUCUCUAUUUAUAAUAGAGGAAACCCACUUCCCUAAUUUAAUUUAAAAAGGAAAACUAAAUAACAAUUACAAUGAAAAUAAAAUACUAAAUCACAUACCAUAAUCGAUUCUAAUUAAAAUAGAAAGUCCUAGAAUAAUAAAAAUUCUAAAAUCCUAAAUUAACCUAAAAUAACGUCAUACAUCAAUAUCAAAAUUCGUAAAUAUAAUUAUUGAUUACACUUAUUAUUACUUUUUUUGUCUACAACAAUAACAAAGCAAAUAAUAAUUAUUUUCUUUCCUUUUUUUUUAAGUCAAUGAUUAUCUCUUCAUUUUAUGUAAAUGUUAUAAUUUAUUAAUAGGGUAAGAUGAAGUCUUAGAUAGUUCAUUCCAUUAAAAAUCAAUUUGAUUUUUUUAAUAAUAGCCUAGCAAAUGACAUUUCAAUUCAAUCUUAUGAAUCAAUUCAUGUGAGGAAGGUUCAAAUCUUAGAUCUCUUGUUUACACUCAAAAGAUUUUACCAAUAGAACUAGUAAUUGAAUUUUAUAUAUUUUUAUCUUAUUGAUAAUUUUAUUGUUAAUUCAACUAUUAAUUAACUAAUUACUAAUCAUUUACAAUAAGAAUCACUAACCAUAUUUACAACAAAUAUCACUUCACAUUAUAAUAAUGUUAUUGACUCGCUAUUAUGUAAUAAUUUAAAAUGUAGCCUUUAACGGUAAAUUUAGUUGAUAAAUACUAUUUUAGUUUUUAUCUUUGAAAGAGAGAUUUUAAAAUUUUCAAAAAAUAAAAAAGGAGCGAAGCCCAACCCGCGUUGCAAGUUUUCAAAGUAAAGUAAAUAAUAAAUUAGAAAAACCCUAGCUUUUAUCUUAUCUUCUUUCUCCUUACCGCCGCCACUGUCUUACCGCUCCCUUCGUCUCUCUUCUCUAGGAGCCAGUCAACUUAUUUCCCUCAAUAACGAAGACAAUGAAGGAGCUAAGGAGAUCUCACCAUCAUGUCUUCAACCUGUAAGUCAAUUUUUAUCAAUUUCUUAUGCCUUCUUCAUGUUUAAAAAAUCGUAUCUCACAAAACAAAAAAUUAAUAAUAAAUUUAUGGCAAACGUCUAUUCAAAGUCCUACUUUUUCUCCUUUUCUUUUUUAAUUUAUUAAAUUUUACAUUUUCGAGAUCUUGGUUUUAAAAAUUAAUAAGUAUAUUUUGUAUUAUACUGACUAUUUUGUCUACUGAGAAUCUUGAAAAUAGUCAAAUAAAAAAAUAAUGUCCAGUAGCGCCGCUUCGGUUGAAACGAUGUUGGGGGGUCUCUUCCGAGGUCUAUCUUUUUUUUUUUGGUUUAAUUUUUUAUGUUAAUUAAGAUGUAUGUAAAUUAAAUGCUUAUGUUUUUUUUGCCUUUUUAGUUUAUAUAAUGUAAUUGUGUUAUUAUAAUUAUUUCGAUUAAUCUUGAUUUUGUUUGACCAGGAGUUUCAAUUUUAUUGCUAAUGACAUGAUGGGGCUUGUUGAAGAAGAGGGCUUGGAUGGAGCUGCUGCUAAUAUUUUAUCUGAUGAAGAGAUCACUGUUGUGAUUAUAUCGUUAUGAUAUUAUUGAAUUUUGUAAUAUAAAUUGUUUCAAUUGUAGUGAUUGUCAAAUUAAUUUAUUUUUUUAAUGAAAUAUAAUUUUUGUAUUCAAUUCUUAGUUUGUUUGUAGCUGUAAGUUUUUAAUAUUUAUAAAAAAAAAAAGAAAUAUUGGAAAAAAAAAUAAGUAAGAGGAUUGUGGAAGCAAAAUGAGCAUAUAAAAUAAAACAAAAUAAAAUAAAACAAAAUAAAAUAAAAUAAAAAAGUAGCACAAUUCACAACGAUCAUAUUACAUGUUGUUAAAAGAAAUUUACAUAUGAAGGUUUUGACGACAUUAAAUUUGCGUUGUUUAAAGUAUUUUUAACUACAAGCGCAUGACUUUUAACAAUGUGUGUUGCAUGUCUUUAAAAGUAACUUUAAGACAAAAUCUUGAUCGACAACGCCGCAGAUACACGUUGUUAAAAGUUCAAGAUUCUUUUUAUUUUUAAGGAUUAUCUCUUAUUUAUACCGAGCUAUUAGCCGUGAAUCUCAUGUAUGGCAGAAUAGAAUGAGAUAUGAGAAAUAGAAACAAAGAUAUAGAAAAUAAGGGAUAAUAAAUCUACAAACUCUUAUAGAAAUUUAUUUAGUAUAAACUCAUGUGGUAUAAAUAAAAUAGUUGAUGAUAAUGCAAAAUAAUACAAAUAAAUCAUAUUUGCUAAGAGCUAUUUCAUCAGACCAAUAUAUUUGUGCCAUAUAAGUUUAUACAAAAUAAAUUUACACAAUAGUUAAAUUAGUUGAAUUAAAUUCAUCUUUACCCACAUGAUUUAUUUUUAUUAAUUUUUAUUUCCAUACAAUCAACAAAGUUUAUGCUACAUCAAUUUAUACGAAAUAAAUUUAUAUAAAAGUUUGUAACUUUACCAGCACUAGUGAAUUCAAAGUUUUUUUUUCAUAACUUCUAGAACUUCAUAAUAGUUCCAAUCCAUUCCAUAUUUUAUGGGAACCGUAAAGUUAAAUGAGUUAUUUUUCCCAUCUUAUGUUAAUGGAUCAUAUUGUUCAACAAAUGUGUGCUAUUAUUGUGCCAUAACAUUUCAGUUAUUUUGAUUAUGACUAUAUAAUAUACAAAAUUUCUGAAGGGAACCCAAUAAUUUCAAUUGUACAUUCAAUGAGAUACACAUUUUUAUAGUUUAAUUAAAAAUUAAUAAAUAAAUAGAUGAAGUAGUACUAACAACUCAUGUUCUUCAUACUUAAUGGGUUUUCAGUGUUUUAGAAAAAUUCUAAUUGUCUUGACACUUUAUUGAGUGUUGUAGUUUAGCACAAAGAAUACAAAGCAAAUUAAGCUGUGAAAAUAUCUGAGCCUAUCAAAAACUUUAUAAAUGAUGUGAAAUAAGUGGUGAACUUACACCAUUUACAAAACGCAAAAUUCCCACAUUGGAAAUUUGGAGCAACCCCCCCACCCAUGCACUAUGAUAUAUAUGUGGAAGCUCGUGUGAUAAGUGAAUUAACAAUAACAAAGGUAUUUAAAGUACUUUAUUUAGUUUAAAAUUUUCUUUAUCAUUUAUUUAUUUUAUAACAAUAAAAAAAUAAUUUUAGUAUUUUUUUUCAUAAUUAGGUCUCUCAAAAUAGGUGUUUAAUAAUAAUAAACAAAACAGAAACUAAGAAAUUAGAAGGGGAACAUAGCGAGCUUUAACUCUAAGAGGAAUAACACAAAAGCUUAUAAAGAGAGCCGCAAAAAACAAAUGAUAGAGAAAUCGCAUAUCAUAUCUAAUUAAAAUCUAUACUUGCGAAAACCAUUGGAAUCUUGAUAAAAAAACUUUAAAAUCUACCAAAAAAAAGUAUCACACUGAAGCCUCAAAUUAGUCAGGAUAUCAGCUACACAAUUAUUCUCUCUAUAGGUAUGAGAAAAUCUAAAUAGAAAAACAAUAAUUAUAAUUAAUACUGAAUUUAAUAAUCAUACCAAAAUUAGUAACAACAUUAAUUUGGGCGGCACCUAUUUUUCUUCCUCUUUCUUCUUUGUCAAAGUUUCCAUUUUUUUUUUCUUUCCUUGGGCGGCAUCUACUUGGACUUUAAUUUGGGUGGAUUUUUCAUGGUUUGGCACCGCCCAAGACUUUGACAUUCUCCCCAUGAUUUGGCACCGCUCAAGACUUUGACAAAAUUUAAAUUUCUAUAAAAUUUUUACAAUUAUCUUUCCAUAUACACGAAUGAGGUAGAUAAUCCUACACUAUUUAGUGGAAGAUGAUUUUUGAAGUAGUCAUUGUGAUUCGAUAGAUAAUCCUAAAAUAUUAGCUGCGUGUAUUUUUUUUUUUUUUUUUUACAACUAAAAACACAACACCUAGUAUAAAGCCCAGCAUACAAUCCAUAGUAUAAGUGCAUGCAUUUUAAUUUGCAAAAGGCUUCAAUUGUAAUAUACCGAUUUUAACAGAUUUCAAUAAAUAAACAGCUAUAACCGCAAAAAAAAAAAAAAAAAAAAAUUAAGUCCCCUAAUAAAAAUUUUAAUGCUAGAGUAUAAACAUAAUUUUUAUAAUUUUAUAACGACUCUGGUCUUAGUAAUAAAAAUGGUUCUUUAAUAAAAGCGACGACCAUCCUUUUAAUUUAAACAAAAUAUCAAUGCACGAAACAAAAAUAGCUACACUUACAAGGUUUGCUCAUGUGCAUGUGCUGAUUCAUCCCUAGAAUUUUAUAAAUGAUCGUAAAAAUUUUUAUUUUAACUACUUGUUUUUUAAAAUUCUAUUUGUAUUUAUUAAAAACUUUAAAAUUAAUUAGUUUAGUCAAAAGGUAUAAUAAUAAUAAUAAUAAUAAUAAUAAUAAUAAUAAUAAUAAUAAUAAAAGGUCUUUUAAUAAUUCAACAAAAUCUUAAUUUGAAUAUUUCCACCCCUAAUAAAAAACUAAUAACUCACAAGCAUUAAAUAAAUUAAAAGAAUGACCAUUAAGGCUGUCAAGAUAAAGUUAAUUUGAAUAUUUCAACUAUUUUUUUAUGACCUAUAUAUCCCCAGAGGAAAACACAAAUUUCAAUAGUACAUUUCAUUGGAUAUUGCUAUGAGAAUUACGUUUCUUUAGUUCAUUUAAAGAUGAAUUAAUACAAAGAUAAAGUAGUACAAAUAACUCAUGUUCUUUAUUUAGCGGGUUUACCGUGCUUUGUGGCCGUCAAAAUUUCUGAACCUAUCAAACACGUUGUAAAAGCAAUUAGCAUAUAUUGAUAAUCAUAGCUGAUAUAUAUUAAAGUCAAUACUUGUAUCCAAGUGUUAAGGAACAAUAAAGACUUCGUGGAAGUACCAACAAGCGCGUAGACAGUUGGUAUGAUUGUUCUAUCUUAAUUAAGGUUCUCGGUUCGAGACUUAUAAAUACAGUUGCGUUAAAUAUUUGUUGGGAGAGUUUUGCCACCUUAAUGGUUCUACCUGGCUCAAAUUUGAAUUAGUCGAGACUUAAUGUGCUCUUCGGAUACCACUUGUUUUAAUACACCGAAAAAAAAGACUUUGUUGAAGUUAACUUAAUUUUUUUAAAAAAAUUUGCCCUUAUAUAUUUCAUGUUUAAAUUAAUAAAAGCUCAAAUCGAAGCUCAUAAUGGCACAUGACUAAUAAGCAGAGAAGCAACAAAAUCUUUUAGCAAAAUCAUAAGUCAUAACACAAAAGCUUAUAAAGAGAGCCGCAAAAAACAAAAAGAUAGAGAAACCACAUAUCAUCUCUAACUAAAUCUAUACUUAGAAAAAACCAUUGAAAUCUUAAUAAGGAAACAUCUGAAUCUCAACACGCAGAUCACUCCACAAAAGAAAAGUAUCAUACUGAAGCUUCAAAUUAGUCAAGCUAUUAGCUACACAAUUAUUCUCUCUAUAAGUUGAGAAAAUCUAAAUUAUAGUUGAAAAAACAAUAAUUAUAGUUCAUAUUGAAUUUAAUAGUCAUACCAAAAUUAUUAUUAUUAAUUUUGAAUUCAAUAAUCAUACCAGAAUGGAAAAGAAUAAUCAUACCAGAGUGGGAAAGAGCAAUGAUUAAUAACAACAAUAAUUAAUAUCCUCCUAGGACUUAAUUUAAUCGUGCAAACUAGUUGAUAAUUUAAAUUAAAAAAAACUGUAAAACUUUAUUAGAACUUGUCUAUUUAAGUGUAGUGUGAUUACAAUGAGGGAUCACCACCAUUCAAUUUAUUUUUAAAACCCAAAUCCGAGCUCAAACGGCACAGGAUUAAUUAUUUUGCAGCAGAGUAGUUGAAAACAUAAGCUUAAUAUCAUACUCAUAUCGACACAGGAUUAAUAAGCAAAGAAGCAACAAAAUCUUUCAGCACAACUGCGGAAUGAGUGUAGCCAUCUUCAUACUUGUAAAUGACAUCUAUAACGCGUGUAAGAUUGAGAAUUCACAUCAGAAGUGGCAUUGGGACAACUGUUGGGCGCAGGCAGUCCUCAUUUAUAUCCUUCCAGGCAGUUGAAACUUGUGUCCGAAACUCAUUGCAUGCUUCCUCUUCUGUCGCUCCAUGUUGUUUCAUGUAACACUCAACGCUUGAGGCAACGUGCCCUCUGCUUUGUUCAAACUAUAUGCAAAUACAAAACACAUAUAUAAAAUAUAUUUUGGUUAAAGAGAAAAUUAAAGAUCACGCCAUUCUUUACGGAGGCAAUAUUAUCAUAUAUAUUUACCUUGUGUGACACCAUGUCAUCCAUGAGUCUGCAAACUACAGAAGAAGCCCUAAUAAAUCUAGGGUUGCUGAAUAACCAUUCAAAAGAUUCUUUAGUUACAAUGUCUCCCAUGCCAACAAAAGAUGUGGUUGACAACAUUGGGUAGGCAGAGGUAACUAAUGCAACCGUCAUGUACUCAUCCAUUGUUGGUAUAUAAUUCUGAUGGCACCAUUUAGCUUCAAAGAAGUAAUUCUUAACAAUAUUCUUCAUCUGAUCAUGAGAAUUAAACCAAAUAUAUCAGAUCUUUGUUAGCAGUUAAGAAUGAAUCUUUAAUGAAAUACUGAAGAGUACUCCACCGCUUUUUUUGCAUAAUGGAGGCGGUAUAGUUUUCCCUGAGGGGCCAAAUCUUUCUCUGCUUCACUGUAAACAUCAAGGAGGGCCCGAUAACACAGUUUCAUAUACUCAGGAAGUUGAUCUAUGGCACUGAUAUCCCACCUGCGAAAGAAAAUUGCUAGCCCAUUUGAAUAGGGGGAAUUUUGAUAACAAAAACGAUAUUAGAUCUUGAUCAUGAGAUCCUAAAUUAAUGAUGAGCCAUCCAAACCUUUUAAUAGCUGAAGUAAAGAGCUCAAGUUCUUCAAUUUUGCCAUACACAUCAUAGAUGUCAUCAAUAAUAGAAGUCAUGGAAAUCACUUUUGUCAAUAUUCUUCUAGCAAAUGAAUAUUGGGGCUCGAAAUACACUCCUAAUAUCCAAAAGUAGCACUCUGCAAUUCUGUCUCUUAUAAAAGGUAGCUUAUGCGCAAAGUCUAAUUCUUUCCACCACCUAAAUGAGACGACCAUUUACAUAUUAAUAUUUCUUCAAAACUGGAAAGCUUAGUUAAAUAUGCUCAUAGUGGAAUUGAAAUUAUUUUUAGAACUUAGUUAUUUACCUUGAAAUAUCACCGAGUUCCUUCUGGUGAAGCUUUUGCAAUUUGUUAAAAUCAAGUUUUGCGAAGGUCAAUAGAGCUUCAUUGUGGGAAGAUUGUUCUUGAUAGAUAGGAAUGUAAUGUCUUGCCUCAAGCCUUUGUAAGCCCCUGUGAAUAGGCUGAAUUAAGGCAUGUUUGACUCGCUCGGCAAGUGGGGAGCCGAUUUGAUGAGCCGCUAUUGACUCAAGGUGACUAGUGGUGAAAGCAAGCGCUUCAUCCAGUAUAUUUUCUUCAUGUACCCCGAGAUGCGUGGCUUCAUACAAGCUCAACAUUCCUCCAACAUCUUUCGCAAGAGAUGUCUUAAAGUUUCCAUCGCUGUCUUUGAACCUUUUGAACACAUCUGCUACACCACUUAAAUUUUUAGUGGUUGGACAAAAACUGGUUGUACCGACUGUAGUACUAAUUUAUUUUUAUUUUAUCAUCUUGCGAAAUGCCUCAACAAACUCGAGAGUUGUUUACAUAAAUUGUAAAAUAGAACCGCUGGCUAGAGGACAAAAUAAGGCUUAACUUAUAGUAAAAGCAUGAUGAUCAUCAUACAAAAGACUAAACAAAAAUAACAAAUGCAUUUAUAUACGCGUGAAGAGCGAGGCAGCAUCUCAAGUGAGAGCUGAACGCUUGAGUUUCUUGCUCCAAAAAGUUGGUUGUAAUUAAAGAUGAAUGUGUUUUUUUACAAGAUAUUUAACAAGGGGAAUAAGUGAGAAAAAGACAUACCAGCGGAAAUUUUACAGCCAUGUUGUCUAAGCAAUCGAAACUGAAGAGAGAUAUAAUAGAGCUCAUCAUUUUCAUUAUCCCCAAGACCACAGUCUUGGUGAGCCUCAUGCAAUUUUCCCAAGAUUUCAUCAAUCUCACUUUCAAAAUGGUAAGACACUCCUAAACGCUGAAUCGCAUCAAUCAAGUCCAGAUUAUUCUGUGUAGGCUUGUUGAUAUAAGCUUUUAGCAUCCUUCUAAUUUCCUCCUUCAGCUCUUGAUGCUUUGCACUGCCAUCAUCUUUUUCCUGAGGAAGAAAAUAAAUUGAGAAAUAUUAGUAGAGGAAUGAAUGCAUUUUAGACCGUAUAUGUGUGUGUGUAUUGCAUGCCUACAUCUCGGCAUACAAAUUAACGUAUGCAAUACGACCAUUAUGGUAUACAUUGUACCAUCGAGUCACUAGUAUAUGAAAGGAAACGGUCUCCCCAAAUGCUAGGAUGAAAAUUUGCAGAGCGACGAGUACAAUCUUUCUCAGCGUUUCGUUGGAUAAUUUUAGUAGGAGAGGCUGAAACUUGAAGAGACAUAUUUUCUAUUGCUUUCUGAAGGCUUUUCAGUUUUGAGGUAAAAAGGUUGAUUAAUUCUUGGCGUAGCUUCUUGUGCUUCAAAAGCUGGACGGUGUGAUCUUCACGAGCCUUCAAGCUCGUGCAUUUUAUAGACUUGACUGCCCUAAGAUUAAGCAACAACCUUAAUCUCACAUUGCACAUGUUUGAAACAUUGAAACUCUUUCAAAGUCAAGGCGGACUCCAGGACUUCAAAGUAUCCAGGCUAUUUAAAAAAAAAAAAAUUAUAUUUUAAAUUAAGUGAACAUAAAAUUUUGUAAGUUGAAGAAAAUAAAAUACACCUAAUAAGAGGGGGACAUUAGAGGCCUUACCCCAAAUAAUAUUUACUCCAAACAAAAUAAUUAUAUAAAAAAAUUUGAAAAUCAAAAAGUAAUUCAAAACAAAAAUACUAUUAAAGUUAUACUUUUCGCGACUUCAAAUAAUUGAACUCAUCAAUUUUAGAAUCUGAAUCAAUAGUAUUUGCAAUUUCUCUUUCGGGAUGAUGAUCACAGAAUCCAAAAGAGACUAAUUUUCGAUCAUACGAUAAAGUGAUGUCUUGAUUGUUGGAGAAAAAUUAGGUUUUUAAAUUUUUUAUAAAACCUUUUGAAGAUCGUUCUCAUAUAAUAUAUAAGAAUUUGUAUUCUAGAAAUCGUACCUUGAAAAUCCGAUUUGGCUUUUUCCGCUGAAGUGAUUUAGGCUCCUAGAUCACGAUCCGUCACCACCACGCUUGUUAGAUCACGAACUGUCACCAAUGAUCUUCCAGGUUAUGACUCAGGUUCGAUCUGCACUUGACGUGUGGGCGCCUUUAUCACUACCAAAGCAACUAGCACGAGAAAAUUUUUCUCUCAACAAUAGAGAGAAAAAUAUUAUUCUCUGAUCUGUAUAAAGUGGCUUCUCAAUUUCUUUAGAGAAAAAUAAGCAUUUUAUAUCACCCUUUAGUGAAAACCCUAGGCUCCAAAUAAUCAAAAACAAAACCCACGUUAUUUGCUUUUUCAAUAGGGGACCCACCUUGUAAAAUAACAUAAGGCCCCUUACACAAAAGCUAAUUAAAUGGUGCCUCCCAUUAAAUGAUAUAUUUAGACUUUUGACCCAAAUAGCUAGUUAUCCUACUUAUUAGUCCAGUAGUGGUGCAGUCAAUUAAAUGAGCUAACCCGGGGAUCAUUUGGGAACAUACAAUAGUGGCUACAAUAAUUAGGCCUGUAAUUAAACUAACCCAAUUAUUUAAUUCUAAAUCUACUCCACUAAAAGAUUGGAACUGACUUCCAUAAUUGUAUGCUCGAAUAAUAAUUUGUCCCAAGCCACAUUGAUUUCUUUACUGCACAAUCCUUUGUACCACAUCGUUAAUUAAAUUGAUAUCUCAACUGUCCAAUCAAUUUAAUAACAUCUUAUUCCUUGAUCCUUACUGGUUUUCUCUAAUGAUCAUUUUCAACAUACUAAAUAUGUUGACACACUCUGACCAGAGAAUUCUAUGAUCAAGUGCCGAAAACCCAUCAAGAGAUGUGUUGUACAAAUUCUAUAUUGUUAAUCCAUAACUCCAAUACUCAUAAUUGCUCCCACCAAGAUACCGGGUAAUCUUGACCACAAGGAUGUGUCAUGCCCAUUGGUAACUCAAAUGGAAUAACAAUUACAAUCAUGAAAUCAUAAUUAACUCAAGAUUAAGAUUACAGUAAAAUCAACGCCUAUGAGAUUUAAUAAGUCUGACAGUUAUUACAAAGUUAAUUAAAUCUCAUAUGUGAUCCUGUUCAAUGUAGUCGUACUACAUCAAUAAAUUCAUAUAUGAUUAAAACAAAUCAUUCAAUGAAUUUAUUACAGUCUAUACCUAAAUAAAGUGCCCAACUUUAUUUAUCAACUGCAAACUAAAUUUAUUUAAUCAUAAGAUAACUUGUAUUUAUGUCUUCUGUGAAUCCACAUGGUGAUCACAUAAAUACAUAUAAUAUGAUUAAAUGGACUUUAAUACAAAUAUUAAUGCAAUUAAGAUAUUUGAAUAAAAUACCUCAUUUAUUUUAUUAAUCAGAAAAAUAGUUUAUUACAAUUAAAUAAACACAUAUGCUUUUAAAGAGCAUAUUUUCCCAACAUUGAUAAGGCUCGUGACUGAAAAUGCACGUUUUGUUAUGGCUGUAGAAAUGGGAAGAGUCAACACUAGAUAAAUUAGUCCAUCAAUUAAGAAAUAGUGUUAUGAGUUAUUUGUUUCAAUUGAUUGUCAACAUAAAUCAGAAAGUGAAAUAACUUUAUGAAAAAGUGGAUGAGAAUGCGCAUCAAAUUUAUAAUGUCCCAAUUCUCUUCCCAAAACAAGAAUCUCAUUUGCAGUGGAAUCAUGAGGAUAAAAAUUUUCAGCACGACAACAAAUACGAUCUGUAUCAAAUAAAUUAAACUCAUCAAUUGGAUCCAAAGCCGAGCUUAAAGUAAAGAGUUCCAUAGUUUGCUCUGGGAAGCUUGUAUUUAUCUUUAUCAAUUGAAAACCUUUUAUAGCAUUAAAUACAUCACACAUUUCUAGAAUUGAGAGUUUAUACCUCUAUGAAAUGAGAGUUAUCAUAAUAAUUUUAGACCUAAACUAAUCUUAUUUAGAGAGUUAAUGAUGAAUUUUUUUUCAAGUUAUUUCAUCUUUAUUGGGUCAAGUUCUAUCCACUUCAAUUUUUUAUCUUAAAUUCAUAACUUAAUUUUGCAUCUAUUCGAUCAAUUAAAUACAUUAACGUAAAUACAAAGUGAAUAAGUAGCAUGUUAACUCCUAAUUGCGUCACUAAUGGGGUUGGCAAAAUAAUCAGGCGCCUAACCCUGACUACUGCCAAACCGAACUAUUUUAAUGCAUGCGUUGAUUUAAAAGAGAGAAAGAAGUUUUCCUGACAUAUGUCACUAUAAUUUAACUAAUAAGUUCAAAUCAUUUAGCUCACAUUUCAAAUAUGGUAAGUAUGGCUCAACUUAAUGCCAUUUCUAAGAGGAUCAAAGCUGACCAUAUCGCCAUCAUGGAAUUUGUUUUUUUCGCUGGUAAACCUCAGCUGCUCUAAGGAGAAUUUUACUAAAUUAAAAAGAAAAAGAGAAAAUGACACUUAAUAAGGGACAUAAUAAACUUUGCCCCUCUUAAAACUAAAACAAACAAGUCCUAAUACAAACCUAACAAUAGCAAGCACACAGAAUUCGAAGGGAAGGUAGAAUUUGUAUGGGAAUCAACAUGUUUGUACAGAACAUCCAUUAAACAAGAAAAAUUGAGAACCCGCUCGAGCAAAGGCAUAGGAACAACAGUUGGUCUCAUGAACUCCUCAUUUAUAUCUUUCCAAGCAUUCUCAAUUUUCUUCUGAAACAGUUUAACGGCCUCUUCCUAGGAAACACCAUUAUGCUUCAUGUAGCAUUCAACAGCUGAGGCAACAAUUCCUCUCUGUUGCCCAAACUACAUAACAUUCACAUAUAUAUCGGUCAUUUAAAAUUAGAAUAAUAAUAAUAAUAUAAAGAGCACUAAAUAAUAAAGGGUUUAGUUCAUGCUACCUUAUGAGAGACACUGUCGUCCGUGAGUCUGCAAAUUUUGAGGAAGCCUGAACGAUUCACUACCACAAAAAUGGGUUUUACUGACACUAAAUUAGUGUCAGUAGGUACUUUUCUUGACACUUGUUAAUUGUGUCAGUAAUGCUCAAGGCAGAACACACUGACACUCAUUUUUAGUGUUAGUGAUUUUUUUAUUAGUAAUUCAUGUCACUAUAGUAUCACCAAAAUAAUGAUACGAUAGUGUUAAUAUUUGAUGAUAUUAUUUACAUGUCAGUGAUUUAUGUGACUAUAGUAUCAAUAACAAGCUAGCUCGAUAAUAUAAAAAAUUAUUCAUGUCAAUUUAAAUAUUUAGUGUCAAUAUUUAGUAAUGUUAUGCAGGAUUGGUUAAUAAUUUUUUUUUAUUCUAAUUAUAUUUUUCCUGUUUGUUUUACAACCAAAAGAAUGCUCAAAAUAUAUUAAAUAUAUAAAAUGUCGCAAUAUAAUUCACAUAAUAAACAUCCCAAAUACAUCAUUCAAAUUCACAUGAUUCAACUACACCACUAUCUAGAAAAGAAAAAUAUAAGUACUAAAUUAAGUUUUCAACAACCACAAAGUACUAAUUUAGUUUCCACCAAAAAGAAGCACAAGAACAUCACUCAACAUCCAUCUGCAGCUUCAUUUUUUUUCCCACCUACAACAACAUAAAAUCAAUUAUAUGGAAAUAGAUUAUGGAAAACAAAUCGAUUGCGAGUAGUUUAACAGAGCAAUUGAAGGAUGUUUCAACAAUUAAUAAAACAAUAAGAAAUAAUAUUACAAUAAUACUGAAAGUUAAAGAAAUAAAGAACCCUAGCUUAAGUUGUCUGAAGAAGCCAUGUUGGAUAACUUGCUACAAGUCACAGAAAACAAAACAUCUAAGUCAAUCUAAUUAAAACCUUCCUAUUUUUUAUAAUCAAACAACAGAAAUUUGCAAUCAAAACAUCCAUUUGCCCACUCAAACUUUUAGCCUUAGCAUAAACUUCUUUCACUUUAAUCUCAUAAAACUUGUCAAAUUUAUGAAACUCUCAUCAAGCCUUCUAAAAAACUACCGCUCUCAUUUCCCUCCUUCCUCAACAAUCCUCAAAAGUAUUUUCAUUGCAAAAUAGCCCAAAAAAAUUAUAGGAGUUGUUUUGACUUUAGAAUAGCAACAAAACAACCCCCGGAAAUCUGUAGGGGCUGUUGUGCAGUGAAAACAACCACUAGAAAUCUACAGGGGCUGUCUUGUUGCUGUUCUGUAGUAGAAACAACCCCUGCAAAUUAACAUUUUUAGAUGAAUUAGAAAGGAAAAUAAUGUUACCUAUGAUAUGUUGGGAAAAUAUGCUCUUUAAAAGCAUAUGUGUUUAUUUAAUUGUAAUAAACAAUUUUUCUGAUUAAUAAAAUAAAUGAGGUAUUUUAUUCAAAUAUCUUAAUUGCAUUAAUAUUUGUAUUAAAGUCCAUUUAAUCAUAUUAUAUGUAUUUAUGUGAUCACCAUGUGGAUUCACAGAAGACAUAAAUACAAGUUAUCUUAUGAUUAAAUAAAUUUAGUUCGCAGUUGAUAAAUAAAGUUGGGCACUUUAUUUAGGUAUAGACUGUAAUAAAUUCAUUGAAUGAUUUGUCUUAAUCAUGUAUGAAUUUAUUGAUGUAGUACGACUACAUUGAACAGGAUCACAUAUGAGAUUUAAUUAACUUUGUAAUAACUGUCAGAUUUAUUAAAUCUCAUAGGCAUUGAUUUUACUGUAAUCUUAAUCUUGAGUUAAUUAUGAUUUCAUGAUUGUAAUUGUUAUUCCAUUUGAGUUACCAAUGGGCACGACACAUACUUAUGGUCAAGAUUACUCGGUAUCUUGGUGGGAGCAAUUAUGAGUAUUGGAGUUAUGGAUUAACAAUAUAGAAUUUGUACAACACAUCUCUUGAUGGGUUUUCGGCACUUGAUCAUUGAAUUCUCUGGCCAGAGUGUGUCAACAUAUUUAGUAUGUUGAAAAUGAUCAUUAGAGAAAACCAGUAAGGAUCAAGGAAAAAGAUGUUAUUAAAUUGAUUGGACAGUUGAGAUAUCAAUUUAAUUAACGAUGUGGUACAAAGGAUUGUGCAGUAAAGAAAUCAAUGUGGCUUGGGACGAAUUAUUAUUCGAGCAUACAAUUAUGGAAGUCAGUUCCAAUCUUUUAGUGGAGUAGAUUUGGAAUUAAAUAAUUGGGCUAGUUUAAUUACAGGCCUAAUUAUUGUAGCCACUAUUGUAUGUUCCCAAAUGAUCCCCGGGUUAGCUCAUUUAAUUGACUGCACCACUACUGGACUAAUAAGUAAGAUAACUAGCUAUUUGGGUCAAAAGCCUAAAUAUAUCAUUUAGUGGAAGGCUCCAUUUAAUUAGCUUUUAUGUAAGGGGCCUUAUGUUAUUUUACAAGGUGGGUCCCCUAUUGAAAAAGAAAAUAACGUGGGUUUUGUUUUUUGAUUAUUUGGAGCCUAGGGUUUUCACUAAAUGGUGAUAUAAAAGGCUUAUUUUCUCUAAAGAAAAGAUAGAAGUCACUUUAUACAGAUCAGAUAAUAAGAUUUUUCUCUCUAUUGUUGAGAGAAAAAUUUUCUCGUGCUAGUUGCUUUGGUAGUGAUAAAGGUGCCCACACGUCAAGUGCAGAUCGAACCUGAGUCAUAACCUGGAAGAUCAUUGGAGACAGUUCGUGAUCUAACAAGCGUGGUGGUGACGGAUCGUGAUCUAACAAGAGUGGUGGUGGCGGAUCGUGAUCUAGGAGCCUAAAUCACUUCAGCAGAAAAAGCCAACUCAGAUUUUCAAGGUACGAUUUCUAGAAUACAAUUUCUUAUAUAUUAUAUGAGAGCGAUCUUCAAAAGGUUUUCUAAAAAAUUUAAAAACCGGAUUUUUCCCCAACAUGAUAGUCACCAUUGUCGAAGUCAUAGCAAAUAGCCUGCAAAUUAACAAUAAUAACAACAUUUACAUCAGUUUAUGAAACUGCUUUUAUUGGUUUUUUUUUUUUUUGCAAGGAUAUGUAUAUAAAUAAUAGUGCAUUUAAACUUACAAAUAUACUGUAUCUUAGACCAUCAAUUGAUGUGGUAUAGUUUUUGUAAAGUACCUUAUUUACCUCAGACACUUCACUUUCCUCUAUGCCAAGAUUUUGAAUCAUCUAUUAUACACAAAGUAAAUUUGUAGAAACUAGUUAUACAUUUGUUAAACAAAUAAACAACUUGAAUGACAAAAGUUUACUAACUGAAUAGAAAUGCACCAAGGUCAUUAUAAAUUGGCACUACUUACUGAAAUGAUCAACAACAUUGACAAUAACACCUCAUACAUGAAUUCAGAUUUUAAGCAUAUAAAGAGAGUUCAAAUGAAUGAUUGCUUAUACAUUUUAUAACAGAUUUACAACAAUAAAGUAGAUAAAUGGCAACUCUACUAGAGGUAUGUUUCUAGUAUAAGGAAUCAAACAUAAGUAAAGGAGUAAGGUAGUAUCUUAUCAUCUGCAUAAUCAACACACCAUGACAGAAAUCGAAUCAAAUAAAUACUACGAAUGCCGAAUGGAAGAAAGAAAUUAAAACAUUUUCUGCAAAAUAUUAUUAUUAUUAUUAUUAUAGCCAGAUACUCAAAAGCUUAAACCAAAAUAUCAAAAAAAAAAUUUUAUAAAGCAAUAACAAUAAACCUAAGCAGUAAACACGACAGACCCACCAGCUUUUUUAAUUUUCUACUUGGCUGUUUUGGAAACAAGCUUGGCCUUCACCACAACGAGUUGGUUCUCAAGCAAAAGGCCCUUACCCAAAACCUUAAAGUAGCCAAACUGAGUCACAUCGAUCGUGAGAACAUUGUCUUUGGAAGCCUUGGCUUAUGUUUUUUUUGCCUUUUUAGUUUAUAUAAUGUAAUUGUGUUAUUAUAAUUAUUUCGAUUAAUCUUGAUUUUGUUUGACCAGGAGUUUCAAUUUUAUUGCUAAUGACAUGAUGGGGCUUGUUGAAGAAGAGGGCUUGGAUGGAGCUGCUGCUAAUAUUUUAUCUGAUGAAGAGAUCACUGUUGUGAUUAUAUCGUUAUGAUAUUAUUGAAUUUUGUAAUAUAAAUUGUUUCAAUUGUAGUGAUUGUCAAAUUAAUUUAUUUUUUUAAUGAAAUAUAAUUUUUGUAUUCAAUUCUUAGUUUGUUUGUAGCUGUAAGUUUUUAAUAUUUAUAAAAAAAAAAAGAAAUAUUGGAAAAAAAAAUAAGUAAGAGGAUUGUGGAAGCAAAAUGAGCAUAUAAAAUAAAACAAAAUAAAAUAAAAUAAAAAAGUAGCACAAUUCACAACGAUCAUAUUACAUGUUGUUAAAAGAAAUUUACAUAUGAAGGUUUUGACGACAUUAAAUUUGCGUUGUUUAAAGUAUUUUUAACUACAAGCGCAUGACUUUUAACAAUGUGUGUUGCAUGUCUUUAAAAGUAACUUUAAGACAAAAUCUUGAUCGACAACGCCGCAGAUACACGUUGUUAAAAGUUCAAGAUUCUUUUUAUUUUUAAGGAUUAUCUCUUAUUUAUACCGAGCUAUUAGCCGUGAAUCUCAUGUAUGGCAGAAUAGAAUGAGAUAUGAGAAAUAGAAACAAAGAUAUAGAAAAUAAGGGAUAAUAAAUCUACAAACUCUUAUAGAAAUUUAUUUAGUAUAAACUCAUGUGGUAUAAAUAAAAUAGUUGAUGAUAAUGCAAAAUAAUACAAAUAAAUCAUAUUUGCUAAGAGCUAUUUCAUCAGACCAAUAUAUUUGUGCCAUAUAAGUUUAUACAAAAUAAGUUUACACAAUAGUUAAAUUAGUUGAAUUAAAUUCAUCUUUACCCACAUGAUUUAUUUUUAUUAAUUUUUAUUUCCAUACAAUCAACAAAGUUUAUGCUACAUCAAUUUAUACGAAAUAAAUUUAUAUAAAAGUUUGUAACUUUACCAGCACUAGUGAAUUCAAAGUUUUUUUUUCAUAACUUCUAGAACUUCAUAAUAGUUCCAAUCCAUUCCAUAUUUUAUGGGAACCGUAAAGUUAAAUGAGUUAUUUUUCCCAUCUUAUGUUAAUGGAUCAUAUUGUUCAACAAAUGUGUGCUAUUAUUGUGCCAUAACAUUUCAGUUAUUUUGAUUAUGACUAUAUAAUAUACAAAAUUUCUGAAGGGAACCCAAUAAUUUCAAUUGUACAUUCAAUGAGAUACACAUUUUUAUAGUUUAAUUAAAAAUUAAUAAAUAAAUAGAUGAAGUAGUACUAACAACUCAUGUUCUUCAUACUUAAUGGGUUUUCAGUGUUUUAGAAAAAUUCUAAUUGUCUUGACACUUUAUUGAGUGUUGUAGUUUAGCACAAAGAAUACAAAGCAAAUUAAGCUGUGAAAAUAUCUGAGCCUAUCAAAAACUUUAUAAAUGAUGUGAAAUAAGUGGUGAACUUACACCAUUUACAAAACGCAAAAUUCCCACAUUGGAAAUUUGGAGCAACCCCCCCACCCAUGCACUAUGAUAUAUAUGUGGAAGCUCGUGUGAUAAGUGAAUUAACAAUAACAAAGGUAUUUAAAGUACUUUAUUUAGUUUAAAAUUUUCUUUAUCAUUUAUUUAUUUUAUAACAAUAAAAAAAUAAUUUUAGUAUUUUUUUUCAUAAUUAGGUCUCUCAAAAUAGGUGUUUAAUAAUAAUAAACAAAACAGAAACUAAGAAAUUAGAAGGGGAACAUAGCGAGCUUUAACUCUAAGAGGAAUAACACAAAAGCUUAUAAAGAGAGCCGCAAAAAACAAAUGAUAGAGAAAUCGCAUAUCAUAUCUAAUUAAAAUCUAUACUUGCGAAAACCAUUGGAAUCUUGAUAAAAAAACUUUGAAUCUCGGCAGGUAGAUCACUCUACCAAAAAAAAGUAUCACACUGAAGCCUCAAAUUAGUCAAGAUGUCAGCUACACAAUUAUUCUCUCUAUAGGUAUGAGAAAAUCUAAAUGGAAAAACAAUAAUUAUAAUUAAUAUUGAAUUUAAUAAUCAUACCAAAAUUAGUAACAACAUUAAUAAUAAUUUUGAGUUCAAUAAGAGUAGGACUAUUGACACCCCUUUAAAUACCUCUUAAAAAUCCUUUAAUUAUUUUACAAUUUUAACCUUCAUUAAAAUUACAUAACAGAACAAUUUUUAAUUAAACCCUUACUCAAAAGUCAAAUAAUUUUUUUCCUUAAAAAUUCUUUAUUAGCACCACCGUCCAAAUAUCGCUUAAAAUUCUGCUUAUAAGCAGAAUAGUGAGUUGGAAAAGAAGAAAAGGCGUAGUGCAAGUGGAACAAAAAGGUGUGGCUUUCUAUUUUUAUUAAAGGGACAAAUGUGGGCGAAUAAUCAAGAUCGGAUGUUAAAGUGAUUUGUGAAUUAAUCAUCAUUUUGCACAACAUCUCGAGGGCCUCUCAUUUGCAGUGUAAUCAUAAAAACCAUCCUCCUGGUUUCUGUUCUCUUGAUUGUACAUGUCUUGCAUAAAUCAACCCAAGUAAUUUGAAAAACGCCAUCUUAAUAUGACUAACUAUGAAGAAACUUCAUGUAUUUCAUAUUUAUUAUUUAAAUAUCAGACAAAUAUGCUCAGUCAUAAUUUAUUUUUCGAUUAAGAGAGGAAAGGAAUUGUACGGAAAUGGAAAUCCAAAAUUUUAGAAAUUAAAAAGGUUACAUUUUUCUCUUAUUUUUUGGGUAAAGAAUUUACCACUAGUGGCUGUACUGGACAAAAGAAACCCAUAAUUUUUUUUCUCCUGAAUGGAAUUUACACUAAUAAUUUUUAAUAAGGAUAUUUUUAUCAUUUCAGGAGGUGUUAAAAGAAUUUUAUAAUAUUUUUAAAUAUUUUAAUGUAGUUAAUUAAAAAAAUGGUGUUAAGAAGUAUUUAGAGGAGCGUCAGUAGUCCCACUCAUUCAAUAAUCAUACUGGAAUAGAAAAAAAUAAGCAUACCAGAAUGGGAAAGAGCAAUAUUUAACAACAAUAAUAAUUAAUAUCUUCUUAAGACUUAAUUUAUUAAUCGAGCAAACUAGUUGAUAAUUUAAAUUAAAAAAGAACUAUAAAAACUUUAAUAUCACUUGUCUAUUUAAGAGUAGUGUGAUUACAAGGGGGGGUCACCACCCUUCAAUUUAUUUUUAAAAUCCAAAUCCAAGCUCAAACGGCACAGGAUUAAUUAUUUUGCAGCAGAGUAGUUGAAAACAUAAGCUUAAUAUCAUACUCAUAUCGGCACAGGAUUAAUAAGCAAAGAAGCAACAAAAUCUUUCAGCACAACUGCGGAAUGAGUGUAGCCAUCUUCAUACUUGUAAAUGACAUCUAUAACGCGUGUAAGAUUGAGAAUUCGCAUCAGAAGUGGCAUUGGCACAACCGUUGGGCGUAGGCAGUCCUCAUUUAUAUCCUUCCAGGCAUUUGAAACUUGUUUCCGAAACUCAUUGCAUGCUUCCUCUUCUGUUGCUCCAUGUUGUUUCAUGUAACACUCAACGCUUGAGGCAACGUGCCCUCUGCUUUGUUCAAACUAUAUGCAAA